UUUGUUGGGGCCCUAUAUCCAAUUCUGUGGAUUUCUCUCUGCUUUCAUUCAGUAGAUUUCUCUCUGCUUUCGGUACCCUACCGACUGUCAGGAGUUUGGAUUCCAAAGAAGUCUAGUAAGUAGGGACCUUAUCCAGGCUCUUUCUUGAACCUUGAAAACGGAGCUUGGUUUCGUAUUCUAAGAGGUUCUAUAAAGAGAAAAGAGGGAAAGAACCCUUAAGUAAGGGCCAAAACUAGUGUCGUCGAUCUAAACACUGUAGUGCUGCGCAGGGCUUCCUCUUUGAGUGGAAGGAAGGUACUUUUCAGCUCCGCCUAUUCAUCUCUUUGGGGAAAUAGUGAAAGCCCGAUGAAAGUCACUUUGUUUCCUAGUCGAGUCUAUAGGUAAGCUAGCGCUUCUUCGUUGCGGGACACAUUCUUCGAUUGAUUUUCAUCGUUCCUGGGCGGGUAGUGCAAUGGAUCAGGGAAUGCAUCUCAACACCUCGGUUAUGAAGUUGUCUUAAUUAGGACUUGACGUCGAGUAGCUCUUCUUUAAUAAUAGGACUGGUGUGAGAAACCUAGACGCAGUCUGGAUCAAGGAGAAUUGUAGCCUGCAAUCGAAAACAUUGCUAUCAUCGAGAGACCUGCCGAAGGGAAGAGGAGAGAGACGAGAAACCUGCUUACUUCGAAUAGGGCCGCAACAACUAGGUUAAAGCCAUCGAAGCCCAAUCCGUGAGGGCGCCUAGAAGACUCUAUUUUCUAGUCUCAAGGGAAAGCGCUAAUUCCGCUCGGUAUCGAUCAGUUCAAAAGGUCAGUACACACAGUGGAUUUAGAGGCCUACCACAUAGAGAAAGCGAAACUCUAUUCACGUCACUCUUUCCAAGUCAAAGAAGUACAGCGGAGGUAUCGGAUAUCUUAGGCAGCUAUAGGAGUUAGAGGAGGGAGAGAGAAUCCAAAAAGGGUAGUAUAGCUUAGUAUCAAGUUUCCCAUUAGUAUCUGGGUUACUAUAUCAUGUUCUUAAGUAUUGAAAUGAGUAGUUCCCUAUCCUUGCCCGGAGUCUGCCCUUAACAACACCAGUUUUCCUUGGGUUCCCACCUAUCCUAGGGGAAUGGUUCUUUUCACCUUGAAACUCUACCUUGUAGCCGAGGAGCCUAAUUCUUUUAAUAGUUAGUUGCCCUCAGCAAGUUGCAUUCUUUGGUAAGCGAGCCCAGCCCAGCCCAGUGGAAUCAGUAUGAGUGGAGGUCGGUUCGGGUGUUCCUGUUAAUAAGUGAGGAAAGGGAAGUUCACCAGGCAAACAACAUAGUAAGUAGCGCGGCAGUCAGGGUACAACCAGGUACUAAAGAAUAGGGCAGAAGGAAAGGGGUUUCAUAGUUGACUAGCUUAUAAGCGGGAAUAUAAGUGGGAUAUGGAUCAGGGUCUCAUGCAAUGCAAUGCAAGCUCACCUAGUUAUUAUCCUUAGUCACUUUUCUAGGUUCUCUCUCGGACUAUUUUCAAUUACAUCGGGGGUCUCUCGAAUCAACAGUUCUAAAGUAAGCUUCUAAAUCCCCAGUGCCAGGUCCAGUGAGAAAGUCGGGUUAAGGUGCUGCCCCAGUUACAGUUCUCAAGUUUCGUAGGCCUAUGAGGUUGUGCGGCUGUUUCAUCUUUUCUCCUUUCUAAAGAGAAUACUUAAGUGAUAUUGAUUUGAUUAUGUUGCUAAGGCCUAGAUGCUAAGUAAUGAAAUACUAGAUGCAGAGAAUUGGUAAUAUGUUUAUUAUACCUUAUCCGAGUACCUCUCUUGCUACACCCUCCGCUUUUUGGCACAUUUGAUUAGAUUCAACUACUUACAUGGGACCUACUUAUCGAAACAGCUCUUUUUUUCACUCUAGGGUUUACAAGCCCCAACAAGUCUAAAUGCCCCUUUGCCAUGAUUUGUUACCAGAGUAGAGGGAUAGAAAUUAGAUACUAAGGCUCCCGGCUAUAUACUAAUAAGUCACUGGACUACCAGGAACAGGAGCAAGAUCAUAGGUUCUUAUGCUUCCAAGUAGAUUGAAUUGAGGCCUAAGCCUAAUAGCAUUAGUUCGCAAAGAUAUGAUCUGAUCAAGGCUUUAGUAUAGUAUCAGCAUUGGCCCUGUGUCGUUGCUUGUUUAGUAGUGUAUUGGCGAGUUAGAUAGUUAGAUGAUAAAACCAAUUGAGUUAGAUGAGCCGGGGGUAAAGCAAUUUCUAGGCAAUUCCACUCUGAGUUUCUUGUUUCAGGGUGGUUGACUUAAGAAGUUAUCAGAGAGAAAAGAUCCUCGUUCACCAAUUCCCGGGCAACGCUCCUACGCGCAACAAUACCUAUGGAUACAAUGAAUUUCACCCUGCUAGCUCAUCUCUGCUACCUGAAUGAGGCUCAUCUCCCAUACUUAUGCUUAUAACCAAGUCCUUUCUUCUGGAGUCCUGUAUUAAGAGUUUGUUACUUAUAUCAUCUAUGAAACCUAGUUCAUGGUUGGGUUAGUUACCGAUUCAAUCUAAACCUUAAUUAGGACACCUCGCUUCAUAAGUACUUACUUCUGCUUGGACAACUCUUGAAGCUAUAUCCUAUCCAAACUCUUGAAGCUAUAUCCUAUCCUUGGUUACUUCUUUCUAGAAUACCUAGUACAGAGAAUGGAUCUUAAGAAGGUAAAGAAGAAGCAUCAUCCGCAGGAGCUGGAAAGUAAUCAGGUAAAGAUACUGGUUCGGUGCUUGUGUUUAGCAAUGCAAGUGGAGGUCGGAAAAAGUCAUAGAUUAGCUUUUGAGUUUGGCAGUGAGGUUCGGUAGAGCACUUAUAGAGAGUGAGCUUGCCUUUCUUUGCUUUUGUAGUAGUAGCUCAUCCCGUUGUCGGACUCGGUAAUAACAACUAGUAGUUACUUGCCUGGUUGCUUGGCUACGUUUCCUCUUUGGGUGCAAGUCAGGUAGUCUCAAGAAAAGAAGCCGGUGAUUAAUUCUAGGAUCAAUAGGCUUGAGCAGGUACAGGGGCAUAAUAUCUUACUUUACAGGACUGGCUUCUUCAGCGCUAAGUACCGAAGUCGAGUCGACAGAAGAAUCUUCCAAUUCCGGAUCAACAGCAGUUAUAGUUUAGGUCGGGUCGGGUCAGAAAGGGAAGCAAUGAGUCUACUCGAUCAGAGGCUAGAUCCAGAGCUGGCUUAGUCUUAUUGGGUGCUAGUGUUUCCAUAGUCAUUAGUCUGGAAAGUCGGAAUGAAACUAAGAGGUGAGCUAGUCAGAAGGGUAAGGCUUCAACCCUUAAGUGACAGGCUAUAUGACCCGAGUGAAAGAAUGGAACAAAGUAGACUCAGAAUUGACCUCAGAGGUGAGCUAGUAGUUAGUUAAGUUAGAAUGCAACUAACCCCGAUCAGACUUCAGGCUAGGAAUACGGAGCUAGGAAUACGGUACGGAAUUACAGAAUGUCCCUAAGCAGUCUAAGAAUGAACUAGUUGCUCACUCGUCUAAGAAUUACUGACUUUUUUCAUUCUGUAUUUGGUAUAUGUAGCUAGUGGUAUCAAAGUGGAAUUCUUUCCUAUUGUAUGCCGCUGAGUGCCCCUUCCUAUCUUUGCCAGUUACUUGUCCCCGUUUGAUAGCUUCGUGGUUGGUUUUCUCCUUGCAGUGACUUGGACCUAACUCAUAACUCUAGUAUCAGUACAAGUCUUGAAUGGAACUCCUAACUCCUUUAACUCACUGACUCCCUUGCUGGUUCUUUGGCCUGUACCUGGACCUAAUCCUUCUCCCUUUCUUGCCUGUCCUGUGUUCAUGGCGGCAGCCCUAGUGAAAAUGGGUUUGCGAACAUCACUCGUAUGAAACACGGAUGCACUUAAUGGUGACUUUAGAACUGGGCGAACAGAUAAGAAAACCUCACAGUGGUUAGUAAAGAUUAAUAGACUUAUAUAAGAAUGAAUUUCAUGAGGUAUCCAUGGUAUCCAAUAGCUUCAAGAGCGGAGGCAGGCGAGGGAGGUCUACUCAAGAAUAAGCAGUGCCAGGAAAGAUCAGAGGAGAUAUUCGAAAUUAGCUAUGAGCCAAGUCACGUAUAAUGUGUAGCGGCAGCGGCCAAGUCACACAGGAAAAGAUGGAAGCACAGAAGUGAAAGCAUCAGAUCUUUGCACAGUAGCAGUAAAAGCUCGAGCUCCCGUUAGCGCCUCACCUUAGCCACUUAGUAUUGUUGGUCCUGUAGCCGGCUUACCCCCUUAAUUAUCAUCUUUCUUGCGCCGAUAGGGGUUUGCCGUAAGUAGUACUAGAGUCUACGGUUUUUCUUCCUCUCAAUCUUAUCUUAUUAAAGCAAAGGAGUGCCUCUGCCUCUAUUCAAUAAGCCGUUAGCGCAACAGUGCUCGUUGCUUGUUCAUAAGAUAAAAGAAGAUCAAUCAGAUUCCAGUACUUUCCAAUCUUUUCGUUAUUCUGAUCUGAUUGCAGUCAAAGACAUUAUGUCAUCUCUCUAUUACUUAGAAAUCACAGAAUUCACUGACCAUUGAUUAUAGUGCGAACGAUUUUCGUAUACUGCUCUUUCGAGCUCUAAUUACCCUUUCUUUCUAUGCAAUACUCUAUUCCCUUAUGCAAUACUCUAUUCCCUUCUUGUAAAGUCAACAAAUACUUUAUAUCGCAGAGCUCCCUAAGCGCCGAGGCCGAGUCAACUCAAACAUCAAUUGAUUCCUUGACUUAUGAUUCAUAUACAGCAGGCUCUGCUCCUUAAUUUGACUACUUUUGUUCUUUAUCUACUUACUAACCAUCUCCUUCUUUUUCUCUUGUUUGGCACCAAGCAAGGGCUAUAAGUAAAGUACUCUAGUAUUGGGUGAAGCUACAUCAAAUAGUUCUUCCAGUAGCGAGUCGGCAGAAGAAGUCCGGGCUAAAGAUCAACUCGGUUGCGCCUUAGUUUAUUGUUGUUUCGGGGCACAAGUUAGCAAGUUCACCUUUUUCAUCUAAAUUGGACUCUCUUUUGGACUCUCUAGCAGGGCAUAUCUCUCUUUUGGACUCUCUAGCAGGGCAUAUAAGAUUGGAAUGGAAUCUUUCUCUUGCGCCUACGCCUAUAAGAUGAUUUGAUUUGAGAUCUCUUACUGAUGAUCUUUCUCUGGUUGACUUUGCGCUUGCAGCUUACUUUAGCCCGAGAUACUUUCUUCGAACGGCGGGAGACUCUUAUUCAGUUGCUGACUUGAGAACGUAACUGUCUGUUGAAGAAUUAAGAGAAUCCAUAUCUGACCCUUAUUACCACAAUAUAUAUCCAACAACCCCAACACUUUGAUACUGUCCUGUUUUCGAGGAACUAGAUCUGGCUUUGAACGGUAGCGCGGUUAAUGGUGAGGAAGGUUGAGUUUAGGGGUAUAGUAUAGAAGUCUAAGAAUCAGAGGUUUGAGAGAAUCCACAGUUCUGGUUAAGUAUCUUGGUUAAGUCGAAAAGAAGCUCGUUGAUUGACUCGUUGAUUUAGUAUAGAAAGAAGGUCCGGUAGGGUCAUAUUCCUUAGGCGGGUGAGAGAUAUUCCAUUAAUGUAGUUGCGAGAGGAGAAGCUGUUUCCAUUCCAGAUCUGAAUCUUGAGUUCGAGAAUCAUCCGUGAAGUCCACCUCUGCUCUUGUUGGUAACUCUACGGAUUGUUCUGCUGUAGCUCCUUGUACUAAAGUAUAGGUUGGGUCGGAUGCUUGUUAUAAGUCAGUGAGAUGGGUUCCGUUCGAGUGUCUAAAUCAUAGAGAUCAGUUAUUGGCUCUAAGUCCUAAAAGAAAGAUGGGUUUACUGCCUUAACCGAGCGGGGCAAUAAGAUAGUCAAGUUCAGGAUCUGGAUCUUAAUAAGUAUAUGAAGUGGAAAGAUGAAUCAGUUUCGGAAGCUGAUGCGGGAGCAGGAACAAUAACACUACUUAGAUCAGGAACAGACCCGCUUGCUGUUGACCUGGACUUUCGAACUGCCUCUGACGCAAACUGGAACUAUCAAUUCUCUCAUUCUGAAGAAUCAAGAUAAGAAGUUGUGUUAGCUCCCGAAUAAGCUAUUCAAAAGUGCUAGUGGUUCUCCUGAUACGGAUGCAGAUCCUACACCUGAGAAAGCUUCUGUGUUUAUUCUGAACUCGACUCUUCUCUGAAACUACUGAGGUGCACUCUGAUGCCUACUUGUUGGAUUCUGACCUUCCAGUUUCCAUUCCUACCCGGUAUUCCAAUAAGCAAUAAGAAGAACUUCCCUAGCUCCCACCUAGCUUCAAAGCCAGUAUUUGAUGAUGAUUCCUCUAACUCAAGUCGGAUGGACUCAAAUGACAAUCUUCGAAAAGACAUGGAGAACAGUAUCCCUUGGCAGCGUUACGGAUGAGUCUAGCGACACCCUUUGUUCGAAGUGGUAAAAACGAUGUUGCUCCGAGCAGGAGUGGUAGAGUUCGAAAGAGAAUUGUUUCACCUUAUUCGCAGCUUCGCCCCUACUAGUUUCUAUCAAUGGGUUUUCAUUAUCAGCGGGAAUUCAAAUAACCUACUCUAACCAUGAGAAAUGGGGGAACCCCAGAAGUGGUUAGAAGAUGAAAAGAAUCAUAAUGAUGCCUACGAAAAGCAAGCGGAGGGGAGAACUACAGUUUCCAAAGAGAUGUUACCCUUAAGAUUGCGGGAGGGACAGUUAUAUCCUUUAACAAAAGGGGUUAUGAUUGUUUUAAUGAAGUUUGGGAAGAUUGAGUGAGGCCCAAUUGGAUGUGACAGCUGAGAUAUGGAGGAAAUAUCUAAUGGAACCCACUCACUUGGUUACGAAGCAUUUCUAUUUAUCUUGCAAGAAUUUUGGUAGUAGUGAAAUUAGCAAAAUCCACUCAUUCUCCUACACAACCCAACCGAACCCUAUACAUCAAAAUGGUUUCUAUCGAUACAAAUUUGGAACAUGAGAUAAAACCGAAUCUAAUCACAAGAUGAACCAAUAACUCUAUCCAUGAAGAUUCUCUCUGACACGUUUCUUGCUCUUCGUCGUCGUAACUAGUCAGGGUAACCUUUUUGACAUGAAAUUGCAACCUAAAAAACACUUUAUUAGGAAUGAACCUAUGCUGUGCUUUCGCCCUAACAAUUUAUCGAACUUGCAUCAGGGAGUUAAUCCCACUGCGGCUGGGGAUCAAGUAGCAAGGUAUGCAUGCACACAGAGGACCAUGCCCUUCGAAAGUAAACAUCAAUAUGCUGAUCGGGAAAUUAAGAGAACGGAUUUCUAAGUCAACAUUUUCGCUUUCUUAGGUGGCAUUCCCUGAAUUAAGAUUACCAUAUGAAAGAAAGUACCAUCCUGCUCUGCUACUUGUUUCUUGAUCUCUGAAUUUGAGGCUUCGUUGCGCCUCCCCUUGGGCCCCAUCUUUUAUUGAGUGAUUCCUAACUGCUUGUCUGAGGGAAGUUUUCUCUACCCGAAAGUAGGUGACAUCGCGAGUCGUUGUGAAGGGCCGCGAGUUUUCCAUUUCCAAUGUAGUAUCACUAUUCAAGUAGAGUAUAGUAUUCUCCCCCAUCAGAGUACUAAAAGCUUCAAGUAUAUCUUGUGAGAAGUCAAUGAGGUCUCUUUGAUUGAGAAAACGGACUCCUAUAAAGUGAGAGUAUACGAGUUCGGCAAAAGAACAAGUUAUGUAUCAUAUAGAAACAGUAAAUAGAGAAUUAGUGCGGAGGGUGCUCCCUGAAGAAAAGACGGAAGAAAAGAAUAGGGCCAAUACACUACUAAUGUUACGCGGCAGCGAGCUAAAAGCGGUAGCAACAGCCGCCAAGGCACUGCUAAUGUGCCGCGGCAGGAGUCAUUAGACUACGUUAGUUGCGCGGCAGGGCCGCUUCCUAUAAUUCCUUCGAGUUAUAACAAUAGAUGCUUUCGGCGUCAGCGAGCUAAGAGAGCGGCAGCCAAUAAACAGUUAUAACGGCCAAGCAACUACUAACGACCGCCAAGACACUACUAACGUGGCGCGGCAGUGAGUUUUAGGCGGCGCAAGACGUUGGGCGGUAGCAAUAGUAACAUAUAUUACAAGUUAUUACAAUAGAUGCUUUUGGGGCCGCUCCACUCUUUCUAUUACAAUAUAUGUUUAAAGCUACUGAACUAGUACGGAGUUGGUAGACAGGUUUCCAAAGUGGUUUUUCAGGAUUAACAGCGUUCGGUGGUGUCUAUUGCGGGUUCCAAUCAUGACUAGUGGGUCCUAGCUUACUGAAAGAAGACAUCAACUCGUCGGGAAGAGGGAACGGAAGGUAGACAAACGCUAUGAUAUCAUAUUAAAGAACUCCCGGAGAACUUAGCUACUUCCUCCCUAAGACUGACUGAAUCCAUAGAUAAUAUCUCACUCAUUAUUCUCUUAUAGAAUUUCUCACUUAUAUAAUUUAUGAACUUACUUAAUGUCGACUACUGCUUUCAUACCAGAAACAGAGCUCAGCGCUCAUCUCGCUAAGGAACAAAGCUUUAGAAUAAACGCGCAAUAAACGCAAAUCCAGAGCCAUCAACCACAAGGGAAGAGAGCAGAAAAGACAUCCUACAGAAAAACAGCAGACAAGAGAACAACUCACUGCUAGAGUAAACGAGGAAACAGCAGCAAAUGAGAAACAAACUAACCUAAAAAAGCCAAAUACCACUUGCCUUACUACUUGCCUUACUACUUGCCUUAACACCUGAGCUCCAAACAAAGCCGACCCGAACUCUUAUAAGUGUUAACCCCGAACCGAACCCACCUCUACUCUUCUCUGUCCUGUGUGCGGGUGAUGAAAAACAGAGCAGAGACCCGACCCUAAGAUCGAGCGAGACUAAAGAAAGGCCGAGGCCGAGAAAGAAGCUCAGUAUUUGUAGCCCUCUAGCUCUGCCAUACUAUCAAUUCUUCCCCGAAUCCGAACCUUAACUUUCAGCUGACUACCUUUCCACUUAUUCUUAUCUCGACUACUUCACUCGAACUUUGGAUAACCCAGCUCUUUCCCCAGCUUCUUACUAAUAAUUGCUAGUACUUUCUUCUUUGAUUCCCCUAACUGCAACGCCUUUACUUUAUUCUGACUUAUAUAUAAGAUAGGAACCGAACCCCCAAACUAACUUUCAUCAUGAAGCUAGGAACCCCUAAACUAGAACUUUCAUGAUUCGAACCCCGAAACUCACUUAACUAGGGCUUUCUCACUAACACACCUCACUGACGCCGAUACGACGAACACAGGAUAUCGUAGAUGAACUACAGCCAGCCUACAGGAAAGGAGAUCAGCUCGUUGGCAGUCAACAAAGAAUUCAAUCUAUAUUGCAUCGGCAUGACUUAACGCUUCAGUCAACAAAUAAUUCAUGGAAUCUAUCGCGGUCAGGUCAACUCGUUAACGCCACUUAGUCUUGUCUUGCCAACGACUCUAGGCUUUCUUUCUUACUUAUAGACACAAGCACUGGAACCUAUACUAGAUUCUUUUAUUCCAUGAACUACACCUUUACCGCUUGCAGCUUGCUGACUUUAUACUCCUGUCUAAUUACCCAAAUCUAUACAAUAGCGUCACAUUGCUUGUUUCAACAAAUAAGGAAUUUCUGAUUGAUGAGCGUAUAUGGGAAGAUUGCCCAAAUAAGUAAGCGUUAGCGUAACGGCUUGCGGAACUCUCUUUAGCCACUGAGUCUUAUCCUGAAAUUGAUGAUUCUCUCAAUGAUUACACUCGAACCGAAGAAGCAUGGGAAGAAAAGAAAACUGCAAUAAGCAACUCGGGCCGGCGCUUCUGUCUUUCUCGCUUACUUUCCUAUAGCCAACACUCGCACACUAAACUAUACUUGAUACUGGAUACAACACUGGAAUCUCUCUCUACAACAAGGGAAGGAACCAUAAAGAUAUUGGUGUAAAAUGCACUAGAACAGCACUAAAGUAGUUUAAUGGUCAAUCACAUUCUAAACUUCUACCGAUUCGAAAUACUUAAUUUUAGUGUAUAGAAAUAAGGGUAUCAAGUCUCACCCUUCAAGUAGUAGUCCCAGCAUUAAGGUUCAGGUCAGGUUCUUCUGUUUCGACUAAACCUCCCUUUUGGCAUUCUGUACUUCCUGCUUUGUGGACAACACCGAGUUUCACUGCUGUUACUACUGAGUUCAAUUCUGAGUCGUACUUGCUCUGGUUUCAUUCUGAGUCUUAUACCGGAUGUGCUUAGUUGCAUUCUGUUACUACCCCAGAAGUAGGAGUUAAGUACUUUAUUCUUUUUGGGAAACUGGUUCUCUUUCUUCCCUCGCCUAAUAAACCCUCUUUAGCUAGUGUUUCUAGGAAAGUAGACUCGACUCUGGCUCUGUAAACUCAUACUGAUUCAAAAGGGCUACUACUUGGAUGAUUGGAUCCUAUAUCCCCGGUUUCAUUCUGAUAUUGACUACUGAGCUGCUUUCUCAUCUCCGCAAGUCGACAACUAGGUGAAUGAAGUGACUACUGAGUGCAAUUCUGAGUCCCCGAACACAGGACUUGGUUAUUACUGUGACUAUAUACUUCAUGGGGCUCCAAAACACAUCCAAAGUAGUUGCUUGUCCCCGACCUCUAAUAAGUGUUAACCCCGACCUAUCCUAGAAAGUCACUUCUUGUCUUCCCCUCCUUCUGCUGAUUCCACUCUUUCUAGUGCAUCUGAUCUGGUCGAUUCCACUCUUUCUCCACUUUCUGAACUAAAACGUCUUGAUGGUUCAUCUGCUCCUGAUUUGGAUCCUGCUGAAGAUUCUAAUUGGAUUCUGCAUCCUAAAACAGGAACUGGCAUAACUCCUAAGAACUCUUUACUUGAAGAUUAACUAAAAGUGGAGGUCGGCAAAAGAAAAGAAGAAGGUUGUUCAAUUGAUUUAUGCGCGCAAGGAGUUGAUAAGUGAGUUUCCAGGCUAGGUCAAUUCCUUUAUUAUUACUAUAUUACCCCCUUACCGAGAUCUGAUCUAUACCUUAUAGCAGCUUACUUUUACUACCUUAUAGCAGCUUACUUUUACUUAACUGCUUCUUCUCUAAAUCCUGAGACUUUGGAUUCUUUCUUCCUGGGGGCAUGAUCCUGGCUUUACUGCCUUUAACUCAACCUAGUGCUACCUAGAAUCGAGUCAGAGAAUACGAGAAUGAAAUCACAACAAAUGAGAAUUGGACUACUAACUAUCAGAUGGAAUACUGCCUUAUAAAAGGAUCGAAUUGUGCUACUGAUGAGAAUGAAAACACUGACUCUGUACUAUAUAUUAGAAUAAUGAACCAACUGACAGGAAGCAAGGCUGCCAGCUACUAUUUAUGAAAAAAGGGGGGAUAAAGACUCUAGGGCAGAAGAGAGAUAGGAAGAAAUAAGAAAGAAGUAUUUUUCAGUAAAUAGGAAGAAAUAGAACUCCUAAUAACGCCGAAAACGGGAUAAGAUUAUAGCGCACAGAAUGCAAAUAAUGAAUUGAGAAACUCAUACAUACUUACUUGUUUCUUUCUUUAUGCCCGUUUGUUGUUGUGCUUGUUAGUGUGCGAAAGACGUUGUGCUUAACGGGAGCUUCAAUUGACUGACGACUUGGAUCACAAUGAAAGGAAUCAUAUGCAACGCUUAGUGCCCAUUAUGUUGUUGGGCCCGGUCCAGAAUAAAGCAAGGUUAAGGGAAAAGAGGCCUUCAGCACCUUUAUGCGAAUCCAGGUUAAGGGAAAAGAGGCCUUCAGCACCUUUAUGCUUAUAGGAGUCAGGAUUAUAAGUGAGUUUGAAAACAAUGAAGUUUAUUUACUCUUAUCUAUAAUGUAUUUAGAAUGCUCUAAUGUGCGACUUGGACCACACCUCGCUUCUUUGUCAGUAGUUUAUCUUGAUGCUGAUUCUUCCUUGACACACCAUACUUAUAAUAUAGGACAGAGCUAUGGAGACACCUUUGAUUUGACUUACUUCCGGGUCCGCUCCAUACUUAACUUGACUUCAAACUCACCUUCAUCGCCCCGCGCAUUCGGCUUCUGUAACUUGGCUUUUAUCUGGAACUCGUACUCGCUCUAAAAGAGUGGAAGUAAACUAGUUAGGCGAAAGAAAAGAGUCAGGGUUCGGGUCGGAAAGGAUAGUUCCGCUCUCUUCUCUUUGGCGCAAUGGAUGGAAUAGAGAAAUAGAAUGCAAAAAAGUCGAUGCGCAAGAGAUGGAUUCCAUUCAAACUUGAUAUAGUAUAGGGCUGCCUAUAUCUAGCUUAGCUGACUUUCGGGGCUUUGGAGUUGACUCUCCUUUUCUUUUAUUGAGUAACCUUAUACCUAUUACUACUAAUGCUGCUAAUGAUAUGGAUUCUUUUCCUGCUGAUGAUCGAGUCUAUUUCGACUUUCCAACUUAAGAUCUUUCUCCGUAUGAAGGUAUUGAUACUGUAGUAGUUAAUCCUGAGGCUGCUAAACACUAAUAUGAUUCCUAUAGUUUGGUUCUUUUAAGCGUUAUCAGAUGCGGGAACAGAGGCAAAAGCUAGAUCCGGAGUUGGAGCUGGAUAAGUUGUUUCGAGAAAGGACAAAGGCAGAAAACUCACUACAGAGGUAUCGAGAAAGGACAUAGGCAGACUCCAACAUUAGGACAUAGGCAUUCGAAUUCUCAUUUGUAUCGUAUCGGCGUUAGUGAGCUAGUAACUUCACAAAACUUCCCCCGUACCUAUACUUAAGCAAGAGUAGAGUCCCACCACUCAUUAUCUACUGAAUCUAGCUAUCCUACUGCAUCCUUAAAAAACUCACUCCUUAAAAAACUCACUCCUACUCAAUCCCGAAUCACUCUAAAGUAAAGAACAGAGUGCACCUAUUACUAUGAAAUAAUCACAGUAACCUAACAACACUGUUUUGCUUCCUUACUCUCAGUCAGGGCUAGAUUCUAUGGCUUAAAUGCAUCUUAUGGCCUAUUUACGUCCCUUCUUUUAUUUGCUUUCCCCUUGCUUGCGCCUUUGCUUGUUUAAAAUCAUCUAGAUCGCACCACCACUCAUAGAAUUGACUAAUACCUAAAAGCUUUCUCACUGGCCAAGUAACGGAUAGACAAGUACUGGAACUGGCGAACACAGGACUUGGUCAACGACAACUGUUCAUUCGGCUCCUCCCCUAAAAGACAAAGAGAGAGACAAGCGUAUACCACAAAAGCAUAGAAAGUAGACAAGCAACUGGAGUGGUUACUGGCAAAGAGUUACUCAACACUUUAUGAACUCUAUAGUCAUUAGUUUACUUACCUCAACUCCGAUACUAAUGCAUACUCUAGAUACAUCUACUAGUCAUUGAACCCUGCUGUCAACUAAUACUGAUGAAACUAGGGACGAAGACUAUCACUUAACUCUCACUGGAUCGGUAUUCCACUCUACAACUACAGGACUAGCUACUCUAAACUAGCAACUCGAAACUACACUUGAAUAGCUUACCUCGGCUCUGUGAACUAAGGCUCAUAGUAAUAGCAAAUGGAAUAUGAAAGCACACAUAUAAAUAGAAGUUCAAAGCGUAAUUAAUAUAAAUGAAAAGAAUACCUAAGGUCGGACUCAAACUCAAUUAGUAGUUCCUUGGCUCAUAGCAAAGCAGACUUACUGUGGCUCUUACUUGGCGACAACUGGAAUUCUAUCUUUCUUAUUAAGGAUUACAUUAAAGGUAAGGGGGAAGUUUUCCCUUGCCCAACCAGUGGAGUAGUAAAGUAGUCAAUAGAGAACCAGUUGACGGGGCUCCUGCCGCUACACAUAUUUUGAGUGACUUGGCCCUUAGUUACUUGGCGUCUGUCUGCUUGUCCUUUCGCCCUUACUUGUUGGAUUGAACUCCAAGAUAAGAGACAGAUGGAUCAGUUCUAAAGUCUGUUUAUGAAUGACCUGUUAGAGUGAGAGUUGAAUGAAUUAUAAUAAGGGGUUUCAGACCGGUAGUACUUGUUCUUGAACACAGGACUUUCCGUUCAUAAAUAAGAAUGAGUUGACAUAGCAGAGGGAUAUCUUGAGUUAGCUGAGCCGGGAGUCAUAGUAGCAUACCGAUCCUGUUCGAGUGGAAUCCUAUUUAGAAGCUGUGCUAGGAAUGGAGUGAAGUGUUGUUAUAGUGAUUUUCAACCCAUAUCUGAGGGUCGGUAACUAACCAUGUACAGUUGCGUUUGUAGUAUAAGCUUUGGCGGUAUUGAAUUCAACUCUAAAGUAGGCGGGGGAAUUCCAGAAUUCGACUCCUGUGUUCUUUGGAAGGAGUGUUCUUAUAGCUACGUUGCUUGUCUGCGUGUCUCCAAGCUCCCUUUAGCUACACUGUAGUAGUGACUUGGCUAAUAGUGUCUUUUCUGCUUGCCGGGAAUUGGACUCUCGAGCAUCUAAUCAAACCUCAGAUUUAGUGAAGUCCAAUUGCUAGCGUAUUCUAAGAAAAAGUAUAAUAGAAGGAAGGAUAGAUCUAGCGCAUUAGGUAUAAUAAUUAGGCUCAGGGCCAUAAUACAUAAUUUGCUAGCCAAUGAAGUAAGAAAUAAAGAAUACAGUGUCGAGGAGAGGCCCUUAUUGUAAGUUGCAGACUAUCUGACUUGCUUUGAUGCGAGGGCAGCGUCAGCUGCGAUGCCUUUAGUUGAGGUUGCCAGUACUUUUCUUGUUGUUGGUGAAUCCCUAGUUAAGAGAGAAAAGAUGCUAUGUGAAGUCCUUUUUCGGUUGCUUUGAUGCGAGGUGUACUAAUGAGGGUGUAGUUAGCAGACACGCAGCUUGAAACAAUAAGUAUUAGUUGCUUACGUAGCAUAGAAUACCGGUUGACUCUCGUCUUUGAGUCCAGUGUAAGGGAAGGGCGGACUCUGGUAUUCUUCCCCCCAACUGCUCUAAUAAAGAAUUAGCCACACUAGUGCAUUUUAGUUAAAGUCAAAUUAGUUACUAUAUUAUAUAUGCUUAUUUUAGUUACACCUGGAUUCAACUCCUCUCUGCUCCCUAGUAGUCCCGCUCCUUAAAGUAGUGGUGCCAGUGCAUAUGUAUUUAUAGCUAGAGUCGAGGGAUGGAGGUAACACUUUCACUUAUCUGUCUGCUUUAAGAUCUUUAGAAUGGAAUUGACUAGGAGCAGCUUCACGGUUUGAACCCGGCUUAUGGUCCUUCUUCCUCACCUGUAUUUGAUUAUGUAUCGCCUUUACUAUAAAAGUUGGAAAGUAACUUCAAGUGGUGUUCGAGUGGAAUUUCAUUAUGAUCUUAUUAUAGGAGAACGGAUGAAAGGAGAACGGAUGAAACAGCUUCCCGAACCGACCUCAACUCGACAAACUGGAUUUAGCCUUUCCGUACUUGAUAACUGGAACAAUACUUGAUACCCGAUGAAGUUGGGCUUGGAAGCAUACUUGUUUUAGUAACACCUAGCCUCUGGUAUUGAAGUUAUGAAUGGAAUUGAAUAAGCACAGCUAAACAACUACUAGAACAAAUCUCUUAUAUAGAAUCAAUCAAUAAAUCCGAGGAAGCUGUAAGUACUAUUGAUCCCGGGUAAGAAACAUCAGAAUGGGCUCGGUAAAGAAUGGAGCAGCCAACAAACUAAGAUGAAACAAGGGAUUCCGCUCGGGAUGAAGACUAACCACUCGAUACUAUGCCCCGACCUCCACUAUCAAAUAAUAAUGAGAUUGCCUAGGAACAGCUGCAGGUUGCCUAGGAGCCUAAUGAAGUUAGCUGACUCACCCUUGCCUUAUACAGGAUGCGGAAGAUUUGUCAUAGGUGUUCCAUGAGUUCAAUUCAAACUUUGAAUACGGAGUUGCCUUACUAGGGUUAUAUACUGAAUGCAGAGAAUGGGUCAUACAGGCCCACCUCUCCUAUGCUCUUUUCACUCUUGUUCUUUAUUCAAAUUAUAAGAAUUCAUAGACUUACCGCUACUAAGCAAAAGCAGGGGAAACAGGCAAUUUAGAAACACAGAUGAGCCAAGACACGGAUAGACAAGUCAACUCAUAUUCAUAUAAUAUAAUAUAAUAAUAAUAUAGUAGGGACCAAGCAUAUACUAAUGUAGUGCGGAGGAAGCAAGCAUAUACUAAUGUAGUGCGGAGGAAGUCUGGGUACUGUUCACUUGUAUAUAAGGGGAGUUGAAAUCCCUCUUUGUUUUCAAUUGAGUUUAGCUAUUCCUAAAGUGUGCAGUCACUUCUAUUCCUAUUCUUAUACCUGUCCUAUUUUCAUUGAAACCCGCACCCGAGUCACUGAAUAAAACAAGCCUUCGACCUCGAAUAGCAAAUAGAGAAAAUCAUUCAACACGACCUGUGCUAAUACCUGAGAUUCAUUCCUUAGCUCCUAGAUGGGAAGGAAUGUUUUGAACAGCUCCGGUUUAUCAUCACCUAUGGCAACUGCCUACUAAACUUCCCUGGCCUACCCUGCUGGCUUUUGUUAGUGCUCUGUCUGAAGCUUAUUCCCUGGCCCUAGCUUUAAGAGAAUCAUAUGUCUCUUUCUGCCCUUGCCUACCAGCCUACCUUGAUAAAGCUUAUAAUGCAUCUACCACUUCAACACCCGAAACAAGACUGGAAGACAAAACUAGGGAUGAAACAAGGUAUUCCACUCUAAAUCCUGUCUUCGUAGAUGUUUUCACGGGCAAAGGUAUGGUCUGCAAGAUAGAGGGAAGGAGUUUAUUUACUAGUUUCUUUACCUGGUGCAAGAGAAGAGAUAGAGUCACUUCAUUCUUAUUGCCCUAAAGGUGUAGACUUGGUGCAAGAGAAGAGAUAGAGUCACUUCAUUCUUAUUGCCCUAAAGGUGUAGACUUGGAUCUUAAAGCUACCUAUCCCUUUGGUGACUUUUCCCUAGAAGAAAGAGUAUUUUAUUGAAACCAAGCUGACAAGCCGACAAGUAAGUAUUAAGUAAGUCAUAGAAUAAGUAGACUUCCAUGGAAUAAGUAUCAGAAUGGAACAAGUAAGUGCGGGUACUAAUGAUAAGCAGGUACGAUCUAGCGAUCUAUAAGUAAUCAAGGAUAAGGCCAUAGUCAAUAAUUGCUAGCGCAUUACUACUAAGAGCGGGAGAGCAAGAGGAGAGGAAAGAAAUCACCUGACCUGGAAACAAAGAAUUCCAACAGUAAGGGCGGAUAGGUAGACAAGCCAAGCCAAGCCCUGUUUUAUAGGCUAAAAGGGAAUGAUUUCUAAUCUUAUUUAGUUUGAUGGGCAAAUCAUAAGAAGUGUCGUUAGAGUGCAUUUGAGCCUAUAAGAUUUACCCUCUUGCUCUGUGAACUCAGGCUCAUCUACCGGUAGUCUUCAAACUCCAUUCCAUUCUUGCUUUAUUCGGCUCAUCUACUGUUGUUGCUUGGCCCCAUGCUUUCAAGCUUCAGGCAUAAAAUCAAGCUGAUAUUGGCACUAGCAUAUUAUAGGGAAUAAGGAAUAGGGGUAGAAAGCGCUUAUGAUUGAUAUCAGUUAUAAGGACGUUGAUGACUCCUCGCUUGUGUCCCUAAAUAAUAGAGGAAUAGGGUUCCAUAAUGGGUUUAGAGCUAAAGAACCCGAUGGAAGAAGCACCGCUGGUGUAAUAGUCUGCAAUGUCAUCAUUGAUGGAGGAAGUUGUUUCAAAUGUCUCACUAGAGAUGGUCGAUAAAUACAAACUUCAGUUCAGAUAGACAAUCCAAAUAUCAUGGUUUCAGAAAAUAAAUGACAUAAGGGACAUUGAUCACUUUCUCCAUUGGAAAACCAACCCACCCUACAAGGAUGCAAUUUGCUGCGAUGUCGUACCUAUAACAGACCGAAGACUGCCUUGUGAUACAGCAGCUUCUUCUAGUUUUAGGGGUAGGGUCAAUAUUAUGCGUGUCUUAUGAACAGAAAGAACUUCUUCUAUUUUAUUAUGGCUCGUCCUUUGCCUUUAUUCUGGAUUUAUAUAUUACUGCUUCUGCUUCUAUCAGACACCACUCCUACCAUUCAAUCGACGGAGAGUUAGCCCGCCCUUCGCACCCUAUCGUACCCAACUAGAAUAUGCGCAUGUAGGAGCAUUAUUUUGAAGCGUCAAGUCAGACUCCUACUCACUUUGCUUUGUGUUAGGGGCCAUGUGGGGAAUGAAACAAUUAACCGGACGUAAGCAUUCCUCACAGUAUAGCCCGAACCUCAAACGAUCCCAAGAGGGGUUGGUGAUUGAAUAUAUGAUGGGCGCAAUGAGAAAAGAAACAAUUGUAGAAAAUAAGAGAAAGAUUGAUAAUGCCAUACCUAUAGCUCCCCUUGUGUCCUACUAAUCAAUGGAAGCGCGAAAGGCAGAAGCGCAGAAAGGGUUCGGAGCGGAAUGCCAGUUCAAGUUCAAUUCCUGGGGACUUCUAAAAGCAAUUGUGGGACAGUAUCACGACCUAGCCCAACAAUUAAUGUCAAAAUGAAAGAAGUAGCUAGCUAGUAGCCGCAUUGAAGCAGCAGCCACAGAUAGAGCUUUAAGCCAAGGAAAAAGCCUAUUUUAGGGGAUAACUAAACAAUCGGAAGGUCUGGUCUGUUUUUAGUGAGCUUUCUUAUACUUUCUCUCUCUUUAGUAUACUAAUCCUUUGGAAUGUAGAGCACCUAACCUAAGAACUUAUGCUAAUAGCUAAUACCCGCGCCAUGGAUCAUUCAUUCACUUAGGGCGAUGCUAGCCAAUAUGACGAAGGAACGCAAAGACAAAGAGCAAACUAUGUAAUAAGUAGAAUAAUGCUUGCCGCCGGUAUAACUAGUCAAAAAAAGGGAAUGCUAUCAUGUUUGCAGCACGGAAGAUGGCACCUAAUUGCUAAUCCCCUUUAGUUGUAAUGAGUCCUCCUUUGAAAGAUCCUUGGGACCAAGUUCACUGAACGAGGUCGAUACUGCUCUUUGUUUCGGGUCGAUACUGCUCUGCUCUUUAAUUAAGUAUAAUAGAAUAUUUGUAUGUAGCAGGGCGUUAAGCACAUCCUCCUGACUGCCUUAUUUUCCCUUCAUUUCUAUUGGUAUUGGCUAUGUAAGAUAAGUUCCGGCAUGAGGUUGUUUUUUUUAUUGGAAUAAAAGGCAAUGCCAUUCUUCGGUUAGCAUAAAAGUGACAGAAUAGCUCGUCAAAACACAUAUAUUAUAAAGUAUAGUGGAAAAGGCAGGCCACUAAGGAAGUUGCAAAGACAAGAUUGACUUAUCUUAUUCCCUUCUUUGCUUUACUAUUCUCAUUCCGAUUUCGGGCAGGUUAUUAAUGAAGCUGGAAAAAGCCUCUGAAUAAAAAAGAAUCAACAACAUCAAGAAAAAGUAUUAGGGAGAGAAAUAAGUCCAAUAACAAGAAAGAGGGCUCUUAAGGAAAUGGAAGCACUGCUCUUUCGCCCCUUCGUUGGUCCGUUUAGUCACUCGAAAUCGAAACUCAUAUCACGGGGAAGGAUUUUCCGCGGAUUAAGUGAGGACACACAGUUUCAUUAACCUAUCUCCGUCUAGCUCGUGAAUCAUGCAGAACCUAGUGACGAAGAGAGCUUUCACUGGCUUUUGAACUAUAUGAUUCCCAUUGAGAGCGAACUACAGGUGGAUCGCAUACUGAUCCUGUCCAAUAUAGCCUCCCUUCUUUGAAAGAUGGAUCUUCUCUUUUGCUAAUCUGGAAUAAGAAAGCAAGCAAAGACUUUAGCUAAUUUGGAAUAAGAAAGCAAGCAAAGACUUUAGCUAAUCUGGAAUAAGAAAGCAAGCAAAGAGGUAGCCAGAAAGAGAAUCCCUGAGGUAUGUAGGUUUCAAAGAGACCAUUGGUAGCAGAGGACUGAAUUUGGCAUGUGAUAAAGGUUUUCGAAGAAUAAGAAAGGGAGAGAAAUGGAUAAAGCGGAUGGUGGUAAAGUCCAGCAAUGGAAUAGAAGAAAGUAUUAGUUGUGUAUGUACACUAUGAGUUUUUGAAGUUUCUGGAUGAAGUCAAAGCUUCUGGAGAACUUGCCCCAUUUCUCUUUUUCAACAAUCGGAGGGAAAGGUGUCUUUCUAAUAGGAGUUAAGGUUUCUGGGUGGGCAGCUUUCUUAUUGUUGGCCUUAUUUGGAGAGAGGAGAGCACAGAAAGCACUUUUUGAGUUCUUUUGAAAGAGAAUUCACUGACGGAGGAUGUUAUGCUUCCCUUUUAUGUGUAUAACCUAAUAUUUCUAUUGAGGAAGGCUCUUUGCCCAUCUGAGCAGUUGUGAUUGAGGGUGAUCCCUCUUUUUGAAAAGAUGACAUGUCAAGUCCAUUGAAGAAUAAAGAAAUGAUGUCCAAUCAACUGUCAUUCAGGAAAUUCCUUCGUUGCCUUUGAAUGCUCUACUUUUGUAUCCACAGAGUGUUCUUUUCCCUUUAUUUCAAAAGAAUAAGAUAGCUCCCCAGUAAAGAUCACUUGCCUCAGUCUUAAAUCAGAUUUCUCCUUUGUAAGGAAUCAGGAGAGGUCGGCCAAGCAUUCAGAGGACUUCCCAACCAACACCCUUUAUUAGAAAUCUCCCCCGUCGUAUGGAGCCACCGUUUUGAUGAUCCUUCCUUUGCUCCGAUCGGCCAGGGCUUAAGUCUGAGUAGAAGGCCUGUGUGUUACGGGAAAGAGAAAGAUCCGGGUUUUUGUUACUGGACGGUCUACGCUACCAGUCUAAUACCUCUAAUAAAAACACUAGAUUCCCGGUUCAAGAGAGUGAAGGAAAGGCUUCUCCCAAUAAUACACUAGAUUCCCGAUUUGGGAAGUAGGGCGACAUUCUUCUUUUAACAAAGCUGUAUUUCUUAGCUAAUGCGUUUCUGGGAUCCAUAUGCGACAUCAUUCAAUGGUAUUUUGACAGGAGCAAUGGAUGGCGCUUUUCUCUUUCUUAUGCCGGGCUCAGGUUACUGAAACGGAUCCAAAGUGAUAGCUAUUAACGGAGUUGUAGUUUGCUCUGUCUGGCAUGGACUAUGGUCUGAGUACUAAAUAUAAGGCAGUGUCGGAAGGAGGGCAUUUAGACCUAAACCUUUCUUUUUUGCUUAGUUCAUUCUAUUCUUCUUCACGGAAGUCUUGUUCCACUUAUUUAGGUAAGCACGUCGGGAAGGGCCCAGUCUGUAGCCCAUUCGUUUACAAUGGAAAAGCCGGUUUACAGGUAGUGCUGCCUCUUGGUCCAGGUUUACAGGUAGUGCUGCCUCUUGGUCCAGGUCUUUCCUACUAUACUUAUCAAUAGUUUUUCAAAAGGGAGUGUUGAAUGAGAAGGCGCUUCAACCUUUAGAGUUCUAUUCGAUGUCGGAAUGAUUACCCUCCGUUUCCUGAUGCAAGAUGGUCAGCUGACGCGAGAUGGACUGCAGCUGUGAUAGAAGGAUUUCCUAAUUCAUUUAUUCAUCUCCAAGAAGUUAAUGAUUUAUGAAUGGUAUUCUCCAGCAGAAUUGUAUUUAUCCAGUAAGUAGGGAGGCCUCCAAAGAGGAAUAAUAAAUGGAAUACAUAAAGAAAGGUCCCCAAGUUCUAAUAUUCCGUGACAAAGAAAUGCUUUCAAUUCUCCGAUCAAUGAUUGCGCGAGGCGAGGGACAACAACCGACCUACUCUAGCUUUCCACUGUCAUGCACUAGGCUGGCAAAUUCGAGGUUUGUUUCGAAAAGUGCAUUCUUUUCCUUUAUCAUCUUCUUUCUUACAGGAUAUAAGAAGGUUACGUAUGCUUUUGCGAAGGCUCUAUGAAGAGAGUGCAGCUCCUUAUUCUAGUGCCACCUCGAUUGGAGAUAUUUGUCCUAAUUCCGGAGAUUCGAUUUCCCCUUAUAUAGCUUCCAUACUUAUUACUACUGAGACAAGAUUGCCUUUUGAUUGAGUACAAGUCCAGCAAUGACUUGAUUCUUCCCACGCACGACAUGGCUUCAGCCUUCGGUUCCUUAGAUACUUAGAAUUCCGUGACCCUAUUCAUUUCCAGCUAUCCUUCCUGCCAACCGCCAAAGCUACAAGCCAGAACCAAAAAGCACUGGUCCUCAUAUCAUAUGGAUGAGAAAGGCGAAAGAGGCAGAACCUUUACUUACCGAACUUUUACCUUACCGAAUAGAACACUUUUUCUAUCUCUUCAAUUGCCUUGAACAAGCUAACCUACUAUCACACACAAAAGGGAGCAGGCUGAGAAUAAUAUAAAUAAUCUCCUAUGGAUUGAUUCUAUCUUGGAAGACCAGAGCGACUAUCCAGGAACGAAUAAUAGGGUAGUAAGGCUUGCGCUCUAUAGAAGAGAAGAGCUCCUUUUUAGAAAGAGAGAAAGAAAGAAAGAAACAUAAUAAUGUAUUAGUAGCAGCUGUUACCAAGUGCUGUGUUCGGCGGCAGGAGCUUCGGCAAUACCAGAUAAGUAGUGGAAGAGUACCCGCUCCUGACUGCUUACUUUACUCAACAACAGACAGGUAGAUCGCCAUCCGCAACAGCCAUCGGUUCAGAAACUAUAGUUCGGCAAAAGGGAUAGGGAUGCAGGAGGUGUCGAAACAAGCUAUAGUCAUAUAUGCGGAAAGUCAUGUUAUUAUUGAAAGAUCAGGCCCUUACUCUGUUGAAAGAUCUUCAGUCUCAUCAGUCUCAUCAGUCUCAUUAGUCUCAUUAGUCUCAUCCGCAGUGCGAGUGGAAUAAGAAUAGGAAUGUGCUAGCAAUGUUGUAUAGGGCCCUUAAACGUAGUUCUUCAAUUCUGUAUUCCUGUGCCCUUAACCCUACCCUUACUUUCUACUUUACCCCAGCAGUUUCUAAUUCCGUCUUCUCUUUACAUUGCAUUUCGUCGACAACACAAACUCGGGAUGAAACAAGUACUAGGGGCGAACAGAACACUUCACUUCAUUAGGACAGAAACACGGUUCCUUUGUUGGUUAGGCUCAAUCUUAGUCUGGGUAUCAAUCAAUUGACAGAAAUAACAGAUCAAGCUUGAUUUAGGGAAGAAAAGAAGCUACAGCUACGGAUAGAUCACCAGAAGCAAACAAGGGUUUUGGGUAUAGACAUAGAGACAUAGACCCACAUAGCGGUAAUAAGAAUCAUAGGCUCUUAAAAGAAACAGAAAUAAUAGCAAGUUUCCUGUUCGACAAUAACAAGUCUAUAUUUUCGGAAUCUAUAAGGCGACGAGAUAAUCAAGUGUUAAAGCUUCAAACCAAACUAUCAAUCAGGUGUUCUUCAAGCAGGAGAAAGAGCAACAUAUGGAAUUGGAGUAACAGGACACUCCUUCGCCCUACUAGUAACCUCAAUGGUAGCCGCCUAAUAAAGUAUCAAGUCAGGCAGUAUAGGGUCUCAAGUGCAAGUGAUCAGAAGGGUUGCUUUGCCAGGACAGGAGACUUUCGUCAAUCAGUGUUAUCGCAUGUAAGAAGCUGUGCCCAGAAUCCGCAGAAGAUUUCUCAGGAUCAGAAGGCCUCCGUGCUUUUGCAUUCUUCUGUUCGACAGUAAAGUGAAGGUGAUUCUAUUCUGUUGUCGAUUCAUAAAGUAUUGUUCUAGAUUCCAGUAUUGUGUUAGAUUAUAGUAUUGUUCCAGAAGUCGAAGAUCAUGCCCACUACGCAGGAGUAGAAUCAAGAUAAUCGGUGUCGAGAUGGUAUAAACGUGUUGGUGCAGGAAAUAUUAGUAGUUGGGGUAAUAAACAAUUCCAUUCCUAACUUCCACUCUGCUAAUGUAAAGAAGCUACUCGUAACACUGCAACAAACAACGGAAUGCAAAGUCUCAGGUAUCUCCUUUCGUAGGAAGUGAACCUAGAAAGAAAGUGAGUAAUGCUCGCUCUGUGAAAGACUAAUAGUAAUGCUCUGUGAAAGACUAAUAGGGUAAUGUGCUCAUUGCAAUAAAGUCAUUUUCGCUCUGUUUGUUUACUUCUAUCUAUGAUAUGCGAGAUAUCUUCUUUUCUCCGUUUCGAAAGAGCAAGCCCCGAGAGUAAGCCGUGUUAGGUGAUUUGGAGCAAGCAAGCAAGCUUCUGAUUCUUGUUUCGUAGUGCGCCAGGCAGUCAAAUAAGUAGAGUGGCCGUUACGCUAAUGAAGGAGUCAGGGGAAAUCACUCUUGAGACGGGAGCUGUGAGCCCAGGAAUAAGAAUGAAUAUAGUAACAGCCGAACACAGGACUUGGUAAUGACUUCAGUAGUGGAGCAUCUAACAUUCCAUUCUGGAAUUCUUCUUACACCUGCACAGAGCACAUUCUAAGUAUUUGUAAGUAUAAGAGUAGUGACUUGUAUGCCUUUGUAGUUGUAGCUUGUUGGGAUGAAACUAUCACUGCAGCUUAUAGGUUUGAUUCACCAGGUUGUAGGGAAUUCCUAGUUGUGAGUUGUUUUCUUAUCCCCGGCCCAUAGGCCUAUACCAAUAAGUGCAAUUCUGUCUUAUCUGAGCACAAGUUCCCCUAACGUUAGAGUAUGUCGUAGUAGGUGGGGUCUCUAUUACACGUUUUUAAGUCUUAUUAGUCCACAGACCCAUUAUGAGUAUUCUCUUAAACGCCUCUUAGUAUCCAAUCCGAGGGGGACAGUGACUAUAGUAGUGGAAUAAGAAUAAUAGGUUUAUGCUCUAGUUCAAGGUAGAGCGGGGGAAUGAUAUAAGUAUAAGAUAUUAUGGGCUUGGAAGCUGGUGAGUUAGGCUCGGACAGCGAGGUAGGCAGUAAGGCUUGUGUAGCUGGGCUUAGGUCCUAUACGUAUAAGUGAAUUCCCAGUUGCGUUCUUAUAUCAGUAGUGUGAACCCUGUUAUCAGUAAGGUGUAUUCUUUAUUCCCAGUGCAAUUCCCUAUUCUUUGUUCGACGAUAGGUGUUCUCUAUUCUUUGUUUAACCAUAAGAUAAUGGUAUGAAAUUCACUAUAGAAGUUAGGAAAUAUAGAAUUCGAUCUAGGAAUAGAAGUUAGCGAGUCAGGUUUACUACCUGGACAAUUCAUUCUGAUUGGAAGUCAAAAGUAAGGUGUUGUUGAGUGUGCCAACGUAGACUUUAAGCCAGGCAAUACUUCAACUCAAUUCUUAAAGGAAGUAACACGUAUUGCCGUUCUCAACUGCCCACGGAGCGAUAAAGUAGAAAGUGUCAGCAGCAAUCGAAGCGGGAGUUGUUGACUUUAAUCAGGAGUUUAGAGCAGCGCUUUAUAACAUUCUUAAAGCUAUGCGCAAGAGAAGAGAUAGCUGAUUCCAUUUCCAUUAUGAACUUCAGAACAAGCUUAGGCUCUUGCAAGGUCAGGGUAGAAAGCCUGUGUUCAGAAGCAAAGGAAUCAAGUCCAGUACGGGUAAGAAUCAAAUCUAAAGUAAGGUUAAGGCUUGGCGGUUGGUUACCUAUAGACCUUAGAGUCACUCAUAUACCUCUGGCAACUAAUCUGAUAUAAUACCUAGGGCUACGGGAAACUAUUCUAUACUUCCCGCUUCUACAAGAAAGAAGGAUAUUGGUCUUGCCAAUCAAUACUCUAUUCCUGACACAGCUUCUAAAUAGGAUGAUCCUAGAGCAGGACCCGGAAUUGGACUUUCAUACCCAACAAGUCACUCACUACUUGAAUACCCAACAAGUCACUCACUACUAGUUGCUAAGGUUAGCUUUGCUGUUCCAUAAGGAGGAUUUUAAGCAGGUAAUUCAAUUAGAUAAUCAGCAGUUCGAGAAUCUGCAUCAGAGCAGGAAUUAGGAUAUGAUACUGGCUUUGGUGUUCACCGGCUAAUGUAUUUAUUACGAGUCUUGUGUUUGUGGGGGACAAUAAGGCUUAACCGACAGGAAAGUAACUCAAACCCGGGCGUAAGGAGUUUGCCGGAGCAAGUUCUAUUAUUGAGUUCGGGUCUGGGGGCCUAGCUUAGCGAGUUUAGUGCCUUUCUGAAUCAGUUAAAAGAGCUACUGUUGCGCUAACACUUACUGUUCGGGGUGCUACCACGAUGAGUGAAGUUUGCCCUGUUCGACUUGAAGUCCAUUCUUGGACUAGUGGGUACAACUCCUAAUAACCACCACAAAGCCCCCUUCUCGAAUUCCUUAUUUAGAGUAUCAUUCCUUGAUGCGCCUACUCAUUCCUAUUGGUAUGAUUUGGGUAUUCCACUCCUAGGAUCUCACAUCUGACCCGCCCUCAAUGCCUAGUUGGGUCUCGCCCACUCCUUGGUUGAGGUAUGUAUUUCCUGCCCGAAGUCUAUAUGGGGAGUUCACCUCUCCCUAUACUAUCUCUGAUUCUUAUUCUGACUAUACCUUCUCUCGGCCUGCUACUGAUUACUUGCAUUCCCGCUUGUAAACUACCUUAUUGCAUUAAGUCUUCUUUUAUUGUAUAGUCACAAUGUCUUAGUAUUUGCUUAGGUAAAUUGGGUGAAAAAGGGCGACUUCUUUAUCGAUUUUGGGAGAACUAUUUGUUCGGGUGUUAAGUAGCUGGUUUCCUCUUAUCUGUUUGUUCGUUAAGUAGCAUCGUUCGUAUCAAUGUAAGGGCUCGGCCUAGAAGAGUGCGUAUCUAUGUAAGGGCUCGAGCGUUUCUUCUCGUACUUGUGGAUUCUGCGUAAGAUGCAAAGACAGCAAAGACAUCAGUAGCAUCCUUCUUCUCUGUAUUCUAAGUCAAGUUAUAUAAGCUACCCAUGCUAUGGAUACUGGCAAGUGAGGUAGUUUCUCUAUUGAAACAAGCGCUACCUAUGCUACGCUACCUAUGCUAUUGAUACACGUAACAUAUAGUGGUGUUCAUUGCUUCCUUACCUAUGCUAUUGAUACAAGCAAUAUAACAAGCAAGAUAUUCGGGUAGUUUCGUUCCAUAUGCUUAUGUGGUUGGUUUAGUUUCAAGAAAUAACUAGCGCUAACAAGAAUUGAGACUUUCCCCAACGGAUAAGACUGACUUACAUAACAAAUACGUUAACUCAGAACUAGCAAUCGGACACUGACGAGCAAGACUCAAAAUACCAACAAUCUGAAUGGAAUCUGUAACCGAAGUACUACUCAACAGUAGCCGAGCCUUACCGACCCUUAUAUUCAUUCUUUGUUCUGAUUGGGGUUAAUCGUAAUAGUCAAUUUGCCUCCGGAGUUUUAGGCUGAAGCUCCUAGCUGGCUAUUUCAUUCUUAUAGUAGCCCCUGGCAUUCCUAUAGUUUGAGUUAGUUAGCGCCCUAUACUAGCUUGCAUUCUCCGUAUUGUUCCCGACAUGCCUAUGUUCCAGGCUCUUAGCACCUUCCUUUCAUUCCUUAUUUCAAGCUAGAGUCUUUUUGACUUACUUAUUGCAUUCGUUAUUUGUUGGCGGCGUAGUAGAGCUAACUGGCAUCUCUUUCAUUCUUUAGUUGUAGCUUCGGUGUUAAUGGAAUUCAAUCGAUUAGUGCUAUAAGGGCUGUUGACCCAAACUCUCCAUAAGGACCAUACCCGCCAAGGCUAAGAGCAAGAAGUCAAAGGAUUUAUACUCAAGCUGUAAAAGAAUGGUUACGCACCGAGCAAGGGAUCCAACUAAGAAGUGAAGUCUGACUAAACUCACUUAUUAAUCUUACCUUCCUAGCUUUUAGUCCCACUGUACUAGCUUUCAAACUAUUAGGAUCGAUUGCUAUCCUGCCUUCCAUCCAAAACCGAAUAGUAUACCUUUCCUGUCUCUUGACCUGUCCCUAUGACCCCUUGCUUGAAGUCUUAGAUGCUAGAGGAACAACAAAGAUACUACAGUAGUGCCCCCACGUACUUAAUCUCAGUGAACUCAACUCAAAACUCAGAAUUCACCCAUGACUAAUCAGAAUAGAACUCAAAAGACAUAGUCCCACUUUCGGAUAAAGAAUUUCACUCCAUAACACCUGCCUUGCAAUCGUAGCUUAAACCAAAGAAUUCGACUAUAAAGUCCGGAUACUAAGGGAAAGUCCGGAUACUAAGAAGGGGGUGGAUCCUAGCUUAUUCACUGUAAACUAAUAAAACCACUAUUUAUUGCCGACCUAUACGCCUAUAGCUGAGGAAGCACCAACCUACUUAUCUUUCUGGUCGACUGGAAUUUAUGAAUGGAAAAACUCAUACGGAAUGAAACUACUUCCCAGAGGAUUGAAUAAUUCCACUAGAAACUAGGAAUAAGGAAGAAAACGAAACCUAUUGACACGCGCGACACAUGAAACAAACACAGUCACUUUGUUAGUAGGCACAAACACACCCACUUACUAGUAGGCACACACAAACCUACCCACGGCAAUUCAUUCAAACAGGAACGAACUGGAAUUGAAGACAAAGAAACUAUACUUGCUGCUUUGCGCCUCUCUCUUUCAACUAACCAACCUCUUCUCUUAGCGCCCCAUAUGCUAAUGUUUGCGCAAUCCAAUAAAGAACAGAAUAAGGAUUUCUCGUUGUUUAAUAAGCACUGAUCUUCUCGAGUAGCAAAUACAGAUUCCAAUCGAACUCUGAAACGGACUUUUGAACCAAUGAUUCUAUUACUGCAGACACCCACAGACACACGCCCACACACGGCCCACAUACAACCACGGAGACACCCGAAGUGACUUAACUCAUACUUAGAAGAAACCAUUAACCUUAGAAUCAACCAUUAACGUUCCAUUGCGCCAAUUCCAUGAAAAAGUAGAGCUGUUUUUUGACCAAUAAACUCUAAGAAAUUACUGGAAAAUAGAAUAUAUGAUAAGAAUAAAUGACCUAUUCCCCUAGUAUCCCUUUCCUGUCUCUAACUCCACCACUGCCUUAUCUCAUCCUGCCUUAGUGCGCGGGGGCAAACGGAUACUUACUGCCUUUAAGGCUUCCUCCCUUACGAUGAAAUAUGACUACAUCUAUCGCUACACUUACUAUGUUACUUGGCUGAGUGUCUUGUCUUGUAGUUCCUUGGCGCGUAACACAUGGGUGAGACUACCAAUACCAACUACCCUUAAAGAACCAUACCAGAGAUUCUUUAUUGAAUAGUUCCCCGCCUUAAAGUAUUGAGGUUGGCGCAUCCUUAAACUCCAUAUUUGCUUUCUGUAACUCCCGGAGUCGGAUCCAACUUACACCGCUACCCAUAAGAAUGGAGCUCUAGUAAUAACAAGAAGCAAACCGGUACACAUGAAUUCCACUAAGUACUAGCGAGGAUCAAACCAAUACCCAUAAGGAUUGACUCCUGGGGAAGGUACUAGAACACCGGAAUAAGUAAUCAAACUAAUAAUAGGAAGCAUUGACUUGCUCAUAACAGGAGCAAGUCCUGUUUUGUUACCUUAUUCUAUAAGUUGUCAGUUGUGCACUCAAUGAUAUGAUUUGGGCACUGAACACUCCCUUUACCCUCUGCCUCCGUCCUUUUCUAGUAUGAGGUUAUCUUAUGCUGAUAAGUAUUCUUUUCUUAAAGCAAGGGAGGAAACAUCAUUCUUAUUUAUUACCCUUUUCUUAAAGCAAGGAGUUAUCUCACUUAGCCUAGAAGGUAAUGCUGCGGAUGAAAGAGGUAGCCAAGCCCCUGAUUCCGACUAUUUAUUCGAACUCUCUAACUCUCUCACGCUUUAGUAACUCUUUCUCCUCUCCUAACAACGCGCCGAGUCAAACACUAUCAGAUUGCUUAGUCUCUCUUCUAUAUCAAGCAUUAACCGAGUAGUAGGGCAACAGGAAUGGAACUAGUUUGUGCAGAAGAUAAGAUAAGAUUACUUGUUCUCUCUAUCAAGCAUUAACCUAGCUGUAAAGACUGUUGGUGUUCACCCCAAUGGAAUCUAUAGAGCAUAUUCUAUAAUUGAGUAUUUGACUCCACCACUUGCUUCUUUUUCCGUUGCUUGCUCAUUACCUAUUACUUGCCUUGUUUACUUGUUCCGUAGUUUGUUCCUUUGCUUUAAGAGCAAUUAACUCCCUGACGCUAAAACACAGGACGUCGAACUGGAAACUGGAUACUUUUUGGAAACUGUAUACUUUUGCAAUAUAGUAGGGGCGAUAUACUUGUUCCGGCAAACUCUAACGCUCUAUAGGGUUUCUGUACUAAAAAAAGUAUGGAUAAGGUUCUUUACUUGCUUGACCUUUGCCUGAUUGAGUACUAGGGCAGGUGAUUGGCUUGACGUCGUACGAGAGAGGUGAUUGUGUGAAAGAACUCGUUAACGCGCAAGGCCUGGUUUCGUUAUCGGGGGAGUUGUUCUGUGCAGUGCAUAAUGAGAGUACUUGCUUACGGGGCAUCGCCUGUAUCUGCAGCUGCUGCUUUCGAAAGAAUGGCUCUCGGGUCGUCUUCAUUCGUUGGAUUCUUUCUAUACAUAUGUGUCACUGAUAUUGGAUUUCAAUAGCUAUAUUCAAUGCUAUAUUUGAGUUUUGUAUAGGGUGGUUGUUACUAGAUUCUUUCUAUACAUAUGUGUCACCUGAUAUUGGAUUCUCUUCUGAAGUAUAGUUUCGUAUUUUGGGGUCAUAUUAUUCUCUCUCUUAUAUGAAAUGUGGUUUCAACAAUAUUGGAAUUGGAAAUGGAAUGAAAGGGUAACUAAGCACUCCGCCUACAGCCUUUAAUGGAAUCUAAUCCGCUCUCCUGUCAAUCAAGUAUAAAGAGUGGAGUAUUGUAUUGUAUUAUAAAGAGUUUAGUAUUGUAUUGUAUAGAAAUUGGGUAGUAGUGGGUCAAUAGGGAUCAACAUCUACUACUAUAUUUACCUUUCCUCGGUUGAAACUCUUUCCAGUACCUUUUGUCUGAUUGGAUUCAACUAGGCUGGUUCCUCGGUGAGCUUGAGCCAAUCUUCUCUUACCGGGGUAGAUGUAAGCUCCGAAUUAGUGAUAGUCUCCCUUCGCUCGGUCAAAUUGCAACCAAAACAGGCUUUCUAAAGUAUAGCGUCAUUCUCUGACUUUAGCUCGGUAUUGGGUGAAUCUUUCCUUUUCUUUCUUUCAUUCUUCUUUGUAGUAGGUGAGUGUGACUAAGGGAUGUUCUCCUCGGUAGUAGGUGAGUGUGACUAGCUAGCUUAAGGGAUGUUUUCCUCGAGGACUUCCUUCAUCUUUUCUUUCUAUCAGUUUGUUGAGCUCUAAGCCUAGAAGGAUAUCUUUUCUUUCUAUCAGUUUGUUGAGCUCUAAGCCCAGAAGGAGGAGCUAGUUGCUAGGAGAGCUAGGAUUAAGAGGAGCUUUGUUCCUAGGAGCUCGGAUUCAGAGGAGCUUUGUUCCUAGGAGCUGUUAGCUGGAGAGGAGAAGCAGAGCAGAGGGUCGAUGUGAUAUAGCUCAUUAUAUAGUUAUUGGUGGGAGGGACGAAGAAAGUAAGCAAAGAGAAGAGCGAAAGACUACUCACUAGCCCCCAAAACUCACUCAUUGUCGGGAAACUCAUAACUCGCGUUAGCACUAGCGCACCACUAACUAAUGCACAACAGACAGUUGCCGGGUUGCUUGUUCCCCGAACUUGACUUUACCCCCACUUCUUUCCCUUGCUUGCUGAAUGAAAUAAUAAAUAGACGAGAGUGCCACUCGGCCUUAGUCCGGUGAGUUAAGAGCAACGUCGUCUGCAAGUAGUUCUGUUCCAGUUCCUUCUUCAGCGCUAAGUGGUCCAAAUCGUCAAUGGAAGUGCGGUGCAUACUCGUCUCUUUCAGUUUGAGUUUCAUCGUAUAGCAAGUCCGCAUAAGAAGCCAGGAAAGUCAGAGUUAGAGUUUCCAAGAACUCCCCCCUUGCACUUUCCCUCCCGCUUGUAGCUGACUUAGCGCUUGAAGGUUCCCCUGCGAGAAUCAUCUUUCCCUCACCCGCCUAUACAAAAGGAAUUGAUAUCUCGGAAGUAACACAGGAAUCUUUCGAGCCAACACACACCUUUCUCUUUUGUUCCUAAGCUUGUUCGUCUUGUCCGAACUUACUUCACUUUGAUGCUUGGACGACUACUCGGUUUGUUUGCUGAUCUGAUCUUCUUUCUUUCUACGAUAAGACUACACUUUCUUCGCACUGAUCCCGUAGGCUAUGCUAUCAGAACUCCCAACACUUAGAUCCGGAGGCUAUCUGAACUCCCUUAACUGACAGAGAUGGAGAUGCUUGCCCGAACGUCCCUUACCUGAGACCGGAUAAGUACUUAGUUCGCAUUAUGUUGUUGGGCCAUCAAGUACCUAGCGCCUGAGAAGGCAAUCUGAGUAUAGUACAUAGCUUCAGCAGAAGGAAUUUCUUAUGAUCCUUAUCUUCAAACUCUCACUCCAUUUGAUACAGCAGAUGCGGAUUCAUAUUCUUCUCUAUUUGAUUUGAAUGUUAUUAGAAUUCUUUCUCACUUUAGCACUCUCGCUCGAGGAAAGAAAGAAAGAGAGUGGAUUAAGGGAUAGGCUUUGUGUACUAGCUUGGCAGAGUUAUGUGUCCUCCUCGUAGAGGGAGAGGCCUGUAACCGAUUUCUAAGAAGUGCCCUUUUCCGAACGAUUGAAGUUCUGCAGCAAGCCUUUGACCUUUUAAGGAGGUACGGGCAUGUCUCUUUUGAAAGAAGGAGAGCGGUAUUGUAAAGCCAUGGAGGAAGCUUCCGAGCGGUAUUGUAAAGCCAUGGAGGAAGCUUCCCAGGGUUAAGAUCGGUAUUGUUAUUUGCAUUAAGUAAGUUGUUCACUCACUUGAGACUUAAGCGCGGAGUGGGCAGUUUAGAUUAGCAUUCUCAAAGAGCGGGGAGCUCAUAUAUAAGAAAUACGAUGACAUUCGAAAAGAGAUGGAUUAAUGUUAUAUAUACUAUUCUAUAUACAAUUACACACUCGCUACAAUGGGACCCCUACCCUAACGGAGAUCAAAGCCCUUUUUGCGUAAGCCACAGGGUUGACUAUUUUCUAAGGGAAUCCCUCCCCGAUGGAGGUACCGUAUCGGCAGUUCGUAGGCAUAUUAGCCUAUCAUCUUUCUGGUUCCUUUCUCGCUUGCUGCUGUCAUCUAAUCUUUCUGCUUCUCCGGAUCUUUAUGCAACUGUUGUUAGUGCUUCUGCUUCCUCAUCUGUUCCGUAUCCUGAUCCACUGCUGAUGCUUCUUAUAUCUAUGACUUUCCUCGCACUGAACAAGCGUUAGGUGGGAACUACAAAGAGAUUCUAUCAUGGGACCCAGACAGAUGAAACGGAAACUCGAACUGGCUAUGCAAUGAUUCUUCUUCCGCUAUGGAUCCAGCUUCUUAUUCGUCACCGCUACGUGGGCUUUCUUCUUCUGCUUCAGCAGUUUCUCAUUCCAUUCCACAAGCAAGAGUCAGGGUGAACGCCCACAAGCAAGAGUCAGGGUGAACGUCUACAAGCAAGAGUCAGGGUGAACGGGAAAUUCGAUCUGUAUUUGCAAUAGGGCACAAAGAUAUUAGGCGAAAAUGCCGUAUAAGAGCCGUGCUCGCGUAAGCGCAACAUUCAUUUGGAUUAGAAAGUGAGUAGUAGUAGCUUGGCCCAGGGCGAAAGUAAUCUGCUAGCGGGUAAUCUUCACUGAAAAGAAUGGAUUUGCAUCUAUAUAUGGAGAAGAGCCACAUAUGGAAGCGCAGUAAAGAGACUGAACAAGUCAAGUUUUCGGGAGUCACGGGGGCAUUCGAUUCGAGAGGAGAAUCAACAAUUCUAUAAUUUCCUAUUUCUUGUGCAGAGUAUCUAAAUAAAGCACUUCCUCUUUAACUGAUCCAGAUCCAUCUUUUGAUCCUUAGGUACUGAUCCCGAUCAACCUCUUCUCGCCUCCUUUAUUUAAGAGCAACUCCCUUUCCAGUUAGCGCAGAUCAAUCCUCUGACUCUAGUGACCUUAUUCUAUCUAAUGUCACAGUGAAACAAUCACCUUCUUCUUAUCUUUCGAUGUGGACUUCCCUGGCACAAUAACUCCACUUUAUGAAUAGAAAUUGUAAGUAUAACCCAAAGCAAGGAGACUCGAUAUACUGAAGGAAUAUGCUUAGCGCUGAACAAAAGGAGAAAGCAAAUCACCCAAAGCAAAGGGAAGGGAAAGCCCAUAACUCCACUCACUUAACAAACGUAGCCCUACAGAGAAGUAAAGAACAGGUUGCAACUCUACCUACGCCACUACACUCCAUUAGUGAAAGUCAAAGCUGCUCAUCUUGCAGGCCAAUAAUAGUUAAGUUCCACUCCCUUCCCUGACUCACCUGGCGCAACUCAAACAUAAAUGGAAUCUAUUGCAGUCAACUCAACUCGCCAUUGCCAAAACUAGAUCUGUUCCCAAAGAGACUCUACAGAAGCGAAAACGUGUAGCGGGCAUUCAUUCAAAAGGAGACUUCGGCUUCCGUAGAACACUUUCCUCCCUCACACAGCCUUAUGCUUCUGGUUAUCUAUCACUUGUGGAUUUGAACUAACUAAGGUAAGGCUAGGCUAGGAACUCAAACUCUCAUAGGCGCACCACUCACUCUUAUGCAAUCGAACUCAUCUAUAAGUGCUCUACUUAACCGAACAAGCAAACUCAGUGAAAGUGGAAUAAGAUUGAACAGUGAGCUCCCUUACGUGCCCCAAGAAAAGAAGUAAGCUUACGCGUAACGGCGAGGAAAACAGUCCAAAUCAAUAUUACUGCAUGCUCGAUAUCAAAUAGAUAGGAAUGAAUUGCACUAGCAGAGAGAAAGUCAAUACUUAAAUGGAACCUAUGCCAUUGAAUGCCCUCUUUCUACAAGGAUAUCUAUAUGGACCAAGCGCACCUCUUUCUACACUCCGGAGUUAAUCCCAGAUACAUGGCUUAACAACCACACGCGCGGGCCCGGCUCAACAUUCUUGGAAAAUAAUCGAAUCUCAGAAAGGCUUUUCAAUGACUUGGCCAUUCAAUCUUGUGAACUAAUCGAGACCGAUAUUGGAUAAGGAGAUACGAACGGAGAGGAAUAACCAAUCGAUGAAAGAACAUGAAACCAUUCUGUUUCAAUAGAGGUACGGAAAAGGGUUGGGGGCAAUGAAGUAGGUGAAGUGGUUGGAUUUUGCGAGCUGUUCCAACCACUGCAGGAUGUGAUUCUAAGAGCCGAACAAGAAUGAAUACCACACAGAAGAGUCAAUACCGGGCUCCCUAAUAGAAUGUUUAACCGAUCCAUUCCGGAUCGAUCGAAUUGGUAAAGAAGUUGUAACAUGGGAAAACCACGGAAAACACAACUUAUUUGAAUAACCCGGUGACCUACCAAUUGUAGAAGUAGGAUCUUUGGCAAGCUAUAAGCACUUACAAAAUACAUUUCGAGUGUACCAUCUUCUUUGUCAUGUCGAGGAAAAGGUUCGGGAGGAAAGGGAAACAACAGAGGGAUCCGAAUCAGACCUAAAUGGGAAUGACAUGAAAAGUGUUUUUCGAAACCCAUAAUUAAGGGCAUUACUAAAAUAUAGAAUAGGAAUGAAAGAGCACUCGUGAUUGGUGUUCCGGGGAAGAUCUGCUUAUGAAAUAGUUCAAGAAAGAGUCGUCUCAUUUCCAUACUCACUCGUUCUUUAGAAUACACUUCUUAGGCUGGUUCUGAACGCCGCGGAACGGAAUUAACGGAAUUCUCUUUGUCGCAGCUGCAUUCGUGUUUGUUGCACAAGAUUCUAAUGGAGUCUUCAUUAAUGGUCUCUAAGUCUUUUUCAACAUGUUAGGUUCCCAGAUUGUUUGCAUUUCUCUAUUUGACAAAUAUGGUUAUCGCCUCGUAACUUAAGAUAAGACCAGAGAUGCUAAUUCUAUCAUUGAAAAUACAUUCUCCUUGACUAUUGGUUUGAGUCUACUUACUAGAUACUAUCCUUUUGAUGUCGAGGUCUACUCUAUAGCUCCAUGAUUCUUUUUCCCGAGAGUUAUUAACCCUUUGAAAAGGCUCAUGUAGCAUACUUGCCUAGAAUUAUGAUGGAAAGUCAAAAACCCCCUCUUGGAGAUGUUCCUCAAUUGAUCUGCUUUUUGAUUUGUAGAAUUUCUCUCUGUGACUCGAGUCUAUGUGCACUACCGCUUUUCUCUCAAACUACUGGCUUUUCUUGCUGUUUUCCAUUCGACCCCUUUGGAUUUCCAUCUUAUAUGCAUACACAACCCCAUAGAGUAGCAAUGAUUAACUAUCGCUCUCCCUUUUUGGAACUCUACCUACAACCUUGAUUGUUGCCCUCCUUUUGAUCGUCACUUCUUUUAGUCGGCUAACUCACAUAGGUGAUCCGGAAAGCGCGCUAAGAUAGGUGAAACUCCUACUCCAGCAGGCAGAGUGUUUGAACCCCUAUACUUAAUAUAGAUAGUUGGACUCGUGACAUUUGGAUUUGGUUUUCUUCGUUCUUGCUCUCCUUGUAUUUGCAUCGUUCACCUACUUAAUCUUAUUCCUAGUUUCUGCCCUCCCGACACCGAGACCAAAGGAUUUCUCUCUAUUGUAUUUAUUCGAUCCCAAAGCAUGCAUCUCUAGGGUUGACCCGCCUGGGCUUCCAACAUAACUUCUCCAAGUUUUCAUGAAAUAGUUCACCUUCUAAGCGAAGAAGCUCCUCCUACGAAAAAGUACGGAAGGAUGUUUUCGAUUGGGAAGCAGGCCUUGCGAAGGAAGGGCCGACACAGCCGUAGAUAGAAGGAAAGAGGCAGCGCAUGGAAAGCGGCACUUGGAAUGCUCUCGGCAGGGACCGCGGAACCAACUCAUAGAAGUGCAAAGAGGGGAGAGAUUAGGCAGCCUCACCUUAAUUCUAGCAAGACCAAGGCAAGGCAGAUUCUUUAUCUUCAAAUAAUAUAAAUAAGCAGUGCAGUGAUUUCACCUUCUUUAUCUGAAAUGAAUGAAAAUAAUAUAAAUAAGCAGUGAUUUCACAUUGCCCGCAAAGUGGUUAUUGAAAGUAGUGAUUUCACCUUCCAUAUGUUUCCAAAAAACCAGAGAUUUCUCAUUUAGGAAGUAGACCCAUGUUUUCCACUUACUUCUGCUGUUGACAAAGAAGAUAGAAUAGAAGAUAACGAGGACAGACAAGACAGAGCUAUGAUCAACCUCUUUCUAUAUUGAGAGGACAGACAAGACAGAGCUAUGAUCAACCUCUUUCUAUAUUGAUUUAAAUAGAAUAUUAAGUGAGGACGGAAUUGACUCCACUUGUGGGAGCUGAUAGAGCGCGUAGUCCCGCCCCUGAGUCAUAGCUAGCAACACCACGAAGCUCUUUCUCUUAUCUUUUAUGAAAGUUUCUUAAUGGUGCAAAAACGACCAACCAAGAGGGCGAAAAAGAAGCUGCUGAAUCCAACUACCAAGAAGGCGAAAAAGAAGCUGCUGAAUCCAAAGAGGUUGUAGAUAACAAAGAAAGUAGCACUAUAAAUAAAGCCGGUGGUCCGUCCGUCAAAGAAAAGAGAGAAGAUUCGAGUGAAUGAUCGGGUGUUAAAUGACUAUCAAGUGGCAAGCAGAGAGACGGAAGCCCAUACUCAAGCAUAAGACUAAUUCAUCCCUAGCUGACGUUCGCCUCUAGAUUGCUAAACUCCAGGCCGAGUACAGUUCCUAAAGGAAAAGGCGGGUGCCCAGAAAGAAACCCUGGCCAGGCUAUCAAAAACAAAGCAAGAGCUAUUCGGCGCUGCACAACCUCUGAUUGAUGGCCACAUUUGGUCUAAAGAUGCAAAUGUUACCUUGCGCAUUAGCGAGUUACUUAAAGUCAGCUUACGCUUACUUCUUGGGUUGGGGUGUUUCACGUUGGAGAUGAGUCCUUUUUUCUGCUGUUGAACAAUAGAUAGCUGAGUUGAAGCUUUUGGCCCAUUUCCUUCUAUCUCUGCCUUUCACUUUAUUCUUUUUGCUAUGUCUGGGACCUUUCUUUCCUUCCAUUCUAUUUGCACUUCCUUUUUGGAUAUUUCCUCUGCUCUUAUGAUCAUGUCUUCUCAUUUAUUUGGAUAUGAUGGAAGAGGCUGUGAUUCGGCUUUUGAACUUGGAACAAUUGGCUUUGGUUGUACUUGCUACUGGCCCCUUUUUACAUAGUCUAUGUGUUUCACCGUGGGUUCGGCUUAGAUAUAUGCUACUUCACUUUCCAUUGUGCUAAUCUUGGCCGGAGCUGGACGGAUUCAAUAAGUCUAGGGGAAUCCUGGCCAAACUACUGUCAAUUAAUAGAAGAAUUAGGGUAUUGGGGUUUUUCAACUAAGAUUAUGCCUCGGCGCAAGAGAGAGAUUCCAUUCGACUUCCUCGGUGCAAGACGUCUAUGAGAGAGAGGUGAUUCUUUAGGCAAGGCAAUAAAAUGAUGUUCUUGAAAAAGGGAAUGGACUGUUCGACACUUUACUUACGAUCUAUACCUGCUUCCAUACCUGUUACUUACGAUCUAUACCUGCUUCCAUACCAGGUGCUCGAUAAGAUGGAUUCAAUUCAGUCACUGAUAGGAAAAGGUUGGUGCGAGUGCGAAGCCUGAAGGAGACGAUGAUGAACUUCUGGUCGAGAUCAAGUGCUGUGCGGUAUAAAGGUUAUUAAGACGACGAAGCGGGACAGGAAAGUGGAAUUUCAGUAGAUAAGCCACUUUCUUAGUUUCACAUGGCAAAUGACCUUUAUUGUCUACCGACAAUGCUCCUAUAAUGCUUUUUUGUCUAGAAACAGAAAACUCCUGCUCGGCUCAACACUGGACCGAACCGAACCCUCCUUGAAGUGAAGAACCACAAUCCACUGUAGGAUUGGCCUUCAACUUGGAUUCCUUCUGCCGACCUAACCCCUUAACCUAUACUUCAAGUGAAACACCGCUUACCGCGUAGCCAAUAACGGAUCUUGGAGACAACGCGCUUGCAGCCCGGAACCCUGCUCCUCAGUAUUCUAAAAGAGCUAGAUGAUCUUCUUCAUUGAUAUUUGCUUAGACUAAGUGCAACUCGCUAAUGCUGAAAAUAGGACUUUCAACUAACUAACUAAGAAAGUAAGCUUCAAGCUGGAGGUAAAGUGUAAGCAUUGUCUACGUUUCACAUAGGCAUAGGUUAAACGACUCGAAAUCUUCAAUGAAUUCUUCCGCUGGAGAAGAAACUGUUCGAGUUCAAUAUCCAGCUCGACCUGACUGGAGCCUCGGAUUCCUCUAUCACGUAACUGUAUUUCGCACCCCGCACAAGUUAACAAGCAAGGGUAGAGUUCCCUGACUAUAGCUAAGGGUAGAAUUCCGAUUCUUUCUGGAUGUCUUUCCCCCCUUACCUCUACUUUUGGAAGUGACUUCCUAACGCCGAGCGGAACUAUGGUUGCUUAUUUUGUUCCUAAGCUUGCUGCGUUGCUUGUUCACUUCAUACUCGUAUCUGAGUUUGCUUUCUGCCUUUCAUUCUUUCUCGUUAGUUCUGCUCUCCGAGAUAAUAAGCGAGUUUAUUCCUUAGCGAGUUUCUUCCUUCCUUAGCGAGUUUCUUCCGUUGUGCUAAGGCGAGUUCCAUUUGGAGCCCGGUUCAUUAAUGACUUACCCACUAUAGGCUGAAGGAUGGGUAUGAAUCCAAUAAUGACUUGCCUACUAUAGGCUUCCGGGUAUGAAUCAAAUCUCUCAAGAGCGCUACGCACCUCUGCAACUUCAUUUAAACAUUGGAUGAUGUUAUCUGAAAGCUCUAACUACAUGGAGAUUGGCUAUGCCUCUGUUCAAGUUGGCUGUAGUGAUGCCUAUUCCUUUUGAAGGAAUUGAGUUAACCCUGUACUUGCAGGACUGAAAGGACUAAUUAGGUUAGUGAGUACUCGUCUCGGAAAGAGAGAGGGGGUUUUAUAGGUCGCCAUGUGUGCAUGACAUUCUAACACAUAGGAUAAGUUCAUAUAGAGAUAAUAGAACAUAGGCCUGAUAAGUUCAUAUGGAAGAUGGAUAAUAGAUUGACAUUCCUUUGAAAAGGGAGCCCGCUAAUGGAAUACUGAUCCAGGUCAAUAGUCAAUAAUAAGAUAUUCUAUUUGGUUGGGGUUGUGACAAGUUCUUUUCUCAUUACCUUGAUUGGCUCUAUCAUUUUGUCUUUUGAUACUUCUAAUGUACAUCUUCCAUAUGUAAGUCAAAUAAUGAAUACAAUCAGGAUCUAUUAUAAUGAAACAAACUUCUUUAUCAGAUGUCAUUAAGUAAACUUCUUUUCUUUCUUGUGUGCUAAAGUGAUUUCUUGCUGGCUUUCGAUAGCUAAACGACGAGGCGCUCCCCUUUCUUUAGAGUUAUAGGUUAUCCAAAUGGCUUUUCUUUUUCUCAUAGGUUGAAGCUUACACUUCGGCUGUCGGCAUUGCAUUCCCUUCGGAGAGAUUUUGUGAAGCAGAGAGUUCUCACUGUGCAAGUUGGAUUACUUUACCGAACCUCGCCCUCCUUUCUUUAGACUCGGUCAAGGCAAGGAGUGGUUGGCUGCUCUAUUGAUAGGAAGGGCACUUAUUAAUAUGGAUUAGUGGUAGUAGAUUGAUUGCCUUUUCUAAUAGUAUGAGGCUCUGUAUCCGUGCUGAACUCUUAAGGAAAGAAAGGGUUUAGUUACUUUAUAUGUAAAAGCCUAUUCGCGUAAUGCGUGAGAAGUCUGGCUAGAGUAAGAUAGCAUAUAAGAAAGAGAUGACAAAAACCAAAUAAAGGCAUACGCAAGGGACCUAUGUCAUUAUCAAAUAGCAGAGUAUAGGGCUUCUUACUAAAGACAAAUUUACAUAGAGAGCAUAUGAUUCCAGGCGACGUAUCUUCGCUUUCAUCUUUAUUAUAACACACUUGCAUCACUCCUUAUAAUAUACCACCCAUCUAAAUUACUCUCAUAGGAUGGAAAGAUUCCUACUGCUGCUCACUUCCUUUAUACAGCUGAGUGCUUCCUUUCUUUCUAUUGCUGCUUACUUCCUCUCUAUUCUAUUGCUGCUUACUUCCUCUCUAUUCUAUUGCUGCUUACUUCCUCUCUAUUCUAUUGCUGAGUGCUUCCUUUCUAUUGCUGAGUGCUUAUUCUUUCUCAUUUUAGAACAUCUAAGCUAUUACUAAAGGCUCUGGCUCUGGUUCUGGCUCUGCUCUAUCUGCUUACAGCCAUUUGUUCUUCUUGUUCUUUCGCCGGUAAACUCACUAAUGCUAUUGUUGCUCACUCCUGUAAGCUAACGCACUAUGGUUUCUGGAACUCUACUGAAGUCAAGAAAGAAGCCCCGCUCCCUGCCGGUUCCCUUGCUUGGUAUCUACUGAAGGAAUAUGCUUAGCGCUUCUGGUCGUCAAUGUGCCGCGUACGCUCGUAGCUCAAAGUAGUUUAAAUACGGUUCGGUUGGUUGAAAGAUGGCUGUAGUGAGUAAAGCGAGUGAAGUCAAGUAUAGAGCAGCCGGGCCCCGGGCAUUAACCACAAGAAAGGGUGCCUCAAGCUUCAUUCAAAAAAGGCAACAAGCAGCAAGGGAAUUAGUAGAAUAAGUGAUUUACAAUGCCAAUGCUUCUCUCUGAGUAAGCAGUGUUAGGGGUUCGUUCCUUUCUUUUUCUUAUAUUAUAUCAUGUGCAGCAAGCAAACUCCACUUCUAUUUAAGCUCGCAAGAGGAAGCAAGCAGUCUUUUGUCACUAAAUUCUAUUUCGGUAGCAUUCAAUUCUGCUAUUCAAAAGGGAGUGUAAGUAAACAAAAAAGGAAGAUAAAUUGAGUGUGUGCCUCUGAUAGAAGAAAUAGAAUUGAUUAAAAAACCAGAAGGAAAACUCAGAUAUAUUACUUGUCUUUAAGAACUCAUAUCUAAGCAUGCCCAUCAUACUUAUAUUACUUGUCUUUAAGAACUCAUAUCUAAGCAUACCCAUCAUUUCGAAUAUCGGCACUACCAUGUGUUAAGCAAUGAGAGUUUAGAUGGAAGUGAAGACUUAAGGAGUUGAUAUACCCUUUCUAGCAAGGCCCUAUACUAACUACUUGGAAAGAGGCAAGGCAAAGAGGCGGGGACACCGGUACCGUGUUAUCUAAGUUGAUACUUGUUCCCGCUGGCGAAUGCACCUAUUGUAUAGACUUAUUUACGAACAUCUGACUUCUUUCCAUUAUUGAUUGCGGAUUGCUUACUCCUGGUAUGAGAGCUCGAAUGGGGAUUACUUUAUUAUAGGAGCACAAUGAAAUAACUGCCUAUUACUGGUUUUUUUGUUCCGUGUUGCUGGGAACUCUUUCACUUGUUUGCUUUAAGUAGGAAUUGAGUCUGCCUUUCUUCUCCAUACGAUACUUCUAAAGCUACAACAGUUGGGCGGGGGCUUAGUAAACCAUUCAUGAAAUAAUUAUGUGGUGCACACACAUAUGAUAGAAAUGAUCAACCUCACUGCAAAACAACAAUUGAUAGAAAAAUGGAACUCAACUGCGAAACUCCAACUCCAAUAAGUGUUAGCACAACCGCUUGUUGAAAAGAGGCACCCCGACCCGAGUCGCUUGUUGAAUGGAGGAAAAGAAUGUGCACUACUCUACUAUAAGGACUACUAAUAGAAAUAGGCUCUUAGCACCUUGCUUUCGAUCUACUCGAGUAGCUUGGCUAGUUUGUGUCUUGCGCAACGACUAAUGCUAUAGUAACUUGCGUUAGCAUAAUGUGUUUUCGCCAGAGCUUGUUCAUCCUUUUGAUUCUUCCGUUGCAUGUUUCUCCACUUCUUUGACCCUUGCUGAGGAAGGCUUCUUUCUCGUUGUUUAACCCGUGUCCUGUACCUCGGGGGUCUAUUGCUAAUAAGUCUAUUAACCUGUACCUCAGGGGGUCUAUUGCUAAUGAGUCUCGGGGGUCUAUUGCUAAUAAGUCUCGGGGGUCUAUUGCUAAUAAGUCUAUUAAUGGGGCUUUAUUCCGUGUGGGUUUCGUAAGGUUAAGGGCUAAUGUUAAUCUCCGAUAGAAUAAGAAUGCUUUGGAAGGGUAAAGUGGAAAGGAAUGGCUGAAUUGGAUCUAGCGUUGAUACAUUAUAUAGAACUCAGUCAUUUUCGAAGUGUUUUUCAUAUAUAAUAGAAUUCUUCAAUGAAAAGAACUCCCCAUUAGAGGAGCCAGCCUCAGUCAGUCCCAUCACUCCGGAUUGCUUACUGCUGGCACAAACUCACGUUUACCCCCCGAAAACUCCAAAUCAUGGAAAUGACUUGAAUAGCUUUACUUGGAGAAUUCCCUCUCUUGCGCGCUUACUUUCAUAAUUCCUUCUGAAGCAGACAGCCCAGCAGUUCGAUAAUGGUAGUGACAAAAUCACUAUUCUUCUAUUCCUUCUUAAGCCCCCUAACACGCUAUAUUAGUAAUAGCUUUUUCGGUAUCUUCUAGUUUUAGGAGAGUAUCCAUUGGUGCCCCGAGUGUUGUAGGAUUAUGAAUUAGCAUAGUUUCACAGAGUCAUAUAAUAUAGACGCAAAAGACAACUAUAAGAGUGCUUACGCUUACUUUCGCAGUUGCUGCAGCUUGUUCCGUUGCGAGACGUUAAUCUUUUUAGAAAUCAAUUCUUAACAAGAAGGGCGCCAAGGCCGCUUUUUGCCCAAGCAUCCUUCAAAUGGAGUGCAUCAUCCAUUAUAGAAAUAUGGUAAACAACCACUAUAAUAAGAAUAAAGUAACCAAACUCUAAACUCCUCGCUCUUGCUUUAAUUAAUACUUUAGUGCAAAAUCAUAUUUGAGAGCGUUCCUGCUCCUGCUCUACCUAACAAAACAGUGCUAGCCCCACUUAAUAUGCAUGACAACUGAUCUAAGGGCGGAACCUAACUGCUUGUUAGCUUGUUUUUGCGCGGUUGCUUUCUCUUAUUUAACAGGCUCCUUACUCUAAGGAAGAGAAUUGAGCAUUACACUUAAUAUAGAAUAGAGAAAUAGUAACUCAACUGAUUGACUUCUUGCCUUGACUUUGAUUAUUGGCUUCUGAAGCGGUUAAGUAGAAAAGAAGCUAGAAAGCUAGUAAGUCUACUACCCUUGCCCGAGCUCACUAACGCACAAACAGAACAAAGCUUGUUCCCCGCACAACACCCAAUUGCUUCCUUUAAGAACUCAUAUCGGCAUAGAAAGAGCGAGCAACAACAGUAGGGCCAGCCAGUGAAACUGACUAUAUCCAUAUGGGGAGGAAUUUACAAAAUAAUAGCAGAAUAUAACAUAGCACCCGUUACUACACUCUAAUAAAACGAAAAAGUGAAGUAAGCGUUAGCAAUAGCCACUAUAGUCAUAAUUAGCAAAACUAAGAACUCUCAACUCACACUGCGUACUCUGAGGCAUGGGCACUGAUCUAUACGUUUGAUUGACGACAUUGCCUUUCCCUCAAACACUUGACAUUGCCUUUUCCUCAAACACUUGACAUUGCCUUUCCUUUCCUUUCGCACUCCGAAACUCACUUAUUACUUCUGAAGCCCUAGCUUGUUUCACAUGAUCCGCACAACACCUCUAUAGAAUUAGGUAACCACCUAACAAAGCAUCGCUAAAAAGAAAACUAUUGAAAACCCCACCAUAUUCAUUGUUGAACUCAUAACAUAGGCGCACCCCAGAAAGCGUAAAGUAAGCUAAUGCACAACUGUAACCCGUAAAGUCAGAAGUAAGCGUUAGCGCGUUGCGAGAGUCGAGUGGACUGUUUGCUUUAAGGUAUCGGUUAGGCGGAAAGGGUGCCAGGGAAAUGCAGCCAAAUCUAAGUCUAAAGUAUGUUUUGAAGCCGCCCCAAGAGAGUAAUAUGUUAUAGGUUCCUAUUCCUAUAUAACAUAAGUUGUGCCAUCCAUUCCAUUUAUUAUUUCUCCAUUUAUUAUUUCUUAGUAUUAGGAGCGUAAGUAGCCAAGUAACUAACUUAGAGAGGGCAAACUUCGAGCUAUAACUAAUGGAUUAGGGGUGGAUUUUGGUAUUGCUGGCUAAACGGAGUUGCCUUCCACACGUGUACUGAAACCGGAGUCUGCUACUCGCCUUAGGCAAAACCCGGAGUCUCUUGCUUUAAAGAAGGAAGGACUGAACGGUGGCAUAAAAGCCUUGGCUGCCGCGCCUGAUUCGACUCACUCUUCGAAUUACCCUAGUUCCUUAUUAAUCCAAAUAGCCAUAGUAGAAGCUGAGCUAUCUACCACCUUAGCGAAAGUUAUCAAACAAACAAAGUGACAUUCCCCUCACUUACGGAAAAAGACCUUUACUAGUAGUUCUGGUUAGCCCACUUGCCCGAGCACACUCUAAACUAGUAGAUGCGCCAAUCCUGCGUUACCCCACGAGAACAGAAAAACCAACAAAGCAUUAAGCCCUUAUUUAAGCAUACCCAACGCGGCAAUCGGAACUUAUCGAGAAGAAGAGAUAUUAACAACCUCUCAACAAGUUGCCUCUUACCUCUGUCUCACGACCGCAAAUAGAACCUUCCGCUAACAAGUGUGCCCCGAGUAGAAUCCUACGUAAUACUCUGAAUCUAGUUGUUUGGCUCCUCUGCCUUAAUCUUCUCUUGUAUGCCUCGGUUUCAUUCUUUAGGUACAUCAUUCACUUGUAUCUGGCUGGUAUCAUCGGUUUCUGAUAGAGCCUUGACACUUUUCUCCUGUCUGAACCUACAUAAUGAACUGGGAAAGGAUUACUCGACUACUAUGUCAUGGAGUGAGUGAGGGCGCAGCUACCGGCUCCCCCAGCAUCUCAAGUUCUUAGGCGGGGACAGGAUUCUUCAUUUACAUAGUAUCAAUGCUAUCUUAAGUUGUCUUGAAGUUAUGAAUAGAAGGGAAAAGUAGUAAGGGCAAGAAGGAAUUCUUUUAUGUGAAUAGUAGCUGUACAACGGUUCCAGGAAGAAAUGCCAUCGGUCAGUCCGAGUGUGAGCACUCGUUAGAAAGGCCGGAUCAUUAGAAUCCGAGGCGUUUUCACGUGUUGUACGUACUGAUCGGGAGGAUUUUGCUACUCCCAAACCGAAACCAGAAGAGAAGGCUUUCAGCACCUUGUUUCUAGUCAUGCUGCACGAGGUAGAGGCCGUGGGGGUCGGACGCUCAUCGAUUGAAGUUCACCUCCUACAUGUACUCAUUGUGGUAAGCGUGGUCAUGUCCAACGAUCGGGACCUUUAUGGGCGGACUGCCUAGAACCACUACUUGUUGGGGCAAUCAGAUAGUAUAGUAGCAACAGUAGAAGUGAGUUCAAAAGUGAUUAUAGAAGAUAGUAGCCAGAGUAGAGGUAUAGUAGUAGGAGCAUAACCAGUAACAUCUCUUAUAUCAAGGUGAGAAUUAAGGUACAAGUGGUAAGGGAGUUCAUUACUAGGGAGUUUCAGAGUGAAAGAAAGAGGAAAGAAAGGUGAGCCUACGGUUGGUAUAGAGCACCCACUUAACAGGGUUGGCCAGAAAGAAGUCAACUAGUGAGUUAUCGGAGAGAAAAGAAAGAGAAAAAAGAGAAAAGAAAGACUUUCCUAGGUAUAGCAACAGUCAAAAAUCCUCUGUCUGGGGAUUCGCGCCUAUGUGUGAAGUGUGAAGGAAUAAAACCUGUAGUGGAACCCAGUAAGAAAACUAGUAUAGCAAUAGUCAAAAAUCCUCCGCUCUAAGGGAGUUGUAUAACCCAUGUGUUCAGCAAGUAUAAAAUGUAGUAAAUAGAGAACCCAGAGAAAUGGAGUGGAGUAGUAGAACCCUAGUGUUAAGCAAUGAUCAAAUGCAAUGUUGUUAGUUUACUAUAACCUAUGUGUUCAGCAAGUAUAAAAUGAAGCAAGUAGUCAAUUAAUCCAUAAGAUAGUCAAGGCUUUGAAGCAAGAAAGUCAGAACUCAACAGGAAGGGAAGAAACAUCAGAAUUAGCGGGAGAGCCUGAGUUCACAGAGACGAGGUUAAGUAUCAAGGAAGUCAGCUACUGUCACUACAUCUGCUUACUUGUCUAGUAGUAGCUUGCCGUCUUGUCGUCUUAUCUGCUUGGCCCGUUCGAACUAGCAGCCCUUUAGCGCUACUCUCACAGCAACUGUUACAGUGUGACUAACAACAAAGAACAGUACCAGCUCAUCAGUGGUUCAAGUGCUGUGCCCAGAAACGGUUCACAGAUCUAUGGCUAGAACAAUUUCUCAACGGAUCCAUGGGAAGGAAAUAGAUUCCAAAUAAUCAUUAAAGUAAGUAGCCUUAGUUGAAUAACCUAAAGCACCGGUCUUAUUAUCAACAGCAGAAGCAAUCCGAUGAGGGUCUCUUGGGUUCUCCUCUAUGAUUGACUUUGAUAUGUAUACUUUAGAAUCUAUCUGGAGACAUGGCUAUCGUAUGUCCGCUCUAGUUUUGCUCCGCAUCAAACGUGGGUAUUAUGCAUUCAUCUUCAAAGCGUUAUUCUCAACGGCUUUUUUGACAUUUACACUGGGUGGGGCUACCCGAGCAAUCCGGCUGGGCUGCAUUUGUAUCAUACUCGCCAAGGCUAAAGUUUCGUCUUCACCGGUGACCACAACCCACCCUAUUCAAUGAACUUGUUUUCGUCUUCCGAUUGGGGGGUAAAAACACUCUCCCCCGCUUUUAUCUAGGGUGCCUUUUCUAGUCCAAAUCCACCAGGAGAAUCCAUGGACAGUCUUGAUCCAGAGAGAAAUCCUUCAGACUAACCCGCCCGCCUUUCCUCCAUACAAUUUCCUCUAUACACACACCUGUUAGGAAUAAAUGAGUUUGACUUCCCACAAUUUGGCAUUGUAAAUGGAAAAAAAGAUUGUUCUCUGAGAUGGACAUGAAACUGGAAUCCCAGCAGAUCAUUAUUCCGCUUUUAGUACUGGAUGUCAAAUGAAAGAAAAUCCUGUAAAAUUGUUCUGCGAAGGACUGGCUAGGUCGAAGUGGUUCUUCUCCCUCGAUCUGUCUUCGUUGGAAGGUUGGGUUUUCCCUCUAUCUGGGUGUCCCGUUGAGUGCUACAUCCGGUUGUCUCCCUGUUGGGAGGUUUGGUUUACUUACUUAGUGGACAUAGGAGUAGUUAGUGUACUUAAGAAUCCAAUCCAAUCCAAUAGUCCUGAUGAAUCAAAAUAUAAGAAAGAACAAACCGAAAACAAUUCUUUCAUAAUCUUUAAUAAGAGUGUUCCAAGUUCUCCGAAGGAGUUCCUUCGUUUGCUGGUUGCAUCUUUAUAUAUGAAACCGAACAAUAGAAUUAGCAACUGAGUGAUCGUAGCGAAGUGGGUGCCAAUGGGCUUGAUUGAGAGAUCUUUAUUGUAGGCUCUGCUUAUUCUAGAGCCCUGUUAGCUCUGUGCUCCUCGCUUAUCUCUCUUCUGAAUUGUGUAUAAUUCGAUAGCAGCUUCCCCGCUCUUGUAUGCCUUGCUUUCUUCUCAGUUCUCUAGGAUGGAUUAGUCUAAAUUGGAACCCGAAAUAAUACCCAGUAGUCAGUAGUAAGCCUACCGAUUGCCAGAAGUAAGUUACCCAACUAAAUAAGUGAUGUUAUAGUGCAUUUUCCACCCAUAUCUUUAGGGUUCCCUUUAAGAUCCGGCUUUGAAGCUCUAAGUGUAGAAUGUACUGUUCUUGUGUGAGUUGAAGACAGGGAGUACUUGUUCUUGAACACAGGACUCCAACAACUUUAGCACAACUCCGUCCUUAUGUCCUGAGUUGCUUGUCGGACGAAAAAGGGUAUACUUUCUGGGCCCUUGACUUUGAUAGCCUUCUUCAGCGAGGUGUCGUGUUUCGAGGUGCGUUAGUGAGCUCGGGCUCGGUUAACGCUUAAAUCCUUAUUUCUUUCCCGAUUCCUAGGGCCUUCAAAUGCAUUUCCGUCUAAUAUCUUUGAUUUCGAGUUCCGGGCACAGCACAGAAGAAAGUAUUGGAUUGAGCUAGGAAGCGAGGAUUCUUGAGCAAGCGUUGUUUGUUACCUAACAGCAGCAGAUCCAUCUUAUGCUUACGGUGAACUCACUAUAGCUUUUUUCUUGCACCGAGGAAGAGUCAAACAUGCAUUUCUUAUCUUUUGCGCACGCACAUCUAUAGAAUUAAGUAACCUAACAACUGAACUUGGCUUUAGAAUUAAGUAACCUAACAACUGAACUUGGCUUUAGAAUUAAGUAACCUAACAACUGAACUUGGCUUUUGCUUUUGCCGAACUAGACUUUACGCUUGCUCCGGAUUCUCUUCGGCUUCUUGCUUCCGCUUUAUAUAUAGGUAGGAUUAGACUGCUAGGUAGGAUUAGACUUAUUUACUUCCUGCAACACAAUAACCUCCUCAUAUGUCAGCCUUCUUCCCAGGAUCAGCGGUAAUCUCCCUUGCAUAUGGGUCCUAUAACAAACCUUUUGGUUGGUGGGAAGAAUUGCUUUCUUUAACCACUGCUCCCGUAUCCGAGUGAGUAACAACUUAGCUCCCGUAUCCGAGUGAGUAACAACUUAGCUCCCGUAUUCGAGCCGAGUGAGUAACAACUUAUUGAGUGUCUGGGAGUAUCCCCCGUAUCAAAGAAAGAGUAAGGAGGCAUGUAUCAAUAGCGCUAUGCUUUUAUUAUCUCCUUGCCACCAGGUCAGUAACCAGAGACUUGAAGGCUUUUUGAAUGAAGCAGCUGAGCAUAACGAAUCGAAGCCGAAGGCGGAUCCAAAUACGGUUGCCUCUCCUCUGAAAGAAGAAGUUGACUCUCGUUCCCUCUCCUCUGAAAGAAGAAGUCGACUCUAAUAAGUAAAGCUAUCAUAGUAAUUGACUCUAGGAAAGCCAUAAGUAAAGCUAUAGUAAUUGACUCUAAUAAGUAAAGCUAUCAUAGUAAUUGACUCUGGGAAAGCGGAACGAAGAUCCAAUGAAUGAGCUUGAAAUCCCGUUCAGAACAGUUCAGCUCAAGUUAGUAUGAGUUCCUAGCUUACGGAAUUACGCAAGGUUAUCGCUCAAUGCCAGGAGAUGCUUUUGCCUUCCUAAAUACUGCUAAGGGUCCUUCAUCCAGUAACCUUGUUCCCGCAAGAGAACUUUAGGCACGGGGGUGAAUACAAAUGGCAAAAUGAGAGGCUCGCUUUUUCUCAGAGCUUGCUGGCUCACCUUUCGGGUUGCACUGCCUAGCCCUCUACACCAGCUAAUCUAAAGAAAAUGGCCAGUUCACAAGGGGAAUCGGCCCCAUAGUCCAGCGAAUCUCAAGAAAAGGUCGGUUCACAAGGGGACAUAAGCAUCGGCACCAUAGUAAGGGAGUCUUUCCUCACAGAUUAACACAGUAGGGAGAGCCCUCGAUUCGCUCAUUUCAACGAAGCUCAGUCAGUUAGUUUUGGGCUGUUCCAUUCUUUUGGUAGAGGCUUUUCCGCGGGGCCAAGCAACUACUACUGUGACAGAGGCAAAGAGCCAAGCGUAUACCUGGACUAUCGACAUCCUUAUUAGUGUUGAACUUAGAUCCUUCGUUGAUCGCCUCCGCCCCUGCUGUCGUCUCUGCUUUAUAAGCGUUUCUAUCUUUCUCUGCUCGCACCUGCUGAUAAAAUCGGAUCGACUGAUACAGUAUAUGCUAUCGGUGGAGACUACCUCAACAACAGGCAAUUGGAUCUUGUCCUCUGCUUCAAUUUAUGAUGAAACUGCGGUCGACUCGUUCCGUUCUUGAUCUAGAUACUCUGACUCGGUACCCAGAUGCGACCCGACCCUAGCUGACCCCGCCCCGCUUCUUCUGAUGGGUUGGUUUUCAAUGGGGAGUUACAGUAGUUUUGAAGCAACGAAACAAUCUUUCUCUUAUCUUAUGCGCUCUCGGGGAUGAAUUUCACACCUAUGAGACUCUGGGGGAUUAACCUAACACUGCCACAGCUCGCGCACCCUUUCCAAAAGAAAGGUAUCGUUGCUACUCCGUUGAAUUGUAUCCCUUUUAUUCUUUUCUGCCCAAAGCCCCCACCCGGACAUUCUUAGCAACCUCAGCUGUAGAGAUUAGAUUCAACAUUCCAUUCUUUAAGCAAGGGAAGCAAUGCUUAGUUUUAUGACUGCUACUCUAUAUGUGGAACGCUCAAUUCUCUUCUCUGCCUUUUGCACUCACAUUCAAUGAGAUUAACUUUAAGGGUCGAACAGGAACGAACAGGAUCGCGCAGUAACGAACUGGAAUGGAUUUCUAAGGGAGUAAUAACGAAACUACUAAUAAGGAAAAUUCGAAUAAGAUAAGGGAAAGUCCGCCUAUGAGCAGGGAAUGUUAGACUAAAGGCCAGUAGCAGAAAGACCAGCAUAAGCACAUAAUCAAUAUAAUAUGUAGUUCAUGUCAGGUUGAAAGCCCAAAUCCCGAUCGGUAACUACAGACGGAAAGGCAGUGUAAGUUUCAGAGCGCGGAUAGUCGGGCUUGGCUACUACCCUGCUGGGUAGUUCAGUUACUUAUGAGUUCAAUUAAGAGUUUUCUACUUGGACCUGGGUAACCAAUGAUGUUACUGCUUGGUGUGAAUCCUAGGUUGAUUCUACUACCUAUACAGACUACUGAUACUGAGACUAUUACUUAGUUGUUAACUCCUUACUUCUUAGUGCGAUUCCUUUACUUAUGGGUUUCCGUCUUAUCGGGUAGGUCGUGAUUUCUUGUUAUCAGCAGUUCGAUUCGAUUCUUGUAUAUGCUACAUCUCAUCAAUCCCCACAUUGCUAAAGAAUAAGAGUAAGGGCUGUAAGGCUGUCAGGCAUUAGUUGCUGAGUUGGUGUUGGGAAUAGCAGACUGAUAGGCAAGAGAUAUUGGCUUAGUUCCAAUGGGCAGUAUAUAUAUGCGGAGUUCCAAGUCCCAUUCUUAGGUUUCUAUUCUGGGUGUCGUUAUUUCAAUCUUGUCGACACUGGAUUUAUUCUGUAUUAGCGGCAGGGUUCCUACUUAUUAGUUUACGAAGACAUCAGCAGGACAUAACUAAUAAGAAAUACAUAAUGGGGGCAUUGAGAGCAGGGUCCUAAGCCCCUAAAGACAUUAGUGGCAUACUUCAGGGUGUAUGCGCGCCUGAGACCUAAGCGGAUUAGUUAAGUAGUGACAGCAAAGAGAUAGGGAAUGCAAGGGACAAUUAGAAGACUGGCUACCCGAAACACGGGAGUGGAAGUAAUAAGUACAAGAACCUGGCUACCUAUUAAUAAGACUAAACCGAAAGCAUAUAGUAAUGAGAGAGCGCAGUCGCAGUUUUCUGCUAUAACUAAAGAGUUCAAGAAGCAAUACGGAGGCUUAAGGUAAAGAGUAGAGGACAACAACUCAACAGUCGGAAUGAAAGCAAAGCAUACCAAGAGUGAAGGUCAAGGUAGUUAGAAUCAAGGCAAGGAUGGUUAUAAUGAGAAAGGAGAGCGAGAGGCGGUAAUCAAAGACAAAGUAGGCUCAGACUCCAACAGCAGAUCGGGAAUUCGAAUAAGUAGUUGAUGUUUGAAACUACAACACUAGUAAGCGAAACUGGAACACAGGAGUUUAGGGAACAACUAAAAGAAUGCAAGGCAGGAAUGUCAGGGCAACAUAAGAUAAUAUGUGAUGGUCGUGUCGGGUAUUUCGAAUUCAAGCAAAGAGAGGCGGGCUACGAAAUAGUUUAGUCAAAUAAGAUCCUAGGGGCGAUGGGAGGGUAAUACUUUGGAGUUCGUAGUGGAAGGCCUAUACGCUUAAAUACAAGAGUUAGAGGAAGGGGUUCAAGACCUAGUUAUUAGUUCAAGUAGUGUUGGGCGCCAGUUUGAGUUUGAGUUCCCCGUUAAAGUAAUAGAAGCACUGGUUGGUUAUAGGCUCAUAAGCUAAUAAGUAAGUAAGGAUCCGGUUCAGCAACUAAUAGCCCUCAAAGAAGUGGAGCGGGCCUGCCCCCACAAACGACUAUUCUUAUGAAACUACAAAUCAGUCUGCCCUUCCUCACUUACUUCCUCUAGUCAACGAUUGAAACAGACUUGACUGUCUACUAUACGGGUCUACCCUGCCUUGCUUGUUAGUUCGAGCCUAUCUCGCCUAAAUCUUAUUUGUCAUAUCAACAACUAGAUCUUUCUGCCACAUAUCCAUGCGUUAACACAUAGGUUCUAUUACUAUAAUGGAAUUACUAUACGAAAACACAUGCUAUUAUUAUAUAUCAUAUGAAAACGUUAGAGUCAAUAGUGGGUGCCAAGGGAAUGCUGCGCUACCUUAUUCAUUAGAAUCAGAAAAUGUAAGUAAACCCUGUCUUACUUACUAAGUAGUCAAUCUUUUACUCACCGGCAGCAUAAAGCCUUAUUCAACAGCAGUCCACGCCUUACUAUAUCUAUACAUUUCCAAGCCUUCCCUUAAAUCAUUUCACUCUCCAGCUGAUUACUUGUAUUUUUUGACUACCUGAUCCCGGGUCCUUUCACCCAAACUGACAUUGCUUUACCUGAUUCUUAAUACUCUUACGCCCUUCCCCGUGGCUAGCUCCUCAAACAAAUAACGAGUUUUGUUAGCUGGGUUUCUACCCUUGUAUGCCUGAGCUCAAUUCGCUAGGCAGUAGUCAAUUCUUCUAUAUUCACUAGUUCGACUCCGCCUCUAUGGGCGCUGUAUCCUAUUCUGAAUAUAAGUAAUAUAAGUAAGUAAACAAAAAGAGCGUAGCUAAAGUGUGUUCUGGACUUCCCCUACUGCCUACGAGGCUUGCUUUCCCGUCUCUAAGCCCCACAGCUAUAGGCACCAACCUCUACUUGUUCUUUCCAUGCCUAUGCUCCAGCUAAAGUAUUAACUACUGAGUUGAAACCGAGCCUAGAGCAAUUAACGUAUUACUUCCCCACGUAUCUAAGGCUCUUACUCUGGGUCCUUUUUUCUUCUUGUAUACCGGGCAGUGGGUUUGUAUUGCUCCCUAAAGUCACCAGAACGGAUGAAGGGCUAUUACUAACGACUUUCAUCGCACAACUCACUUAUUUCUGUGAUUUAGACCUAACCCCGCUUCGCUCAAGUAAGCUUCUUUGAGUGCUGCCCCAACUCUUCUUUAUCCUUUUUGCAAAUCCAGUUUAUACAUCUGAUCCUCCUCUUUGCUUUUACUACUCAACCUUAUACUUGUUGGUAUCUUCUUUAUGGACUUUAGGCUUAUGCUGCCUUAACUCAAGAUAGGGAAUGGAGCUACUCACUAUAGGCCUGUAACUACUGAUAACCAUUCUCCAUCUAUUGAUCAAACUAAAACUGCUUACUCGCAUGACCUUUCUCUUGUUUUGAAACUAAUAGUAAGUUAGCCUGCCUCUACUGGUUAUAAUUCCUAAACUCCGGGUAAUGAUCUAGUGCAUCUAAUCAUAGGAAUAGGUCUAAGAGCACUAAGCAACAAGGCAACAAGAAAAAUCAGUAAUAUGACCAAGAAUAAUAAGUAUAAUAAGUAGAAUAUUACAUAGAACCAAACUCUGUAUUAUAAGAAUUGAGGUACAGCCCAACGCAUAUAGGUAUAAGAACGUUCCACAGAGAAUAUGGAAGUGAACUCAGCCAGCAGCCAGCAGCUGACGCUGACCUUGCUUCACCGGCGUAACAAUCUUACCUCCACCCGGGCAUAAUCCUACUCGUUAGCUGCGUUCCUCUCUUAGGCUUACUCCCUUCUCUAAGUUUCUGGUUCCUGCCUAUCCGCCUGUCCCCCACACUGCUGACUUCUAUUCUUUAACUAAUAGAACCCAACCUUUUACCUCCUCUUUUCACCUAUGAAGCCUGCUACUAUUGAAUGCAAUUCUGGAGUGAUGCUGCCAAACCCCCACAAUAAUAUCGUACUUGAUUCCAUCUAUAGAGUUCCAUUCCAUGCCCUACUCCUUUAUGCUUAGACUAAUAAGCUCCAGUCUGAUACUCGGAUUUGUUCUUCGGAAACAACUGCAGUAAUAACUUCUUAAUAACUAAUAUAUUAGCGGACCUGCCUUGCUUUAAGUCUAUCUUUUCUUUCUUCAAUGCCUUAGUUCAUUAGCUUCAUCUUAAUUCUUCUGUUUACUGACAUCAAUUAUUCCUUUCUCAUAUGAUAACAAAACGGGCUUUCUGUUUUAGAUAAAGGAGUGGACUAGUGAAAAGGUGAAGUCAGAACGGAACCACACUCUGUAUUAGUAGAAAGAAGUAAGGGACGUGCCCUACAAUACAAGAAAGAAUAAGAAAAACGGAAAGAGUUGAAUCACUGGUAGCGCAUCCACUAAGAGAAUAAUAGCUGUAAUCAGAUAUUAGAAUAAUUGCAGUAAUCAUAAGAACGGAACCCGGAGGCACAGUGAAAGAACGAAAUGAGUACAAGUAAGGCUGUUGGGUAGCAUUUUCAAAGAGUGCUAUAAGUAGUUCGAGGCUAAGGUGUAGUAAAGCCAGGAUGGGGAUCCGCUGUUAGAGAACGCAGGGAGGGAGUCACAAACAGACCUAUACCCAAACCCAAACAUAGGAGGAGGAAUGCAAGGACUAUUAUCAGAAUUGAGCACAUAACUCGAGAGGAACUAAGCACAUAAGAUAGCCUGCCCUUCUGAACUCUAAACCUGAUGCUGCUUUCUCUUAUUUGGAAACCUUGAACAAUAGGUUAGUAGGGCGUAUAUCAACUCUCAUAAGAAGGGGCUAUUUCGGCUAGUUACUAUUAGAAUGGGGCUGGUGCCUUGCCUAUAAGACAGCAAACAGUGCUUCCAAGCAUUAAACACAGAACCGACUUACUGAUAAUCAGAAUCGAUCUACCGACAAACAGGCCAAAGAGCUACUGCUUCCAAGACAACAACCACUGCUUAUAGGACUUACCCCGGAUCGAACAGCCACUUAUGAGAAUGGAGUAAUUGGCAAACAGGCUCUAACUACUGAUCCAGAUCUUCACUUGUGUGUUGGGCACGUUGCCUAGUACUAAAGCAAUAUAAUCAAUAUAAGUAAACAGAAUCAUAUCAAUAAUACAGAAUUCAUAUCAAUAAUAUAAGAUAACGGAAUUGUUCUCAUAACUCGAGAUUGAACUUAUUAGCCCUCUCUUUCUCCUCGGUAAACCAACACAACACCCCUCGCUUUCGUUCUUCAACGAUAAUGAAUUCCAAUUCUUCGGCUCCUUACCCGCAUUCUGUAGUUCGAGAGUGACUCUGCCUAUCCUCUAAAUGAUUCUGACUGUCCUAUCUCUAUGUCUCCCGCUCCUUUCCCUUAUUCCUAUGUUCAAUUAUUCAUAUGACAUUACCUUCUCUUAGUUCCAAUCAAUAGUGAGUCCGCCUAUCCACUUUGACUCCCCUUAUUAUUAUUAUAUUAGAGACUUUCCUCCACCCCGCUUUUAGCUUGCAGCCCCGACUAUUCGUAAUAAGUGAGAGGCCUCUCAUCUGAUCAACUCACUAUUCCUAGACAGGGAAAGCUGGCAAAGCAAAGAUACGACUUCCUGCCAUUGGAACGAAGCAAGAGGACAAGAAAGAACCGAGGUAAAGACACCUGGCGAACCAUAUCCACACGCUCCCGCUAUACGACAACAACAUAAGGACAAGAGGAAAGAGCUAGGAAUGUACCAAUGGAAAGAGAGCACCGGCAUUGCACCUUACUUGAACCACUUGGCCCGCAGGGGCCCGCCAGGGAGAGCCAACCUUCAAGGAUCUCUCCGGAUGCCCGUAUCCUGAUAGCCAAGAUUGGAUGCCGGCGGAACCUGUCUGGGCCUUACACGAAGUCACUUCACUCGCGGACAAAAAAGAAAUGGAACCUCACAAGCCAUAGAAAAAAUAGGCUACUUCGACUCCUAGACAGAAGAAGAGAGAGUAGGAAUGCAUCGACAGCUGGGCGUGUGGUCUUAGUAUAUUCCUACUUCAACCAACCCGACUUCGAAGAAUCAAAAGCACAGACCGAAGCAGACGGAAUAGAAUAAGAAAAACGCUCGUAGUCUUACCCUCGUUCUCCGAACCAACUUACCAACUUCAGGUAAUAGACCUAAAGAAAGAAUAGACCUGCUAAUGGAAGGCUAACGUACCGAAUAGAAGGCUUGCAAUCCUAUUUCUAAAGAGAAUUCCAGUAGUCCUCUCUAAAGAGAAUCCAAGUUUGAUCUCCCGGGUCGUGCCAGUUAGACAGGAAGAAAAGAGAAAUACCUUCCUUCAAGGAACAAUCAAACUAGAAGGUUCUUUCCAUUUUCUGAAACAUGCUAUCAGAGAACGAGCUUUAGAAUCCUGCUCUCUCUACCUGCUGACUGCUAGCUUUAGAAUCCUGCUCUCUCUACCUGCUGACUGCUGGCUCCAUCUAAAUCAAAGAAUGUGGACAAACCACUUAUGUAAGUAAGUAACCUGACUGCUAUUAAUUAUCUUAUAUCUAUUUCUGUAUCCAACUCAAGAAAUGUGCCCAGCUCAGGCAUUCUAUCUGUGCCGAGUAGUGCUUUCCCUUAACUUAAUGAGUAGUGGCCUUUCCUUUGCUUGCUUAGCUUUCCCCUGUGUAUAAGAAGCGGUUAAUAAGUGUUGGCUAAAGUCAGCAGAAGAAUUGCCAGUGAUAGUGACAGGUGCAGAGUCCAAAUAAUCCAGAAAGGUAAGCAGUAGAAAAGUCAUAAGUGGUAAGCUAAGCUGGACAGAAAGAAGUUGUUUCAUCCCAUAUAAAAGAAGAAAGAAAAAGAGCAUCAUAUCUUUUCGAAUACCCAAUACACUACACGUAGCGGUUAAGGCAAUUCAUUCUGUUUGUCUUUAAGGUUAUGUUUAGAAAGUAUAGAGCCAGGAGUGGAUAGGUGAGUUAAGGUAAAGAUCCAAGAUGCUGCCCUUAAGUUAAUGGGUAAAGUAGAAAGGAAACAGGCGCAAGAAGUCCUUUACUUAAGGUCUAGGCCGAGCAAGCCCCACAAGUUCUGUUGAUUCAAAAGGUUGAGUUGAUAUGAUUCCGGGGUGCUCUUAACCAAGUUCCGUCUCAUACACUCCAAAUUCAUUUCUGGAACGGGGAAGAUCAGAUGAUAGGGAAACCCCUACCCUCUUGGUUUCGAGAUCCUAUAUGGAACCAUUUGAACGUCCAUUCGGGCCUCAUUCUCUUCUCCUCACGUUUCAGUCAGAGCUCCGAAAUGACUUUGCCUCAUAAACCAGCACUUAAUCCUAAUCGCCCGUUAGCUAGCCCUACUUUUCUUUUGACUCGUAAAAGGCAGUUCAAUCCCCUUUUCUACUUUUAUACAAUAUAUUCCAUCCACUUUCCAUCCACUUUUCGAAUUUUCUACUAUGAUAUAUGGAACAACUAGGCCAACAACUUGACUUAGCCAUUCUUCGGAUCAAACACCCCUUCUCCUGCCGAAGUGCCAAACUACGGGAACUGGUUUUACCUCACUCCGCUCGCCCACCAUGGAGUUCUGAAUGAAGCUCUUUCCCGCGCAGGCAAUAGCACUACAUUGUCCCCAGCUUAUCAAUUCCAACAAGAAUAGGUCACUUUGCUGAGCGGAACAAACGAAUGAAUGGGUAAAAGCUCUCGCCUUACCGGGGUAAAGAAGGGUCUCCGCAUUUGAAACUCAACCCCUCGGACCACUUUCCUUCCAUACCCAUAGGACCAAGGGCUCGUACCAACCUAACUCUUUUAAGACACCGGGCUCUUCACGAAAACAGAGCAAAGGUGCUCCUUAACAACCUGAGCCACAUCCGCCCAUGGUGGGCAAUCCCAUCAGUUCUCAGUUCUUUGGAUUCAAUUCUAUCCAAAAGAAAGGGCCCAGGUAGCCUAACAAAUGCGUCUUCCGCUAUCUUAUCUAAUUCAAAACCACGGUCACUUCCACUUGCCUAGCUGAUAAAACCACUGUCUCAGUAGCUUCCUCUGGAACAGCAGCGUAUAAAACAAAUAAUAAACAAAGAUGUGAGAGCUUGAUAUACCUAAGCUAAGGGUUCUCGUCACAAUGAUUAGAUUUCUUUUCAAGCAAGAGUAAUUCAUUCCUUUUCGAUAAACAAAAGUAGGCCGUUUUUAGUAAAGUAAUAUAGAGUUAUACAAUUGGAGUAAUAUAGAGUUAUACAAAUAAGAGUGUCAUUCCUUUCGAGAAAAUGCCCAUCACGCCUCUGCUCUGACAGUCCCUUCAUGCACUGAUUCCCGUCAAGCACUCGUGGUGGAGAGUCGCGUGCCACUCACUGUGGUUGCAUCCGAGUUUUGGUGGAACCUCGCGUCCCUGCGCCUCACUCAUAAGGUAAGGUAAGGGCUGAAGAGGGGCUCGAUGAGGAAGAUCUACUUCUAAUGAGCCUGUGUCAGUGGUUGGACAAUUGAGACCAGUAGUUUGGACAGUGGAAGUGGAAAUGCAAUCCCAAUCUGAAUCUGUCGAAUCCGAAGCCUCGGUGGGGCAUUUUGAGUGUCUAAGGGCUCAAGUGAAGUUGGCAAUCAGAAGCAACGACGGUGGGGGCUCUCACUCAAUAACGGCGUGCAUACUAGGUCCCUAAAGGCGCUUGUGGCAACCCUUCACACAGAGCAGAGCAAUAGAAAGUUCCCCGCCCGGAGAAGCGAGAUCUACUGUGGUAGGAUUUAGUUCUAGAGUUUCUACUAGUUAUCCGGGUGAAAUGUAAAUCAAUUCAUAUUCGAUGCCUUGACUUGAGUUUGGGAUUCAUUCGAACCAAAAUGAACUACCCCAUUACAAUAGGGUGACGGGCUGCCAAUCAGAUUGACUUUGUGCCGUUACGUAUUUGCCUUGGCGUAUAUCAUAUACGGCUCGGGGUAGAUGGCAGGCAGUCCUAUAAGUAUAAGUAUUGGUUUAGUCCAGAGUAAGAUCAUACUGUUAUUGGUCUUGGUUUUCGUCCAGUAAGAUAUAUAGGAGAUAUGGGUCUCGGUUUUCGUCCAGUAAGAUAUAUAGGAAACUUUUCUCUCAGAUGAAUACCGUUCUGUUAGACCCGAGCGACUAUGACCAGGAGGAGAGCUCAAGUAAGUGGCAGUAUAAGCUUAUUUGGAAGGUAAUGAAGAAGUGGAAGAAAGGAUGAGUGGAGAACGACUUGAGUUUUGGAUUUAGCAGCUCCAAGUUCAUAUUAGGCCUUGUGCUUGUUCGCUCAUCAAGGAGACCUACGAGUACGUCUGUGACUUGAGUUUGGCGGGCCUUCCGCUAGCCCCAUAGAGAAAAGCUUUUACCUGGAACACCCUCAUGCUUCCACUUUGACUGCCGUUUGCUCCCAUUGAAGCGUUUGCUCGCCUCUUUACCUGGUCCGGUCGGACCUGGUGGGAACUACUACAUGAGCUUAGAAACGAGAAAAAGGAAAUGGGCUCCCCUGCGACAAAGGAAGCGAAUUUAGCACUUAACCCACACCGACUUUUGUAAGAUACCAAUCAGGGGCUUAUUCACGUCUGGUAUUAAUGUAACGUAACGGGCAGGCAGCGCUCACUACUUCGUGCUUCAAUUGACACCUCUUCCCGACUCACGUCAGAGAGCCUCCUCACGGACAACACAACGGCUAGAAGAGAGGAAGUAAGAAAGAGGGACAGCUAACACACUGUUGAAAACAAAGGUAGUUAGUUUGGGCUUCGCCAUCACCUUACUUACUGAAACACACUCCAACUUAUACUAAUCAAAUAUUCCAGUAUUUAGAACAGCUAGGUACCGGAGCCCCAGAGUGAAGGACACCUUUUUAGUAUUAUGAUUAUUCGAUUAACUUCAAGCCAACUGAACCAAACCUAACUUAUUAUUUGGAUGAAACAAAGACUGUAACUGCCGAGUGCCCUAACAUUGAUUUGACUCCCGGCUUAGCAUAGAGGACCAACGACCUUACGUCUCCAACCGAGUUGUUAGUUUUUUGGUAGUCCACUUAAGAGCGAGAAUCAUGAUACUCAAGGGGCGGGUUCUCUGGGUCAGCAACGGACCCUGGCUUUCCUUUCCUUAAGUUGAUAUUGGCCUAUAAGAAAGAAAGAGGAUUUUGGGAACAGUUUGUAAAGUCAAAACCUGUCUUGCGUAGGACAAGAUUGAGCGGAAGAAGCCGGCUUGUUGCAACCGUGACCCAUUCUAGAGAAGCCAUGAGUCAGUUUCUCUAUGCACUUUCUCACUGGAUUACCAAAGAAAGGUGAAAGGAUUUUGGGUCGAUUACCUUACGGCGAUAAAGGAUUAGACGGUUCAUUUGGAAGCCUUUGGAAUCUUAUUCUUUCAAAUAUACAGAAGUAGUCGAUGACUAAAAGAAAAGGUGCUGAAAGCCUAAGGCAAGGGGUCAGGGUAGUCUACGAAUUGUUGGUCCUGACUAAUGGCGGAGGGAGAGCGUAGCAGGAACUUUCUUUCCUGGUUGUAAGGUCGGUCUAUAAACCAAUAGAGGUCAGAGUUUCGAAAAUCCCCGAGAAGUGUGGUGUAUGGGAAUGGAGAAGUAAGCAUUCGAGUACAUUGUUGCAGACGCCUAAAAAGUGCAAUCACCCACCGACAUUUGCAUAAGAAUAAUCCGAUGAAAUCAUACAUAGCAUAGGUGCAUCUUACCUAAGAACCAGAGUAUAGGGCCGCUCUUUCCCAAUCCGAACCAGCUGAAUAGGCCUAUGUAGGGUCGUAAGGCUUCCUUCAGUGAGUGCGUAAACAGAAACUCUUUAAGAUGCCGAAUCAGAAGAAUCAGCUGAAACUAGAGAAAGAGAAGUGUAUAAGCAAAGAAUCCGAAGACGCAUAGGAACCCCAAUCACCUAAAGCAUAAGUAUUCAUCCGAUAACGCCACUGGUUGCCGUUGAUGGCCGUUGCAACAGCCCCGUGAGAACAGAACAAAACGGAUUGCUUAUUGUUUCUAUGAGUCGACAGGAGAAGCACCGCUCAAAGGAACUUUAGCUAGGUCAUUUUUACCUUGUUUUAUGAAGGUAUUUAGUACUCGAAGGAAAAAAACCUCGAAACCGGGUUGUAGCUUAUGGUGCUUUCUUCCCUUCCUAUUAAGCCUUUUACUAUUAGCUUUUUGACCUUGUUUUCCGAAGAUAGCAGCAAUCCCCCUUUUUGAAAAAAAGUAGAUACAUAAAGUAGAAAGGUAUGGAAUUGUUCUUAGCUUGGCGCGCUUGCUUCCCUCUAAAGAAGCCCUAACGCUUUGAAGUCUUAGGUUAAUCACUCCAUUCUUUCCGUACCGACCUGACCUCUCUCGAAGCAGUAUUUCCCUGAGCUGCAUAUCAAGUUUCUUACGAACUAACAUAUCUUUUGUCUCCUGAACCAAAGGAUCCCUUUUCUCCCGCUCCGCUUUUUCCGAAUCAACAUCUAAUUGUAGCUAGGUCAGUCAUAGGGUUAUUUCCAGUCUAGUCUAGAAUCAACACCAAACUAAGCUAAACCUUAACUACGUAAAAUCUACCUGUGAAAAGCUGCCAAGGAAGGAACCAAAGCGCUAGCUACUCUCCGAAAACUAGCUGCAGUGAAAGGCGACUUGAGAGUCAGAAGUGGAGAAGGAAGCGACAAGUUCCUCAGAUAGGCACGGACACUACCCAUUAGGGGUACUAAGCUUUCCCCGGGCAGAAGUCUAGCUCCAUUUUCCAUGUUGAGCAAUGCCGAUACUGCGCGCAUGCUGAUAAACAUAAAAGAACACUUCUGCUUUAAGCUAUAGCUAGGUCGGAGCCCCUUUCUCAUAAAGUGGAGUCUCUUCUUUCUUUCCCCAGUUACAGAGGAUUGACUAACCCCAUGGAUAUGUUGUCGAGGAUUGACUAACCCCAUGGAUAUGUUGUCGAGGAUUGACUAACCCCAUGGAUAUGUUGUCAUCACAUUUAGCUCCGCCUGUUAUAGCAAGCAAGCAAAGCCUACUUCCACUUUGUUGGGAGAGAAAUCCUUCCCCUAAUGCUAUUUGAUCAGCGGAUCAUAAAUGAGCCCAGCUUGGCGAAACUCCACCGUGAAAUAUGCGGGUAGCUCUUCACGAAAGAUUGUUGGCAUGCCUCCCAUAAGAAGGCGGAUAAGGAAACCCAUGAGAGCGCCUUGUCUUGUUCGAAUCUUUUUCCUAAAGAAAGAGCAAUCGAUUACUAUACUAGUGCAUGCAAACUGCAAUCUUAUAGAGCACCUUGAUCCUAUUGAAAAGAAAGGGCUCAGGCGAGAGGGCCUAAGGGUUAAUAAGAGUUCAGAGAAGGUUGGAUCCGGGAAGGCUUAUAAGCCCGAGCGAGGGUUGGUUUUGAACCCUGCAAAAGCAAAUGAAUUCGAUUCCGAGAUGAUAGGUUGGGGCUGGCUUGGAAGGCUAUUUUGCUACAGGGGAUGAUUAAGCGAUAAGAGGGAAACCACACUUUUCUUUCUCCCGUUUGUUUGUGGAUUUCCAAAGAAGAAGUAAGUGUAAUCGAGUAAACAAGCAAAUAAGAUCUGAUGCUUCUAGAUUUCUACCGUUUGUUUGUGGAUUUCCAAAGGAUAAGUCAGUGUAAUCGAGUAAACAAGCAAAUAAGAUCUUCCCUUAGAGCCAGGAAAUAAUACAAUGGGAAUUGGAGUCGCUUUUUCCUCUUUUUCAAUAUAGCUUGGGGUAUUAUUUCUAUUAGUAUUGUCCCACUGUUGCUAGUUGCAUUAUUGGUGGAAGGCUAAAGAAAAGAGGCGGUGUAGCGAGAUGACUUGGAGUGGAGCCUAGACCUUUCAUAAGGAUUGGUUUAUUCCACGUCUUUGGGUCCGGUGGUCACAGGGAAUCUUGAAGCGGCUAAGGAGUGACUCGGGAAAGGGAGAAUAGUUACGGCUAAGGAGUGACUCGGGAAAGGGAGAAUAGUGACUAAAGGUGCGGUUUGGAAGGUAAGGUCGGGUCGGCCACCUCUAUAUUCUCUUUUGACAUUCCAUCACCUCGAGGAGGAGUAAAUAGCAGCAUUCCGUUGGAUAGUUUUCGGGUGUUAAGGUUAAGAAAGACAUUGAAUCGAGGUUGGAUUGACUGGCUAGCUUGGGCUAUCCUAUCAACGAAUAAUUCCUUUCCCUUACUUAACGAGGAGAGAGAACCCUCAAAUAAGCUAACGAAAGUCAUUCUAUAGUAGCCUUGAUUCCGGCAACCACAAAACCGAGCGAGGGGGACUUCCAUAAGGCUAAGGAAAAAGAAGACCACGUGUCGGAGACCAAACGAAGUCAAGACAGUAAAGACAAAGAGUAGCGAGAGGCAUUUCUCCUUGGUCUUCUUCUCUUCUCCGAUUAGGUAAAGAAAAGCUUGUUCGAAUCGAGUCAGUGUUCAUAAAAGAAAGGACAGUUAUUUCACCGCACGCAAAGGCUGUAAGAGAGAACUAGAUUGCUUCUUUGACAAGCCAGAUGGGUUAUUUAAUCAAAAGAGAAAAUACACAAGUGUUGUGAAAAGAAAGUGAGAGUCUUGCUGGAAUAGGUUGUUUAUUUAAUAUAAGAGCUAGCUAAAGCCCCCGAACUGGGCGAACAAACCAACUUGGGCAUUGCCAAACCAACCCCGCGUCUCCCAGGGCUUCCCUUUCCCCAAUAAGAAUGCAUGAUGCUUAUUUCCUGUUUUCUUUCUACUAGCACAUGGAUCGUGAUAACUCUCUUUCUUAUAGAAUGAGGGGCAGUUUCCCUUAGAGUAAUGCGUAUGACCAGACGGAAGCUGAUGAAUGGUUGUCGACUCUGAACGUAGUUCAUGGCACGGUUCCCCCGACCCCGCACCAUUACUGGCAGGCGGCAUAAAGAAAGCCCCAAUCCGCAAGGCUCUUAGCACCUCUUUGGGUUUCAAUUCAUUCUGAACUUCAAUAGCAUAGCCAGAGUAAGCGGAGCAAGUCCCUUCCUUGAUAAGCAGAGAAAGGAUCAAAGAGAAGAAUCUCCGUGGUGAGCAAGCAGUAGCCGAACAAUCCAAAGGAGGUACUAGGAUUCUUGGUAAGAUUGAACUACAUUGCGCAUCCCACAGCUAACUGCAACUUGUGAGCCUAUUUUGAAGCUACUAAAGAAGAGAACAGCCCUUCCAAGUGGGAUGAGGAGUGUAAGGAGGCGUUUGACAAGAUAAAGUAGUCUUUGAUAAAUCCACCUGUUAGAUCUCCUCCGUCUCCGGGGAAGCCCCUACUGCUGUACCCUUUAUUGACAGAAUAACUUGUCUUUGUUAUCAGCCUGGAGUUUUUGUAUAGUGCUGCUAGGAGAGCUCACUAAGACUAGGAGCGGAUUCUAUACCAGUCACAGCGUAUUCUGGGCAUCAAUGCACUAACUCCUUCGCUUAUUCACCCUUAACCUCGUUCUUGGUUACGCGCGCCGUCUACUCUGUGCAUACACUAGGGCUCUCAAAUGGUCGACUGCGAAACACCUUGUCCUGGAAUUCAUUCGAUUUCUAUUUCAUAUUCCCCUUGUUCCUUGGAAAAGAUCUUCUUAUUUAUUAUAUAUUAAUAUGGAAAGAUCUUCUUAUUUAUGACUUAUAGAAUAAUAUGGCUGGAAAGCCUGAGUAAACAAAACAAGACAAGGGAAAAGCAACACAAGUAAAGAUUGAUGUAAUUGCAAGGGUGCUAUAAACCCCCGGCUUACCAGAGUUCGUAAAGUCAUUAAGAGUUCGAUCGAAACUGGGAGAGUUAAGGCCGUUAAAGUUCAUAUACUCAUAUGUAGAUGUAGUGCUUUUCAAAGCCGACUGAUAUUGAUAUAUAAGAGAGGCUGAAGCUAUUGCCUUGCGAUGAUCAUCUUCGGUGGAUCGAACCCAUACUAACAAGCUGCAGUUAGGAGCUCCGGCAGAAAUAGGUGAGUUGGGGUAGAUUUAAGCAGGGGCAUGAAUAGAUCGUGCUUGCACCGGACAGAGAGGCUGGUAUACAGAGGGAAUCUCUUGUGAUAGAUGAGCCGUAGUCCUGGGACAUGAGUCGAGAGGUACUCUAACCUAGCCAUAUGGUUGGGGUGGCAGAGAAGUCAGAGUGCAAUUGGAGACUUCACGACCCCGGCGUCAAUCCUGGCAGCAAUCCUUCAGGGAAUCUAUUACACUCAUUCUAUCAAUGACUCGCCUUAGAUAGCAUCUUAGAUGGCUGAGCCCUUAUUGAAUGAAGCAGGGCUUGACUCCACUCCUUCCCUCCUAUCUUGAGCCUUGACUCCACUCCUUCCCUCCUAUCUUGAGCUUUGAAGCCAGAGUUAGCGUACUGAUAGUGGGGCACUACGGAUUGAUAAUAAAGAUAUGAAAAGACGGAAACUACAGCCUUCCUUUGAUUUUAUGGUUCAAUACCUUCUCUGGCCCAUGAAACAAGAUUGGAAUUGAACCGCUCUAAGCCAACAAAGAUUUCUUACCUAGCUUCAAAGCCUGUAAUUGACUCUGCUACUUACUAUAUGGGCCCGACCCGAACUCCUCUCUGCUAACAGAAUGAGGCUCCUCUCCGGUAUUUCACUAACAAAGCUACUACUAGCAUUCCUAACAAAGCUACUACUGUUCCACUCUAACUCAGAACUCGGGAUUCCACAACUACAUUAAUCGUAAAGGGCAGUCCGCUGAGCUACACUUCCCGCGCGCAACUCUCAAUCUGGUCUUAAAGCCAACUACUCUGUUGCUACUAGAUUCUUCUUAUUUCCCCAACUCGUUAACUGGGGAUGAAACUAGAACAGACAAAUACAAAUAUGAAGUAGACCUCGCUUCAAAUCAAAUACCUGGAAGACGAGACAGAAGUAGAUCUCGCAUCAAAGGCAUCGCAGCUGACGCUGCCCUCGCAUCAAAGCAAGUCAGAUAGUCUGCAACUUACUAGAAGGGCUUCUCUACUUCCUCUUUGAACUAUCACAAGAACAGGACUCCCGGAGACGAACAAAGGACUUGAAGUGCGGACUACCGAAGUCAACUAAUUCCGAUUUCUUACGUACACUCCGAGCCUUACUAUGAAGCUUCCAACUCGCGAUGCAACUCUCACUUACCCUGGACUACCGGGCAAUGAAAUAAGUGUCAUCUACUAUGAAUGAAACGACCCCUAUACCGAUCCCUAUCCAUACGCGCCUACCCGAGUAAGUAAACUACUAAGUCAGUAAACCAACCGACCCGACCCUAGUAUAGGAAUUCCACUACUACGGAGAAGGUAUCAAACAAAAGUAAGGUUAGCAAACAACCAAUAAGGGCCUCUACAUUCCUUCCCACACCCCCACUCGGCAGCAUCUGAUAUGGCCAUGCAUUCUGAACCCUAUUCUUCUAAUUCCACACCCCCGACCUCGUAUUGGAAUGACACAAGCCCUACCCCCUAACAAGACACGCCUACCCAUACCCAUACUAGGCACCAGUGGAUUGGAUCUUAAGUCAACAAAUCAUGAAACAACUCUCCCUUUAUCUGAAGCAACAAAUCAUUUCUUAUCUUGCGCUGAAGUGCCUACGUUAGCCUCAUCUUUCGAGCAGAGAGAUCUUACCAACAGUUGGACCACUCCCCGGGCCGGGCGCAACUAAUUCAUAUGGAAAUGGAACGGAUCUGCAUAUAUAGUAGGAAAUGCAACUCAAGUAAUGGAAACUACAUCCCUUUUGUCGACCUAAACAGAACUUUAAUAAUCUACAAGCCAAUACACCGACAGAUUCCACUCGCGAUUAAACUCAUUGACAACGCGCUGAGGAAACCAGUACUUUUGAGUCCUUUAACGCAAGUCAAGCUGGCUGAUAUACUCCCUAUAAGUUCACGCUUAUGCUUUUCUUCGCUUUAGAUCUGACUUACUUAACAUGCAUUUCAGAUUGAAGAGAAAUCCGGAAUCAAGCCGAUGAUAAGAAGUGGAUCUUCUUUAUGAGUUGCUUCGACAGAUAGCAAAGACUUCUCACUUAUAAGUCAAGUAAAGUAAAAGACUUCUCACUUAUAAGGAUAGUAAUAUUUCACGAGCGAGCUAAGCAAAUUCCAAUGAAAUAGCUGCCCCUCGGAGUCACUUUUCAAGGUUUUUAUAGUCAAGUGAUUUAGAAUAAGUUCGGAUAUAGGAUAGCCGAGUAAGCAAGCGCAUUCAGGGGCAUAGGAUAGCCGAGUAAGCAAGCAUUCGGGGGCAUAGGAGUGGAAUUCUGACCUUUGAGUUCACCCCGACCUCUCCUCUAACUCUAAACUCCUGCUGACCACUCCUGUUCGUUUUCAACCUUCAUUCUUAUCCAAUAACUCCCGGCUCAGCUAACUCAGGCUCAGAUCAUCUCUUUGAACUCUUUCUCCUCUCUUACAAAUAUACCUCCAUCUGUUCUCUUCUCUUGCUCAUCUAGCUAUGUCAACUAGUCCGCAUUUUGCCUCUGUCUCUUAUCCUCUACCUCUGUAAACUGCCAAGCGACUAGGCAAGUCCUGUUUAUUAGGGUUCUUUAUUAGGGUUCUCUUGCCGAAACUCACAAUAAGGGCCCGAGCUAACUCGAUCUUACUUACCGACCUCGACCUGGAACAGGCAAUUCCCCAGGCCAAGCUACUUACUAGACACUCAAUCCGGGCCUAGCUACUACUACUUCAAUCUGUUUCUUAUUUACCGCAAGCUGCUGGAUCCCGAGCGCAUAGCAAGUAAUAAAUACAUUAUCACAGCCUUUGGGAGUGCUUAUUUAGCCUAUGGCAACUUCCAACUAUUAACAGAAUUAGGCUAAUCUCACUCUUUCUCCUCUCCAAUGGAAUACCUCUGGCUCAUAUUCCUUAAUUCUUAUCCAAUAACUCUGGCUCAUCUAACUUCAAUCUGACUUGCUUCAUGAGGCUCUCUUCUCUUCUUGCCUUCAUCUCUUCUUCGGAGAAUUGAGACUUUAGUGACUUGGCCCGAUCAUCUAUAAUAAGAGUGGAAUUCAUAGUUGCUAGCUCAGCUCCUGAUACUGGAAAUUCUCUACUCCAAGCAUGGUCUCGAGCCGCUCUAAGACAACUACUACAGUUAUUGCUCUCAUCUAAUCUAAUAUCAAUACUACAGUUAUUGCUCUCAUCUAAUCUAAUAUCAAGUCCAGGUCCAGUAUCACAGUUGACUUUGGAACUCACUCCUACUGUUGCUCACCUAGUAACUUCCUUCUGGGAAUCGGUGGGCAAGGGAAGCUAAGCUAUAAGUACUUCAGUGAAGAAUUGAACGACUAACGACCAAGCAACGACUAUACCUCUUACCUAUUAGUUCCCCCACUUUCAGUUAGUUCUUACCUUAGACACAAGCACAAUCACCUCCCUCUCUAAACCUACCCGCCAAGCGACUCCUCAUGUUACGCGGCAGCAACAAAUGUACUCUAGUUGACUACCCGGUAAGAAUAGGGCUCCAAAUUCAUUAUUUACCAAAUUCUUAUAUGUUUUUAGAAGAUUGCCCAUUUCCACUAAUAAACUGGCCGGAUAAUGCAUUUCUUCCUAACAUCCUUAGGGUUCCCUUCGAGCUCGAGUAUAGCUUAUUUCUGCCAGACUUAUUUAAUGGUAGAAUCUUAUGUUCGAGUGAAAUCUUAUAAGGAAGUAGGUAACACCCAGGAUAGUUGAUAGGGAGUAUUUAUGGGCCAUUAGACCAGACCUAGCCCCUGAUUCUGUUGAUGACAGUAAACCCUUAUUCUGUUGAUAAAGCUUCUUCACCCGAUCCUGACUCGUUGCUAUAAACCAUAUUCUAUUGACUUCCAAACAAACUCCCGACUCGUUGCUAUAAACUGCUUCCUGCUAUAAUCCCACGGACUAAGAAGACAUAUCUCUUUUGAAUGCCCACUAUGUUAAGGGAAGAACAGAAUCAAGAUCAGAAACAUAAGCAAGAUCGGGCUUUGAAGAAGGAAUUGAUGAAUAAGCCUAAGAUGGAAAGUAGGCUGUCAUAUUUCUGACUACAAGUCGAGUUAGGAAGUCUGCUGUAAAUGAAGUGGAGGUAGCAGCGGUACAAAGAGGAGGUUUGCUAUAAGUGAUUCAGUUUCAAAGUACCUAGAAGCAUUGGUUACGGCUUAAGGAAAGAAAAGCUGUGGAUCUAGCCUAUUAGUAUUCAAAUAGAUAUUAGCUCGUAUAGGCAUAUAAGAACUGUUCUCGUUGGCUCUAAGUGAGGAUCAUAAGCUUCCAGAAGGUAUAGAUUGUGGGUAAUAUUCCUUAUUUAGAUACGACUACUAGGCGCUGCGCUCAAAAGAUUCAAUGAAUUCUUAAGACAGUGGAGUUUAGUCCUUAGUUGAUGCUAGUUAACGAGUUGAUCAAAGUGAAAGUGCUAACGGAGCUCUUGUUGGUGACUUGAACCUUCUUCUCGGCUUGAGAAAAGAGCUAGAACCAGAAACUGUAAUAAUAAUGAACCGGCAUCUGAUCCUGCUCCUAGCGGUAAGUAAACUAUAUGAAUUAUAGCAGUUAGAAAAGUGUGAAGUGACUUCGAAUACUUACUUAUACAUAUAAGGACUAUGACUUAUUACUAAUAGUUAUAGGAGUUAGGAGUUCAAUUCCAUACCUGAGUUAUGAGUUAGUCGUACUUAUCAUUGCUUCACACAAGUCAAACUUUCGAGUUGCUUGCCCACUUCUAGUCGAGUUUCAUCCUAGUUUGCUACUCAAGAAUCAGAGGUUAAGUCGGCAGCAAGCGCAUCUGUUAAACAAGCCAAGUCAGCAGCAAGACGUUCACCAAGUUUAGUUCAGGGAAGAAAAGAGGACAAGACAAACUACAUAAAUAACAUAUAAUAAAGGUACUCCACUUGAAGCAGAAAAAUCCGCAGUGCGCUUGUUAACUACACGAGUUAUAGCAUUUGAUAACCACAGAGAUAGGUCGCUGAACCAGAAUCAUUCGCUGAGUAUGAUAUAUGAGUCCUGUUUCUUUCACUCUCGAAGGAAUACUUGCCAGAAAUGGGAACCUCCACUAUGGCUAACAACUCUUUGAUCGAAUACGAGGGAAAUACUGGGAACGGUCUCUUAUCCGGAAAACAAGACAAGGGGAUGCUACAACACUCGGGAGAACCUCUCCUAUCGAGCUGAGAUAACCUCUUUCAAACAAUCUGAUGGGAGAGCUCAAAAGGAAGUAUAACUAGGAGUCGAGGGGGAACUCAAAGAGGAAUGAACGGAAGAAGGGAAAGGGCCAAGCAACUGGACAAGCUCACCUCUGAGUUUCAUUAUGUAACUACUUAGGUCAAUUCUAACUUUUGGAAAUAGGACCUGGUUGUGUUGGCGAUAUAGGAGAAUAUGGGUAUGUAUGAUCUAUAGGGCCAUACUCAGCAUAGGUACGACUCAGCAGCGCAUCUACCAAUAUGAAUAUAGGUCUCAGAGCACUAAGCAACGAAUAAGUAAUAGGACAGAGAGCCAAACUCCGCUGUAUUGGAAUUCUGGGCACAAGAAUAUAGCCAGUAACAAUAAUACUUUUCACCCAGCGCUAGCAGGAAUCCGCCUAGUAAUAUAGAAUUCACCUAGUAAUGAUAAGACCUUAGCUUCACGCGCCUACCUUACUUGUAUUCUAGAACUCCAAAUAAUCAGAAUUGCACCAACAAAAGAUAGACUGACCUUACUAAGCAGCAGAAGAAUAAAAGCAUAGAUCCAGUUGGAAAGCGAGGAGAGUUUUAGUGAAAGUGCCGCGGGGAGGACAGGCUAUUAGUUAGCAGCUCCAUUCUGAUAGUAAUAAGUGGAUCGGAUCUCUAAUAUGCCCCAAAAGCCUAGUUCCUAUUUACGAGUUGUUGUCUUAGAGAUAGCUGCUACAGCCUUAGUUCUGAGUCGAGGUCUUAUUAGUAGUAGGACCCAAUCCGAUGUAUCUGACUUUCUAGUUGUUCUCUUAGUACUCGGUGAGGCAGUCAAUUCUUCAAUGAAAAUACUUUUAGAAGGAACACACCAUAGGGUUGGGCAAGAAAGAGUUAUUUAUAGUUAAUACAAGUUAUGUUGAAUGGAGCGUUAGACUGAAGCUAUGCAUUGAAGGCAGGAGCCUAAGAAGUUAGGUUCGCAAGUUAGGCUUAGUUGGUGUAUCGGGAAUGUAGGAAGAAUUGCCCUAACCCAUAAGAAUUGGCUGUUGGGUUCUGUACUACUGGUCUGUUACUCUAGUAGCUUAUUCCGUGUUUUCUUAUAUUAGAAUUCGUUUUCUCAUUAAAACGACUUCCCUUUCUACUCUAGUUUGGGUGACUUUACUUUCCUUUCCACCCUUAGGAUGCAACACCAACAGCAUCUUGGAUCUUGACCCUAAAACGGAGGUGAGGACUUCGCUUCAACAGAACUAGUAACCCCAUUAUAAUACUGACUAAUAGGAGUUAGCGUUAAGUAACUUGUUAGGAGUGAAAUUCCAUACCGGUACAAAUACUAAUCUCUAUCCUAUUGCUUUUAUGCACAACACCUUAUUUUGAGUGGCUUGGCAGAGCAAGAAAACCCUCAAAUAAUGGAAUUGGAAGCUGGUUUGAUCUAUUCCUAGCGUUUUCCCUAUCAUCUGAUCUUCCCCGUUCAAUAAAUGCAUUUCAAGCCUAUAAAACAGGGCAGCGUUUCUUGUCGUCUUGUCGGCUUGGCGGACCAGUAGUAGACUCAUCGACAACAAAUACAUAUGAAACUGCUUUAGAUCCCAAUCCAGAUCUGGUUCUUGCUUUCUGCUUUAGCUUACAAACUUGCUCCUUCUUUUUCUGUAACUGGCAAUUCUCCUAAUUAAGAUCUGUCAACUGUUUCUUAUCCUUCUCCCGCUUCGCUUACAACUGACUUAGGAACUGCUGAUUCAGUUACUGUGGAUUCUAUCUCUUAUUGACACCUUGGACUACGGGCAAUCAGUCCAUAUAAGGUCAAUCAGUCCAUAUAAUAAUACUUACCGCAGCACAAGUACCAAAAGAAACGAAACUGGAUUUACUUGUUACUGACUUGCUAUAUGGUGAAACUAUAACCCAAAUAGAUUCAAGUUCAAGGACAGAAACGCUUGUUGGCUCUUCUAAUGCUUUUAAGCCUAUCAUCUUUACCCUUUCGAAAAGAAUCUAUUUCUGGCAUAUAAGAUCUAAUUGAAUAGCAAAACUCACUUCUUAUACUACUGCUGACACAAACUCUCUCACGUGAGCUCCUGUUUUCGGCGUUAGUGUUCGAAAGCCUAAAGUUCACUAGUUUGUUCAAAAGCCUAAAGUUCACUAGUUUGUUCGAAAGCCCUUUUUGACUCUUAACCAACACUAGGAUCUGAAGCCGCCCUUACUAAUAGUGCCGAAGAGAAUGCCCACAGAGGGAUCAGAAGGUGGUAGCAGUGCAAGGACUGGAAAUUCCACUUGUGCUUAUUGUUCUCCGGCUUCUUUUGAACUCAUAUUCUAUAAGAAAUAAGGAUGCGCCUAGCCCUUAAGUAAAUGGGAGUAAAGAUCAGCUCUUUUAGAAUGCCAAGUUCCUGUUCUCAAGUAAAGGUAUAAAGGUGUUUGCGUGGGAAGGGCCAAGCUUCGUUUUGAGUUGCGCUAAGGAGCCCGGGGGGAGUUUCAUCCCGGCUAAGUAACUGCUACAAACACAUAACAUGUAAUAGACGACUGAUGAUUCUUUCUAAGCCAAUACCCGAACAAGAUUUGUAGGGAACUUUCCAAUUGCAGCUAACUAUUGAACUGCUUUUGAUGCUUCUUCAGCAGAUCCUUAUUCCGCUUCCUCACCAGAUCUAGCUGUUGCUUAUGAUCCUACUCUAUAUUCUAAUUCCACAGCAUAUUAUAGAGUUCCUACUCUGACUCUUUAUCCUGUUUCCUCUCUUUCCAUUCUUAUUGUCAACUUACUAGAAGGGCCUCCACUCCCUUACCUGUCAACAGGACCACUACCUAGCGCAACUCUCUCUUAAUUAUGACUUGAAACUAGAGCUCUCCUUUCUGACCCUACUCUAGCUGACCCGACUCUUGCGCCUUAAGGAUUUACUUAUUUGUUUGAUCCUCUCGACUUGCCUCGUUGCUUGGCCCUGUCACAAAUGCAAAUACGGAGCUUCUAUCUCGCUCACUUUAUACUUACCUACCCUAUGGGUAUUCGAAAAGAUCUGAUAUAGUAGACUUCACUCGUACUCCAAGAUAUGAUACUGAUUCACUAACCGUUGAACCCAACACCACAGAGUGGGCAUUCUCUUCUGAAUAAGCAACAUUCUUUUGUUUCGCAAGUCCCGUUUUUCACGUUAAUGAGCGGGCCACUGACUUGGAUCCAGCUUAUGUUCUGCUUUCAACCUAUUCUUUACCAGAUUAUAUAUGAUACUUUCCUCUUAUUGACCCGUGCAGACUUUCUUUCUCGUAGACCAACUAAGGGAAAGCCUAUUAACUAUACUAUACGACAAAGAGCUACUACAGCAGAGUAUUUGAAGUCGCACCUCUCUCCACUCGAAAUACAGAAUGCAACGGGGCCCCCGGGACUACUACUACUGGGCUGGGCUCGCUGACCAAAUCAUUCUACUAUCAACUAUUGGCAAAGAAUGAACUGAGUACCUGGAUGCAAGGGACCGAUCGCCAACAAUUUCUUACUACCACUCACCGGCAAGCUACUAAGAGACCCCAAACCCUAACAAGCUAGUAAGUCAACAAAGUCAGUCCACCACCCUAACCACCAAGCUUAGUAUAGACUAUCUGAUUGCCCAAACUCCCCUUCCCUUGUGUUGCCCAGUCCUACCCUAUAGUAUAGAAUUAGAAUAGAGUCAAAACUACCACUUUGCUAUAAAAAACCCUAGAAUGAGAAUGGAGUCAAAACUACCACUUAUUCCCUUUCCACUCAUGGCAACGUACUAACAAACGGAUUUGCUUAUAUUAUAUGAAUAUGAGUCGACUUGUCCGCUUUUGUAGCACCACUUCUGGCUUAGGUUAGCUUGUAAGAUUCUUCCCCUGCCCCCGGAACUUGACUUUCGAACUGAGGAUUCUCUUGUUUCCCCUGCCCUGGCCCUUGCUUUAGUUCAUUCUUUUUCUACUGCACUGGCCUCUCCUUCUGACUUACAGUAGUACUACCGGUAUUAGGCCUCUACUUCUGCCCUAUUAUUAAGUACUGCUUCCAAAGAUGAAAGUAGGUCUGCUCAUUCUAUUCUAUAUAUGACAACUAAGCUUCUAUAUAUGACAACUAAGCUAAGGUAAAGCCAAUUACCGAACCUAGAUAACACUCAGACACAAUACCGAACCUAGAUAACACUCAGACACAAUAACUAUAAGGGGCAAAGGCAAUCACUCACUCUCAGGCUUCUCCGAUUACCCACAUCGAAUGAGUUUUACCUAGACAAUUAGUUCAUUUGAAACAAGGGAUAUGAAAAGGGUCAAACUCCGUUUCCAGUUCUGAAGGAAGCAAGCCAUAGAGCAUAACCAGAAGCCAAAGUCAGUUUCAACUGAUUCCUCAAUUGGUUAUUAGAGUUCGGGUGCUUCAAGCCUGCAGUUUCUUAACUACUGUUUCUAGGGUGUUAACUAAGUUGACUUUGCGUUCUGCUACUACUCACUUGGAUUUGUACUAUACCUUAUAUAUAAGUAAGUCUGUACUUGCCCUUCCACUAGUAUUCGUUCCUUUAGCCUACCUUUACUUGCAAUAAUAUAAGUCCGGCUUUACUUGCUUUUAAACUCACGAAAUAUCUCUUCUUUCCCCCUGCCCCUACUACUUGGAAGGCUAUAUCACCACUGUGGGGCAUGAUCCUGGCUUUCCAACUGUCGCUACUUACCGAAAAACUUGCUUUGCUUCACUUACCUCUGCAGUUAACUCUCAUUCUGUGGGACGUCCCUUGCAUUUAUGAUUACCAGACUAUUUACUUAUAGAUCAAUACUAACAAUAAGCAAUCGAGGAAUACUGAAUUGAGCUGGGGAAAAGGAAUACUGUUCAUAAGUGAGAGAAUGCAACUGUGCGAAUAAGGUGCUGAAAGCCUAGGAAGCCAAAGAAUGGAAUGUCUGGCCAGUUAAGAUAGUUUCGAGUUAGAGCUAGUUAACCUCACAGGUAGUUUCAGCUUCAAAGUAAGGAUUCCACUCAACUCACUCAGUAGUAUAAGAGUCAAAACCUAGAGUGGAAGCAUCAAAAUCCAACUAGUAAGUAAAAGAACCAACCAGUAGGGGCGUGGAUUCGCUCUAAAGUCAGGAUACCUACAAGACUCUAGGUAGUUAUAUCAAAUUCCAUAAGGGAUGUGAUUCUCUAACACUGGGGUACAGUACAUACCCUGGCUGAUAAUAAAUGCAGGAUACUGGCCCGGGGUGUACUACAGGACCUAUAAGACCAGACAAGUAACUACAACUCGGGAGCUACAUUCCUCUCAACACUAACUCCUGUCCUGUCUCUCGUUCUUUUACUCCCGAUACGACCUAGAGCAUCUACUAAUAGAAUAAAGAUCGAGUGUCUCAUAUUAAGAGAAUUCAAUCAAUAACAGAAGGAAUUGCCCUAAGAAGUAUCAGAAUGGAGUUAAUUGGUAUCGGCCUAGGAUUGAUACAAACAGAGGCGCACAGAACAAGGGCUUAUUCUAAUAGUUUGAAGAGAAGGUGGGAAGUUGCUCAGAAGCUAAAACAAGGUAGUAGAACAUAGAUUCACACUUCAAAGGAGGCCAGUAAGCCUGGGAGACCAAAGUGACUAGUUUCAAAACGAGUUCCGUCAUAUUUAUAGGUGAGUCAAUAAGGACGAGGACAUAGUUGGAGGUGCACAUAGGAAUUCGAAUAAGUAGUUGUCUUGGGAGUUAGGUGCGGAAGGGGCAAAGGUCAGGAUCAAACUCCAGAGUCAGACAGCCGGUAAAGAACCUGUGUUAGUACAUUCUUUCGGUAAAGAACUAGUAUUAGUACAUUUAUGGAAUAUUACCCGCUCAUCAAUUGAAUUAAUAACUUAAAGGUGGAGGCGAGGUCCGCAAUCAGAGAGGGAAGUUCCCUUCAAAGAGCAGAGUUCUGGUGCAAAAGUGAUCACCACACCAACCAAGAGAUUCAGUUGGCGCUGCGUAGUUAUUUGUUUCUAUGCUCGGUAAGUGCUCGUAAGUGCUCGUGCCCCAAAGUAAUAAUGGAAUGGAAGGAUUUAAUGAUCAACUGCCAAAGUGAGAGUUAGAGUUGACAGAAACAGGACUUGCUUGCUGGAGUAGCUUAGCUAGUGUUAUUCCUAUGUUGUAGUUUCAUCCGCUCCCCCAAGUAGUUCAUUCUGACUUCAGUGGUGCCCCCCUUUUUCUUCUGGCUUUUGUAUACGUUGCUUGGCGUCUAGUCGUUGCUUGGCCCUCGCAUUCCCGUUCUCUUGUUUAAACCUUCCUAUACAGCUUGGCAUUCUGACUAUCUUUGAUCUAAUUCUCCAAUGUUGUCCCCCGGUCCUGCAAGGUUGUAGUAAAUAGCCUAUAUAGCCUAUAGGAUAUGGUAGGUAUGAUCGAUCCCGUGCACCUAACAAUUCAAUAAGAAACUGGGAUUUCCACUCAUGCUAACAAGACCCAUACUACUCACUGGGAAAUCUGCUACUUACCUCAAAGCUGUCCUACCUAGCUCUUUGAUUCUGUAACUGAUGCCUAUAAGCCUGUUUACAAUAACUCAUAUAUAUAUUCUUAAUAACCCGCCGAUCAGUCACCGAGCAAACUACUAACUACUAUAGGAAUCAAAUAACAACUAACAAGAAUAAACGGUGUGGGCAACCUUCUACUAUAAGACUUUCCUCUGCUAAGGAAGAAUCAAAACAAAGCCAAGGAAGCAAGCUACUCUAUAAGAAGAACAGGCUUACUUUACUUAAUUAAUUAGACUUGAGUCCGACUCCGAGACUCCUUGAUCUCAGGCUUGCUUUUUGUUAGUUAAUUCAUUAUUCUGGGAUAAGGCAUUAAAAGCGGUAGCUGGCUUCUCCGCUGUAGCUCGCUUCUCAUCCUAGUACCAAAGCCUUGUUGACACCAGUCCCAUUCUUCUGUUGACUUGUUUGAUCCCGAUUGACAUUAUUCGAGUUCUGUUAUUAUAUGCGCGCUACGCCCACGGACCUAAUUCUUAUACUGAUUAGCUUCAUUCUGUACAUGCACCGGAUCAUACCAUCAUACCCUAGCACCGGAGCAUACCAUAUGACCCUAUAGGCUAUUGACUCCAACUUGAAAUACACCUAUUCCAUUGACUCCAACUUUACAUACCUAUUGUUUUAGUAUCAGUGAACUAAGGUUGUUUUAGUAUCAGUGAACUAAGGCCCUAUACUACAUUGCUAGUGCACCUAGGUAUAACAAUUAGUAUUAGGGUAGAAUAAAAGCACAGAACUCAAUUAAUUGCUACUGGAAAGAAUCAGACAAAGAAAUAGGGCUUUUGACUAUUACCUACAAGAAUUGAAGCUACCGCUUUUAACAGUAAAACAAAGAAAUAGGACUACUUUAGCUACUGGCCUCGAGUCCCUGUGCUUAUUGGUUGAAACUGAAACUCAGGACUUGACUUCUUAUCGCUACCAACACUAGUCUUAGAUCACUGCUACUACAUCCCUACUCAAAGCGAUGGCACCUUAACACUUAAAGCAUUACUUGACUGACUUUAAAACAAGUACUCUAGUAUACAUUACUUGCCUAUUUCUUACUAUGCAAUCCAACGAGCGCUUCCAAUCUAAUGAAGAAUCCCACAACAGCAGAUAAGAAUACGACUUACAGCCUAUGAGCCUUAUCUUACUUGCUUCGACUCUAAUACCCUGGGCACUUUCUCUAUAUCUCCUUUUGCUCUAACUCCCUUAUUGCCCCUUGCACCCGGGCUUGUUAAGCUAAAGAAUCGAAUUGGCACCGAUAAUACUACCACAACAAUACUGGAUUUCUUUCUUUCCUCCCCGCUCGUACCUUAUCAAACAAACCCUAGCUACCCCAAAGCAGGGCUCUACGAAACAGAAAGUAUCAUGGCUUUCAGCUCCUUCCUUGAAAAUGGAACUUGUAUCUGUCUUUUAAGGAUCAAUAAUGGCAACAAGUAAAGCGGCAAAUCCUUCUCCAAACUCACGUCUGAACUGACUCGCCGACGCACAACAUAAGAAAGAAUGGAAUAUGAUCUGUGCUUUGCCUGAUGAUUUACAGCUUGACCUUUGCUUUGUUAGUGCUUCUGUAAUGGACUUUUCCUUUGCCUGAGACAGCUUUCCCGAGUAGCUCGCCUUCUUCUUCUCUUAUUGGGUCCUAUCCUUACCCUAUCAAUUCUUCUUUGAUCUACUUCCGGAGGGAAAUCAAUCAGUAUCAAGAAAGCUCUAUCUCUAUAAGCGGGGGAAUGAAAUCAUCUGAACUAAACAAGCAACGGCAAAAGCUACGGAAUAAACAAGCUACGGAACAAGCUACGUAACAAGCUCCGGAACAAACUACUAUUAAUGGAUAGCUAACGGAGAACAAGGCAAUAAUGAAUGAGUCUAGGAUAGGGUUUAGCUGCCAAUAAAGAGCAUUUUCAGAAACUUCAACAAGCAAGAGUAUCAUAGAUGAGCGGUUAAACAAGCGAGUAUCAUAGAUGAGCAAGCAGAUAAUGUGAAUCUAUUAGAUCAUAUGCGAGAUAGAUAAAAUUGGGUAGCUUCCAACUCUCCCGUCUUUCUUCUUGUAAUGGUGGCUUUUGACGAACAGUUGGCUUUAGUUCAUUAUAUCGUAAUUCCUUAAGUAAAGUAAGUAAUUCAUUAUAAGUGGGUGGAGUAACUAACUGUGCCGAUAUUAGUUAUUCAAGCUUUCUUUCUUUUAUUUCACCAGCAAACUCAAGCUGAAAAGAGAAAACCUCAUUGAAGCUUAUGAACGAACCGAACCCAUCUUCCAAAUUGCUAACUAAAGCUUGACAUCACCCUCCAAUAGUUAAGAUAAUAGAAUCUUUCUAGAGAAUUGAAUAUUUACAUCUAUUGAUAGAUAAUAUAAUAUUGACAUCUAUACUGAACCGAGACCUUAACCUCUGCUAAAUCUCUUGGUUUGGUUCGGUUGUCCUCUUUGCUAGCCGGAGUAUACCACUAGUGAAAAACCCUUUGAAGAGACAAGGGAUCGAUGUCGCUAGGCGAGGUCAACUCUAUCAUUGUUCUCCCUUAAUCAAUAUAUAAAUAAGCAAGGCAAGUUGGGCUACAACUAUCCCGAUGCAGCAAAGAAAGCUAGGUCGUGCUCUUAUCGCGGGGAAAGGGUCGACUCCGAAAGAUCAGAGAAAGAACAAGAACCACAUUUGAUCCACACUUAUAGCUAAGAGCGGCUUUUUGAGCUACUAUACUGGCGCUCUCAACGUCGCGCAGCUUUUUCAUCUUAGUAAUCCAUACUCUCGGGGACCUGGGGCAACCAAUAAGAAAGACUCUAUCAUUUAAUGGUAGUUGAGUGAAGAAUGAACAAGUAACGGCUUGCAGCAACAAACAAUGGAACAAGCUACUGUGCAAGUACAAACAAUGAGGCUACUAAGCUUUGGAGUGUGCUGUUAGUGAGCUCUCAGGGCAGUAAAGGCGUUGCGAAAGACAGAGUCGUCUUGAAAAUCGAGUAUUUGAAUCCCUUGAAGAGAUUGUGUUUCAAUACAAUAAAUGCCGAUUCUGAGAAAAAGCUGUAAGCAAAGCAGUGUUUUGAAUCCCUGGUUCAUCGCAUUUCGCCUGCUUUGAUUAGGACUUUUUUGCCAGGUUCUUUCACAGUUAACAAACAACCAUUGAAUCCUGAAGUGACGGAACUACCAAUCCCAAUCAAAGGUCCUACUCCUAUUGACCUUGUAGCAGAUUCGAUAACGGAAUUAGUGCUCUAACAGAAGAGACUUGCUUAGGUCACACCUUGAUCUUAUCCUCCGAGUGCCAAGCUAACUUUAACUAGGAUUCGUUCACAGAGAAAGAUUCGGUUCUUCCUUCUUUUGAUCUUAUCCCGCAACUGCCCCUAGGAAAGAAAAGAGAAAUCCCAGUCUUUAUCAGGUCCGGAUCAGGGAACUCCUCUUUCUAUGCUAAUAGUUUAGUCCUACCUAACUUUAUGUUGAUUGAUACUCGAGAGUAAGGUCAAAAAACAAAGAGUAAGCAAUCGAAGACCUAUUCAUUCUAAUGCCCACUUAUCUAAUCUAAGUUAAGUUCAUUUCGGAUUCAAUCGAUUCUUCCCACCCAUGUGUAGCCUAUGCGAAGCAAGCCAAGACUGGGCUCACAUAUAUCCUAUUCCUCUUAUUGCUGGCAGAUUAUAUAAACUAUUGAUUUGAUUAUAUAAACUAUUGAUUUAUAAACUAAACAUAAGGCAGAGAUAUAGAAAUGUGGGAAUCGUGGAAAAUGAUGUCACAUCACAGCACCUCCCCUCGCUCCACUAGCUAGGUAACUCCUUUUCUAAGCUAAGAAAGCAGCAAAUCAGCGCAAAUAGGCUCUCCUAUCAUUCCCUCCACUUUCUCUUAUAUAGUAAGUAUGGAAUAUAGUCAGUAUGGAAAGUGCUCUUAUAUAGUUAGUAUUGCAAGUAGUCAAGAUGCCAGUGCCUAUGAUAUUGCCCUUCCUUCUCUUGUGCCGGGCGUGUGAAUCUGGAACCAAAGGACUACUUCUCGUGAUGAGCUAUUUUCAGGAAUCUUUCGCCUUCGAAUUUCUUUCAUCACCCUUUUGAUUAGUUUGAACAAGAGAAACUUAUUAGUUUGAACAAGAGAAACCGCGAACAGCUCUUUGCCUUUCUGCUUCAAAGAAAGAGGUGGGGAGAACCAUCAGUUUGGAGCACCCAUAAAGCUGGGGAAAUGCCUUUUAUGAGCCGCCUACCCUACCUAUACGCAACUCUCUCUCAUUGAUUAAGCCUGCCUGCCUGUGAGCCAUAAGAUGAGUUCUGGUCCAAGAGAUAGGACCCACGGUUAUUGAACUUACGUUCCCCGGUUCGGUUAAGCCCGUUAGUAGGGGCGAGCGAGAGCUGAUUUCGCUUUGAAUCCAACUCUGAUCUUAAUGCACCCGAAAAGAAAAACCAUAGGAAUUGCUGAACCAUCGCUAUCGCUAAAGUAAGGAAGAGUUGAGUUAACGAAAGGCCAUGGGGAUAUCGUUGACUCACUUGAACCUGUUGGCUUUAGUUUCCUUAUAUAUGAAAGCGGGAGUAAAGCAAGGAAUUUCUGCCAUAGACAGCGCAGCAAGUGAAUCAGAUGUCGGACUUCUCUCUCGAGAGAUGAGGCGAAUUGAUAGACCAAUGGGGGGCCAAGCAACAGCCUGUAAUGCCUAAGCACCAGCCUAAGUAUACCCAGCAGCAGGCUUAGAUUAUUACUUGCUUCAUUGUCCUGUGCCACUCGGAAUACAGAUUACUUAAUGCGCGUUUCACCUCAUAGGGAAGAAUCGAACAGGUGUUUAUGCGGGCGUCAUAGGGCAGCUAGGGUGAUGUUUCAUUCUGUAUUUCCUUACAGAGUAGCCGGCUACAUCCCGAGUUCAAUCCGUUAUUGAAUCAGUUCGCGGAAGGUAGAAAACGGAAUACAGUUAUUCAAGAAGAAAGUAAGAAGGACAAUAGGCACUGUUAUCUACUACUGGAUCAAGACUAACUUACCAAGACAAACUUCCCAGGCUUAUGGUCUUGCUUCCUUGUCAGUGGAAUUAGUAUUUGUUAACUACGGCGAAAUUGGUACUCCCCAGUCUUGUGUUUUACAGUUAUCAUAUCUUUAUUACUUGCUAUGUGUUCGGCCAUCAAUUGUUCAUCGAUUGUUAUAAUGAAAUGGCAUCUCCUUAGAAGAGGGAUGGAUCUUGGGCAUUCCAUUCUUUUAAGAGUGGGAGACUCAGAGGAUAGGUCAAUACCAGAGAAGAGAGAGGCAAGGGAUACUUUAUUACUUAGUGCAGGACCGCUAGUCAAUCAAUGUGAUGCGCCAUAUCCAUAUAUUAUUAUUAAUGCACCUUAACCUUUUAUAGCUUCUGUAGUGAGUGACGAUCAGAUUGCCCCAUUUCAUCUUUAAUAACAGAAUGAGGCUCCUGUCUCUAUAAGUAUUAGAUAGUAUAGGAAGUGGGCCCUUAUAAUAAUUGCUAGCGCAUUCCCUUAUCUAAUCUAUUAAUUCCACUUAGAGGUCUUAGACAGCCCCUAAAGAUAGAGAGAGUAGCUACCCCUCCGCUCUUAUCCUAACCAAGUAGUCAACAAAUAAUUCAUUGGAUCUUCUCUUCUCUGCGACAAACACUCGAAAGAAACUCGUAUUCAUUUCUGGUGUUGGGCAAGAAGGAGAUUCGAGAGUCAAUUCGGCUUCUUUUCUUAAGCGAAUCCAGUUUUCGGGCCCAGACUCUGUGGUGGCGGCGUCAAGGAAAGUUUCAGAAUGAAAUAUAGUCGCUGAAAGUGAGAUUUUACAGGUACUCUUUGUUAUACGAGCCCCUUGCACCUAAGCAUUCAGUCUUAUCUUAUUCUUUAACAAGUAGUAGUCCAGGCAACUACUAGACUCGCAACGGGACAAGCCACUACGGAUGAAGAUAAGAAGUUUAUUACUUAUACUGAUAGGACAGGCCCAGACUAGAUAGGACUGGCCCAUACUCAGUGGCUAAAGCGAGGCGCGUCAGGGAGCUCAAUAGGAACUCUAAAGUCUUGUUCAAGUGAUAGGGCUGGGCGACAGAAUAGAGGUUAGUGCGGAGAGACAGUAUAGUUCGGAAAUGCAAAAGGGGCAGAACUCGCAUUAGCAUCAAUGGCGAAGUAUCAACUUAUCUAACUGUGCUGUGCUGCUGUGCCGAUAUGAGUAAUUAAAGGAAGGAAUGAGAAUGAGAGAAAGAAGCUUGUGUUAAGCUUAAUUAAAGGAAGAGCAAUGCUGUGAGUUGAGAUAAAAAGCAAGGGUAGUGUUCACAAGAUCUAUAAUUUCUAUCUUAUAUAGAUGGGAGAACGGAUUCCACAUUCUAUCUAAUUACAAUUCCACUCACACUCUUGCCUCCUACCUCUCCACUUAUUAGAGGUUAAGGGUUUACAAGGGAAGCAGCGUACUUAAGAAUAGGGCUGAAGGAGAGGCUAGUGUACUCAUGACGGAUAUUCUUUUUCAUAGCUUCCCUUAUUCCUAUAUAAAGAGAAAGAUUGCAUUUAGUAGGUGCCAAGCGACUACUAGACAAGUAGACAACCAACCACUUUGCUGCUUUAGAGCCCUAUAGGUUAGCGCUAGAUGUAGUACCUAAUUCCAAUAUGACAACUUGUUCUAUUAAUGUCCGUAUUCCAUUCUUCUACUUACUUGUUUGAUUCUCACUUUCCCACUUGUUAGUUCAAUUCAGUAUCUGUUCUGUUGCCAGCAGGGUUCAAUGAUGAGUUGCGAGUUAGCAGAGAUGAGCUAGUAUAUGCUAUUUGGAGUACCCAUUCCUUUGACAAGCGUAUACUAAUGACCAAGCUAGUGACCGAUUCCAAAGGUAUAAAUUCUCUGAUCAUGAAGAAGCUUUCUCUCUUUGUCUUUGCUUUGUAGUAGUUGAUUGGCUCUGUUACAUACUUGUUAGGCAGGUUUACUUCACUUGAGUAGUCAAAAGAGAGUACUGGCUUUGAUACAGAAGAAAGAGAAGGAGAAGAGUUCAUUCUGUAUUUGAAGCCUGAGUUAGCUGGAGAUGAGCAAGAAGUAGAGGAGCCAUCCAGAGUUAUGAAAAAGUAGAUGAGCUAUAGGUAAUAGGUAGCAUAGAAGUUAUAAGAGAUGAAAGAGUAUAUAGGGAUGAAUUCGUAUAUGCCCUGUCAAAGGGACAAGAAACUUACCGGUAUUACUUGCUAUGUGUUUGUGGGAGACAAUAGGACAGGUAUAAAGGACUGGAAGGAUAGAAAGCAGACACAAGUCACAGGUGUAGUUAGUUGACAGAGGAGAGGCGGGUUCGGUGCCGAUAUCCGUUUUUAAAGCAAUGCAGGAGUUAUGAGUUAGUGUAUGAAGUAGUAAAUAGGCCAAGAAAGUGAGUUGUUGCUAGUCGGCUUGUCUAGGGAAAACUCAAUAGUAUACGCUUUGCCCAGGAAUAGCUGAACUAGAAGGAUAGGAAGUAUUUGUUUCAAGAGGAGAGGAAAGUAACGUGAGAGUUUCAAGAUCUGGUAAAGAAGUGGAAGUUGAGUAUCUACUAGAAUAUUGUAAAUAAGAAGGAUAAUACUUAGGAAGUAUUUCUUUUAAGUGCAGCAGCGAUAUAUUCUUAAUCAGCUGUUCGAGUUUUGUAAACCAGAGAGAGAGAAUCCGCAUCCGCAGUUCUUGUGAAGUCUACUCGAUUAGAAUAUGGUAAAGAAUCUGGUUAAAGAUGAGAAAGAAGCUCUGUAUUUGCAUAGUUUGAUCUCUGUUCAAUGACUCGAUAUCAGGGCUCAGAUCUCCGUUUAGGGAGUGUGAGUGUAGUUCGGUUUCAAGUUGUUUUAUAUAGAAGCGAGAAGAAGCUUCAAUUAUGGAAUCAUAGGAUUGAUCUGCGCAAAGUAACAUUCUGUCAACUCGAGAAUCUGAUGGAGCAGGAGAAGGAUCUUCAGCAGUGCGAGAGUAAGUAGCAUGCGGUUCUGAAAGGAGAGUUCGCCGGGGAUACUUCGAAAAAGAAGCCUUAUUGCCUUGACUUGGAUUAUAGGUUGUUGCUUCUGUAACUGCACCAUUGGUUGUUGCUUCUGUAACUGACCCCCAUUUGAGAGUUCUCUACCACAUUAAUAGAAGCCUGACUCCAAACUUGUUGCCAUUAUGGAUAAGCUAGAGGCAAAGUCACCUGUAUUCUGCUAUCCUAUUAUACAGAGCUAAUGAUUCCGCUUGAGUGGAAUUCGCCUUAGUAGUAGAAAAGAAAAGUACAUAGGCAGCUAAGCUAGGAAGGACUAUGUUUACUACCCGGAUACAAAGUAAGCAAGCGAAGGAAGUAGAUCGGCGGUAGAGUCUUAGAAAAAAGAAGAAAUAUAAAGAUCUUCCAACUAGAUCAGGAUCAGAUGCUGUUGUGUUGAAAGAAAGUCUGCUGUUAAGCCUGAAAGUGUAGUUCUUGACUUGACGUCUACAGGUGCUUCUCAAAUCUAAGAAAUCUCAGUUCCAGGAAAGUAUACGAGAAAAUCCGUCUUAAGGAAUUACCCGAAGAAAGGUAGAGUGAGGAGUAACUUCACACUGGAAAGGAGGUAGGCAUGGGAAGAGCAGUGCGAGGAAAGGGGAAUUCAAAGGCAGCUAAUCAGCGGGAAAGAAAUAAGGGUUCCGGGCAGAAUAUCUGACUUCUGAAGCUGGAAAAGAAGCUGUUCCUAUUGAAUCUGCAGGUGAGGAAUUAGGACCAUCGGAAAGAUCUUAUUAAUCUGUCUUUAUUGGCUCCGAGGGAGGUCAAUUCUUAAAUGACAACUUCACAACCCUGCUUGAACUUAAUCAAGAUUCUUUCCCCCGAGACUUCUGGAACUUUACUUGCGGACUUAGAGCUAGAGCACCAACACAAGUCUCUCCUGACGCUAACUUCUCUUGAAGACUUCCCACCCACUUGCAGCACUAGCAGCUUCUGGAAGUUCUGACAAUGCCCUCUUUUCUCGUAGACCUAAAAUUCAUAGUAAGGGUCCUGCUUGCUUCUUUACUUUAUAAGAUGAAACAAGGGAAUAAGAUUCAACAAACAGUAGUUGUUAUGGAGUCCUAUGAACUUUAUAUAUAAUGUUAGGCGGCAGUAAAGUCUCCUCACUUUCCUCGUACCGACAAGUCAAUCCCCUCUAUAGACUGAACUUUGAGAUCUAGAUACAAGCAACUUAACUGGAAAUCGUACUAGAAACUAUAAGGAGCGUAAGCCUUAUACACAAGCACUUUCACCUUUAUUUACUGAUUGAAACCCUUUCUGCCCUUCCUGAACUUUACUUGAGAACAGAAUACUAACGGAGCGAGGAUCUACCUGUUGCGUAAGGGCAUCUACUCAUUGCAUUGCUUCUUUGAAUUAAGUACUCGCCUAGCUGCCUUGCUUGUUUUAAGAACUCAGAUAGGCACGCACAGUUGGCCUAGUAGAGUAAUAAAAGAGUAUGCACCUAAUAAAGUAACAAUAUUCUCAACUCCUUAUGAAAUCAAUCAAAUCAAUAAAAAAGAAUAGAAGAGAGUUUUCAUCAUAUACAGUUAGCGCAAGUGCUGUUUCGGGAACUGGAAAUUCUUUUGCUGGAACUCUAUACCAUAAGGAGCUAGAGCACCAACAGCCAAGCCGACAAGCAUAUACAUAUGUAGUUGUGCGCCGGACACAGGUGAACUCUGGAUUGGACUAUUUUAUUGCCCGAACGUAGCUUGAAGAAUUGUUUGAUGCUGACUUGAGAACUUAGCUUUCUGCUUCCCUUGCCGGCCUAGACCUGACUUUAGCCUCUUCUUCUGUUUCUUCCAUUCAAGGGUCCAUUCCAUUCUGACUUUCCUACUUGCCUACUGCCACUCACAAGCUUGCUCGUACCUUAGUGCAAUUCUGUAACUCUACCUUAUUAGGUUCAUUCUGAAAUGCCAACUAGCACAAGUAAGAUAAGAGCUCCUGCCGCGACACAUUAGUAGUGUCUUGGCCUAUCCAAAUAUCUCUUCUUAUAUUAUAUGAUAGGAUGACUGAUUCCACAGCCAAUCUUCAUGAAGUUAUGGGGGCAGAGGCAGAAGAGACGGGCCCUUAUAUACUAGUUCACAGGACUUGGUCAUAACUGCUUGGAAUUCUGAGUUUAGGUAAAUCCUCUGGUAGUGACUUGGCUUGAGCUUUCUGACUUACUAGAUCAAUUCCCUUUUUGGACCGAUUGCAGCUGUCAACUAUGAACUGAUCAUUCGGUAUACCUUAUUUGUUGAUUUCUCUCUUUGCCUUUCUAGUGGUUGCUGGGCCUAUUUACUACCCCGGACCGGACAGGACAAUCAACUCUAUCUCUACAACAAGGGAAGGGACCAUAGGUAUAAUAAGUGGGCUCCACCCUAAGGUUACAGGAGGGACGAAGGAAAGGUGGUAUAGCUAAUAGUUCCUGAACUGCCUAAUUAUUCACCCUAGCCAGAGCCAGAGGAGUGGUAAAGUGGAAUUUGUAUUUGUAGUGGUAUGGUCCAGUGGGGUUGGUGCUCUAGUUCUAAGUCAUAGGGAUGGUUUUGGUAACCAAGUCCUGUCCUCGUAUAUGUCUUCUCCCCAGCAGCAACUGCUUCUUCCGUUUUCUGGAAAGCUAUAGGAAAGGAAGCAGCUUUAUUGCCUAUUCAUUUUCUUUAUGCAGGAGCCGGAUAAUAAACAGAAUCAAGAUCUUGCAGCUGGACAAAGAUUCCAUUAAUGAUUCAGAUUGUCCUCGUUGAGUAUAGAUCCACGGAGCGGUAAUCGGGGUAAUAGAAAGAUUCCAUUCUGAACUUGCAAGGAUAGGUCGGACAAGAGCAUUGGCGACCAGAUCAGAAGUUGGAUCCGAAGCCGUAGAAAGUAUUAUGCAAAAGGACCGGAGGCUGGGCGAGGAAAUGAGAGGUCGGAAAAAGAACUAGCGUUGCUAUGUCUUUACUUUUUUCUAUCUUUGGUGCUCGAAAGUAAGAACACUGCCCGUAGAUUGAGGCACCCAAUUAAUAUACAACCACUUAUGCACAAUAGUAACCGAACUCCGAACUCCCUUUUUGUUCGCCUAGUUCGAGUUGACGACUUAAGAGAAGCUAGUAAUAUUACUCCAAUUUAUCUACGAGGGUUUUGCUCUCAAUAUUAUCUGAUGCUUCUGUUCGCCCUGUUCCACUUGACUUUAGAUUUCUACCUUUUGCAAGAUGGAGCAAGAGAGAUUCUGGAACCUAUUGUAUCAUAAGCUAGAUAGAUUCCAUUCAUGAGAGAAAGCAAGGUGCUGAAAGCCAAGAAAGCCCAAACUAUUGGACGAUGGAUCGUUACACAUCUAGAAGAAGAAAAGAGGUGAAGCGGUUAAAGAACCAUAUAUUAUAUAAGCGCAUUGUUACCUCACUGCAACAAGCAAGGGCGUUAGCUAAUUCUGAGUAUUUGCGCUAAGAUCUUUUUCUUACCCGCCCGCACACGUUAGCACAACGACCCGACCUUUCUCUUUAUUGUUUAAUCAAAUAUCACUGACAUAGAAAUCUCACUGACAUUGUAUAGAAGGACGUAAACAAAUGGCUUCUUUUUAGUUAGAAUAGAGAUAUAGGGUCACUAAACAUUAAGAACGAAUUGAGGCAGCCUUACCCUAUACAUUGCACUAAAGCACAGAGUAAGCCAAACCCUUCAAAACACUAGACUAGACUAUAAGGACGGAGGCAGACUAAGCACUUGCAGAGGCGGAGUUGGCUUCAGGUAGAGAAUCAGAGAUUUGACAAUGCCCCCUGGAGUUGAGAUCAGAUCGAUAAAAAGAAGAGAAAUAUUGCUCCUAUGUUCAAUUCAUCAGAUGGGUGGGUUUCUCUUUCCAUUGAAUAGGAAUUGGAAUAGGAAUUUGCACCGAUCAACGGAACAAGACUACUGCGUUUGUGAGUUUAAACACUUAUAGAAUAAUGCACACGUAUAGAGGAAUGAAUGUAACCAAACACCCGGACUUUGAGCUACUGCCCACUAGAGCAAGGAGUAAGGAGUUCCAGAAGCCACAAGACUAAGUGUGCUAACAGGAAGUGGAGUUUGAGUUUAAGGAUAAAGGUAUACUUCAGCAGCGGAAUGGACUGGUAUAAAGUAAGUGGUAAAGAAAUGAGUAGAUUACGGGUCGGGUUGACUGCGAUGAAAGCCGUAGAUAUAAGAAUGAGUAAGCAAGAAAAGUCUCUGGAAAUGCUGUUUCUGUUAGAUGGAAAUCCUUCUUUGUUGUCGACAAUAAAAUCAGAGGUAUAGCGGUUAUAGGGCUUACUUCCGUAUUGUUAGGUUGAUCUCGCCCAGUAGAAUCAUAUGUUUCAGUUUCCAAAGCUUUAUAUGUAUCUGAAAGCGGGAACUGCUAAUGUAGCGCAGUAAGGUUCAGAAAUGACAUAAUAAGGUAUAUGAAGUGCACAUAUAAGAUUCAACAAGCAAUGCUGUCAUGCCCAUCCUCAUUUCUUUCACUCCGGGGUGGGUACCCACCUUCUACUCAACAAGUCGUUGCGCGUUCAGGAGUUUCAAAUAAUAUAAUCUGCCCUAAACAACACCUCAGCAUUAGAAAAGAGAUCUGAUUCUUUUAAAGAGAAAAUGAAAACUCACCUUCUGUCAGGAAAACAAGACGGAACUGUAAACUCUAAGUUGUAGGCUACCCUAUGAAAACUUUCUAUUGAACUUGCCUUGCCCAAACUCCACUUUCUGACUAAUACCCGAUUGUAGCUUACUUUGACACCGCUUCCGAUACUGAUCCAGUACUUUCUUCUGGGCACUGCUGAUUCUUAUGCUGGAACGAAACUUGAUACUCUACCUAGAACUCAUUAUGAUACUGAUCCCGCAUCUGCUUCACCUGACACGGAUCCUUCUCCUACUACGGAUACAGGCAUACGCAACUCUGUCUUUUUCUCCAGCAUCAUAUAUUUCUUCUGCUUCUACUUCCAACUCUCCUUUUUCCUCGCACAGGAAACCUGUCAAACACGGAAUUCCAAUCAUUCAUUUCCAUUUCACUAUCCUUACGCGCCGAAGCUUGUUUCUUGACUUUCUAUCCUUGCUUAGGCAUCCUAAGAAGUUUCUCAUUCUGUCUGAUCUGCUCUUCUUUCUUUAUACGAGAAAAACGAUACUUUGGAGUCUAUAUGUCACAUACACAAUGAAUCGAUCAACCAAGCGAACGAAACACUAUUCUAAUGAAAUAAGGCUUUGUCCGAGUACCGAUCUACAACUAAGUAGAUGUCUCACGGGCGAAGGAAUAGAGUUAGGACCGGUCUUGACUUUAGGUCGGUUGCCGUCCUGCAAACUGAGGGCGCCGUUCGCCACACACUUAAUAAAGAGUACAUCAGGAUCAGAGAAAGAGUACAUCAGGAUCUGAUUGAUGCAAGAGAUAGAUCGGCCUGCGGACCCUAUCCUUCUUCCAUACUCACUGCGAGUCCAUUGUGCUUAGAACGAGUAGAGCGUCUUCAAUGCGAGUAGUGCGUGGAGUUUAGCCUAAACAGUUAACAUAGUUGUGUUUGUACAGUGAAAUAGCGGCGUUUGUUGUUUGCCCUGCCUUCGGAAAGGCGACUCCUAAUGGUACCUUAGUUCUCCAUGGGCGUCAGAAGGGGUCGUUUAGUUCAGGCAUUCAGUAAGUUGCCGUCAAGCAGUUCUCACUCCAAGCGGGACUCUUUUCUAUGGAUUAGUGGUAAGGCGCAGGAUAAGAGAGGAUUCGUCUAUGUAAGUAGCUUACGAGCCAGUACUGUUCGUGGGCAAGCAAAGUAGAAACUCGCCAUCCAUUUCUACAGAACGUAUAAAGGUUCUGCAGGCGGGUGUGAAUUUGAAGUUUCCGGUGGGUUCCGUGUGUAUGGAAAGAAAGAUGAAUAGUUCGGUUGGCCUUGGGCGGAGAUGGAUACAGAGGUGGUUAGGCUUCUAUCCUACUAGUAGGACAUGCAGUUCUCCCCGACGCCUUAGGGCAGGCACGAAAUCAAUUAACAGCUUCUAAAGAAAGAGGACUACUUAAGACAGCAAGAACGUCCAAAAGCAGUAAGUUCACUCUCGGAACAAUUCCAAGAAAUCGAUGAAUGUGUCCCGCAACGAAGAAGCGCUAGCUUACCUAUAGAGUAUGAGGAAGGUGAAAUACUGUCUUGUGGGUCCCCAAGGGUUAGAACCUAUAACGGGAGAAUUCGCUUUCACUAUUUGAGAAAAGAGAUGAAUAGGCAGAGCUGAACAAGUACCUUCCUUCAAAGCUUUGAACUCCACUUGCGCCCGCUUCUGAUCUCAUUCCCAGUCCAAGCUCUGACUUUACCGGAUAACUCCGUGUGUGGACCAAUGGCAGAGCACUUGUGGCGUUAACCAGUAUCGCUCUCAGACUCAUAGCACUUUGUUCACCCCCAAGAAGUUAGCCGAGGCAUUAGUUGCUGAAGCUGGGGCGGAUUCCCUGAUUGACUCAUCCUUGUUUCAAAACCACCACCCAGUAUACAAGGCAUACUUGCUCACAACGAUCUCUAGCACUGUUUCAUUCUAUCCUACCCUAUACGGGCUGGCUGGGUCAAGAGUGCCUUGCCGUUGCUGUCGCCAACCACCCUAUCGGUAUCACCUAUGCUACUCAUAUCUUAUCCCUACCUUCUGGCUUCCGUACCUGAUCUGGCUUGGUCCGCCAAUAACUUAUCUUGUCCGCGACUUAACUAUCAUUAUAUUACCUUAUCCGGGGAAACAGAAUCAUGAGCGAGAUCCGAUAGAAUAAAGUAAGCGCAGCGGGAUAGAAAUUGUUAUUGAGAAAGAAAAUAA
rnacentral:lncRNA from 1 species